rnacentral:lncRNA from 1 species
AUCAAAACGACGAAGAGGAAACCGAAAACAUAGUAGACACGGCCCAUCCACAAACUAGACAUGAUGAAGAAUAGCUCGAUGAAAAGGGUGCCAAACGGGAGAGUGCCAGCACCAAGGACUAACAACCAAGAUGGGUAUUUCUGAGGUGGGAUUUCCCUAGGAAUUUGGUUAGUCCUCACAGGAUAUUCGAUCUGGGGAGCUUUCGCUCCGAGAUAUCCACCAAAAAGAGUAAGUGGAACUGAUAUGCAGAACCAGAGCAACAGCAGGAUAACGAAAAGAGAAAACGGGAUAGCUCCAGUGCUGUGACUACCCCACAAGAGAAAAUUCAGAACGGUCAGGAUCAAAAAGGCUAUACCGGGGAAGAAGCACGCGGCUUUCCAUGCAACCGACACCCAUCCCUUGUGAUCACCAGAGCCGAUGGUCCUCCAAAGUCGGACAGCAACAUAACCAGCAACUACACCAAGAAUCAUGUAGAAGAACAGCAUACCUGUGAUAAGUGUCCCACGUGAAGCAGGGGACAUGAACCCGAGUGCAGCAAAUAAUAUGGUCACCACUGCCAUUCCAAGAAUCUGGACACCGUCUCCGACCAUUAUGCAUAAAAGUGCGGGGUUUGACGGAGUGCGGAACACAUCCCCAACCACAAGCUUCCACCCAGAUAAUUCCUCAUUCAUCUGAGCCUGUGCCUCCUUGUCAAGCUCCUCGUAUCGCGUCAAGUCACGACGGACAGUCCUCAAAAAGAUCACGAGGACGAUACCAGCAAGGAAGGUGAUCACCAUAAGAGAAUUGAGGAUAGAGAACCAGUGGACUUUGGAUCCUUCCAUCUUCAAAUAAGCAUCCCAACGAGAUGGCCACUUGAUAUCACUCUCCUCGAAGGCGACCUCAUAAGUGAACACGAUGGGCUGCCCUUCCUUAAUGGCCAUUGACACAGUGGUCGGAUCACAUUUAAUCGAAGAAGGAUACUUCUCGUACAUCUUCAAGUUCUUCACUGAAUCAGCAUUAUGCAUGACACUACAAGGCACAACCUCAAAACCCACAACCAUAUAGCCCUGCACAUCUGAACCAUCAUUUCCAAUAGUUGGAAUCAUCUCGGCAGCAUCCCCUGUCCCCAUAACACGAGCAACAUUGGUCUCCUCAUACUUAUGAACCAGAACAGUGAACUUCAAAUGGUUAAACACAUAAUAGGUGUCCUGAACCUUGAUUCCCACGGGGUACCCAGUCCACCGGAGGAAAAACUCUUCCUUCUUCGUGUACCUUAUAGCAGGCAAAUUAUCAAGGAUCAGGUUGACCUGAUAAAUUUCAUCGAUCCUCUCCUUCAAGAGCUUGAAACUAUCCGCUGUGAGUGGAUCGGUGCGGCACGAGAAGAUCUCAGACUCGUUGGUGUACAUCUUAAACUGAUACGGCGAGUUCUCGAUGCGAUCCCCCAUGAGGAGCUCGCCGAGGUUCUCGGCGCUAUCCUUCACACCCUCCAGAGGCUGGCAAAAGGGCAAGCUGUAGUAGCUGUAGGGGAUCUCAGUGUCGAUGGAAGUGAGCGAAUUCACCUUCACCGACAGAGUAUCACCGACAGAAUACUUAUGCGGGUAACUCCCAGGGAGGUAAUAUCCACAUCCACAGUUCAAGACAAGGGAGACGGCCAAAACCCAGAUCUUGAACCGAUCAAAGAAGUCCAUUUCCACGACGAUAUCUCUCGAUCCGCGUCAGAUCUGGACGAACCCAGUUGCGAAAGCAAGCUAAUCAGUCAAUGCAAAGAGCAAAACCCCCAUCUGGGUUCGACGACAUCACUCAAGAACGGCAUCAAAACGCCCAAAAAACGACUACAAACACACAUAUCAAAAGAUCCCGACUCGCACUAGCAGCUACUCGAACAACUAGAGGAAAGAUCAAGAAACAACAACAGAACAAGCGCGCACAAAUGUCACGAAGGGCACUGCAGAUCUGACUGACCUUUUGGAGAGGAACGCGCAUAGAGAGAGCAGGGGAGACUAGGCGGCAACCACAACGCCCGAAAGGUGAAAUCUAUGGCCUUUAUUUAUUGCUGGGGAAGGAGGAAGUCCAGAAGAUGCGAGACGCGAUGAUUUUUCUACGAUCCGUCCGAUGGCGGUUUGGCGUCUUUGCGUGAGCACGCUGAAACGGGGAAUACGUAUCCGCGGGGGGGCCCAAUUACCGGUUUGCCCUCCGCCGGUCCAUUUAAUUUUAAUUUCUUGAUGGUUGCUGCUUCUCGAUCAAAAUAUUAUUUAUGGUGAAUUAUGUGUAAUUGCAUAUUUAGUAUGAUAAAAUAGGAUUAAUACUAUUAAUAACCCUUAAUUGGUAUACCUUUGACGAAUUCAUAUUUUGUUAAUUUAUAUUAAAUUUUACUGUUAAAUUGCUAAGUUUGAUGAUAGUUUGAUAUUUUACGUUUUGUUUGUUAUAAAUAUAGCGAUUUGUGAUUUUUUGUGGUAUAAAUCUAAUUUAAUGAAAACUAAUAGAUAGUAAAUUUGGCGUAAAUAUACCAAUUUUGAAAUUUUGAUUUUUGAUAAAAUUGUCAUAAGUGUAUUAGUUUGGAAUUUUUAUGAUAUUAAUUUAAAUAUUAUAAUUUAUAAAUUAUGGAAAGGGGAAAGAACUAACUGGAUUCGAUAUGAGAAAUUUUGGUUACCUUAUUCACUAGGGACAAGAGAAACAAGUCUCCAUCUUAGAUUUUAUUAUAUCAAGAUGGGCAGCAUGCGUGAGAUGGCCUUGAUAAUAAUCCAUUUGGAGCACCACGUUUGUAAAGUUUUAGGGUACAGUCUAGGUGAAGAUCAAAUGCUUUGAAGAGGAGGUAGAGAUGUUCUGACAUCGUCUAUUUAACGAUUGCUGAGUAAAUUUAUGUUGAUUGAAAAUGAAAAUGAAAUUAACAAAUAAUGCGCUCAAGAAUAUCCCAAAGGGAUCGCACUUGAAUACUCCGCUUAGAAAUUUCAACUCACUUGCUGACGAGGAGGAAAUAAUAAAUGGCAUCGAAGCAUGGAUUUGCGUGAGAAGACACAACACGCGCUAUGUCUUGAUUGUCAAAUUUUAUGAAAUCACUAUUAAAGGUGAGCAUGAUUUAGAAUAAAAAAUCAGCCCAAUAAGAGCUGGUCUGCUUUCGAAUUUUGGUGGGAUUCGAUCUAAUUCCCGAGUCCAUUGUUUUGAAACCUUACUAUGCAGCUUGGUUCCUGAUUCUAUAUAGGAAUCAAAAUGGAUUGGAUCAGAUAUAGAUUCAUUAAGGCCAUGUUUGGUAACUAGCUAGCUGUUGACUAUUUAUGUUCUUUUGUUCUUCGGAAUUAAAAAAUAACAUAAAUUUGUUUGCUAACAUUAAUUAAUUUUUCAACUCUCGAGAAUAGAUCAUUGGCCAGGAAAUAUAUUUAGAAUAGAAACAAUAAAUAAAUAAAUAAAAGUUACUUCUUUGUUCUCGAGAAUAAUUUUUGAAAUCAAGUAAUUUUCUUUUUUGUUCUUUUCUUCCUUUUCUUUUCUUCUUUUUUCCUCCUCUAGAAGACAAUGUCAAUAAUCCGCCAAAGAUGAGAAUUGACGACCUUGCCAUGGCUAGGCAAGGCUCCCUCAAGACUCAUAAGGUUGCCAACUCUCAUUUCUAACCGGUCACCAGCCAUUGUUGAGGCCCGCGACCAAUUAGAGAAGGAAAAAGAAGAGAGGAAAAAAAGAAAAUUAAAUCUUAGAAAAUUACUAAAAAUUAAAAGAAAAUUCAUGUCACAAAAAAAUUGAGGAUAGUACUAACUGCAUUCCUUUUUAGUUUUUUCUAUUUCGAGAAUGGCAAUUUUGUGGAAUUAUCAAAUGUGUUCAAAUGUUGAGAAACUCAUCCGGAGAAUAGAAUAAAUAAAAAAACUAUUUCUAAGUAAAAAUUAUUCCUAAGAAUAGAAUGAUCACUAAACGUACCCUAAGUUGCCCUCAUGAAUUUAUUUGUAAGAAUUUAUGCUUAAAUUGUAAGUGAGUUGAUAGCCAAAUUUUCAUGGAUGAUUGAGAACCGACAUUCUAAAUUUAAGUUUUAUGUUACAUGUUAUGAAUUUUUCAUAAUUUGUUUUAUUUUACAUUUUCAUCUUUUAUAGAUUGUUGCUAUUAACAAAUGGGGAUUUUCAUUUUUGCUAUUGCACUCACUUUCAUCUUGCUUAACUAAAAAUGAAAAAAAAAAAAAAACUAGCCAAUUUUUAGGUAGACUUUAAAAUCGACCUUGGAACUUAUGAUAAGGUAAGUUCUAGGUUUCAAGGUGUAGGAUAGAUUUUAGGUUCCAAAAAAUAAGUAAUUAAUUUUGACAAGGAGGUCCUAAGUUAUAGGUGGAACCUAGACUAAUCCUAAAGCUGCUUAUCCCUAAACAUUGCUAACCCUUUUUUUUUAAUAAUAAAUUUGAGCUUUUAGAUAAAAGUGCUAUUCAACAUUUAAAUAUUUACGUAUUGAUCCCGUGGAGUCGUGCCUGAAAGACUAAACCAACUAUUCGAUUGUGGCGGUAAUGCGUUGGCUUGUGCACUCCAAACGCGCUACAAUAUUAUAGCGAGUUUGUCACGUUGUAGUCCUGACAUAAAAAUAGGAGAGGUUAUGUAUGAUUGAUGACUAGAGCCUAACCCCUAAUAAUCGCCAUUCUUACAUCUUUUCUUUUUUAGUACUUGUCUCGCAUGAUUAGUUUGUUGGGUCAUCAUGUGUUUCAUGUGUACAUGAAUAUAUAGAUCCCAAAUAUUUAAUUUGGAUUUAAGUCAAGGGUAAAAACUGCUCCAUGCUAGGCCUUGGAAUCGGAUUAGAUCAACCCUAUUUGGCCAGUUCUAAUCUAGUUCCAAAUUCUACAUAGUAAGUUCUAGGUUCCACAAACUGAAAACCGAUCUAGGCAACUCACCAUGGAAUUGCUCACCCCUAACUUGCACACAUUUUCUACCCAUCCAGCGGAAGUUUUUGCACUUUUGGGAUGAUGCUUAUUUGUUCUAUAACACCGAAAAGUCACAAUCACCUCCCUAGUUGAAUGUUUUUUUUUUUGGUAAAGCCUCCCUAGUUGAAUGUUGUGCUCUGCAAUUUCUAAUGGCAUCUAAUCUGAAUCCAACUUGGUGAAUGCCAGCACAUUGGGCAAACUUUGCAAUGACAUGCAUCAUUUGAUCUCGACCUCCUUCAAAGAAUCCAAUUCUUUUAGGUCAUUGAAGGCUAGUUGAAGAUGCCAUAAUGUUUUUUUUUUUCCUUUUUUUUAUGGAUUGUUUCUUGGAAUUUCUAUUGUCGCUUUUACUUUCAUUUACUUAACUAAGUGAUGAGUUGGACAUAUCCCAAUUUCUUCAUUUUGUUGUUUUGUACCGUAUUUCUCCCAAUUGCGUUACUUUACUAUUUUGUUGUAACUGCUAUUUAUCUUGAUUGUAAAUUAGGAGAUGUUUUACUAAAAUUUGCCCUUUCAAGGAAUAUAAAAAAUAAAAUGAAAACAUGAAUUAGUUAGUUUCUAGGUAGACCUUGUAAUAGGGUCGGUUCUAAGGUUGGCUUUAGAAUCUACAUGAUAGGUUCUAGAUUUUAAAAUUUGGGAAACUAAAUAAAAAUUUAGGUUCCCAAAUUUUAAAAUCUAGGAAUUUAGGAAUCGCUCACUCCUAAUUAAGUGGGCUCGACAAACUCGAGAAACUGCCCCAUUUAACUAGUUUAAGUCAUUCAUAUCCAAAGAGAAUAAGACCACGUUUAGUUCUACAUUAGAAGAUAAAGUUUAUUGUAUUUUUUGGUAUUGCAACGUUGUUUGAAUUUGCAUCGAUGGAGUCAAUAUAAUUCCUAGAUUGAAAGAAAGUGAAAUACAAACAGCCAAGCCAGUUUCAACCCACUUAGGUGCAUUUUGUUGAACUUUUGGGAAAAGCCUUUGGGAAAAUACAAAUGACUUUAAAUUAAAAGGGUUUUUCAAAAUACAAAUUGUGUUUAUUAAAUUGUAAUUUGAAAGUCCAUUAUAAAGUACCUUUAAGUAAAAAAAAUAUUUAGAUAAAUUAUAUAUAUAUAUAUAUAUAUAUAUAUAUUUGGUAUAAAGAGAAAUUAUAUUUACAAAGGACUUUUGUGAUUAAAAAAAUUGUUAAAAGAAAAAUACAAAAAUUGGCUGAUGAGGGUUGGCAGCCUCAGGUAGCCCUCGAAGACAACUGGUGAGGGCCACCUAGGGUCGAGCGACUUCCAAUGACCAUCGACGAGAGCCACUUGAGAUCGAGCGACCCCUAAUAGCCCUUCGCGGAGGUUGUGUGACCUUUGGCGACAUAAAUCUGGUUAUGGCAAGGUCAUGUGGCCUCCGGCAAUUGAGAUUCGGGUUGCGCGAUCUCGUUGUAACUAGCGACCCAGCCUAAGGUCACACGACCUCUAGGGACACGUUUGGUCAUGGCGAGGUCGCACAACCUCGGGCGAUCCAAAUUUGGGUCGUGCCUGAGGUCACACGACCUUAGGCAGCCCUUCACGAGGGUGGCAUGACCCAGAGCUAGAUCGUGGCAACGCAACUUGCGAGCGGUCACCACCACUCACCAAGGUUGCACGAUUGGCUAGUGACAGUUGCCGGGGUAGUCAUGACCUCGCUAGCCUCUCUCUAGCCAGUUGUCGACCAGCCACAUGCAACCAUGCCACUGGAGAAGAAGAUGAACAGUAAAUCAUGGGGUCUUCCAAAAAUGUUGAAAGCUUAAGACAGCCUAGAACCUGUCUUGGGCUUUCAACCUUUCAAAGGCUAUUAUUCUCUUAAUGUGUGUUUUAUAAAUUUUACCAAACACUCAAUAUUUGGCCAAAUGGACUUUGGACACUCAAAAUCCCUUCCCAAAGCAAAUCCCAAACGCACCCUCAGAAGGGGCAGAAAAGGAAAAAAGGCCGACGCUUUGGCUCUAAGCACAUGAAGCACGAAGCAAGAGCGGUCCAAAUUAAGAAAGAGAGAAGACGAACGUGGGUACCACUUUUGUUGCAUCGAGGUUUCGAUGAUUUUUAAUGUCACGAUUCCUUGAUAGUUGCUAAGUCAAAUUUCUUGUAACGUAGAUCUAAUUCUAGCUGAAGAAACCCUCAAAAGUGGUGCCAAUUAGUCAGAUCUAAAGCGACCUCGGGAUCAUGUACAAGCUCCCUAAAGAGCAAGACCGAUGCACAUAUUUCUCACUUAUACUAUAAUAAAAACAUUUAUUUUUUUAUAGAGAGAUGGAUAGAAAUCCGGGAGAGUUUGAAUGGCCCUCCGUCGUUGUAAUUAGUUCUGUCCAAUCCAAAAGAUCAGUAAAAUUCCAAAAAAUGAUCGAUGGGUUCGAUAAGGCGUCAUGGUAAAUGACGUGACUUUGUUCAUACGAGGAGACAUCAUAGUUCUAAUCGGCUGCUAAAUGAUUGAUUGGCUGGACGGUAGGUUUCCUCGAUGGAGGAAGCUUACCAAGAAUUAAUAAUUGAGCAAUUUAGUUGAUAAUUAUGGGAGAGGAUUUAACGCCAUUCGAAGAAAGUUAUUUAAUAAUUAUUUUUUAACAGAUAUUUAAUAAUUCUUUUUUUUGGUCGUAUAUUUAAUAAUUCUUUGAAGUGAUUGCGUUUUGCACUUUUUCUAUGCGAAAUCAAAUUUCUAUUUCAAGUGGGUCUUCUUUAGUCUCCCAAUGACCCAUGAAGUAAAGUCAAAAGCGACAAAAAUUAAUUUGAUAUGACUUAAAAAAAAAAUAGUUAUUGUUUUCCCAUUUUGACAAGAUUUUCAAGGUUCAAAUUCAAUCGGAAGUCAGAUAGGUAAAAAAAAAGAAAGUUGAAAGAACAGUCUAUCAGUAUCCCGUCCACAUUGUAAGGUGAUUUAUAAAUUAAUAAUUAGAAGACAAGUUAGAGCAACUAUUUUUCCGGAAUUUCUCCCACAAAUGAAAUAGGCUUUAUCGAAAGUUGUUUUUUAGUUUUGGUAGAGGAAAACAAGUUCUGCGUUGACUCCGGACAUGAAAUAUCCAAGCAAAUAAGAAAAUCAAGGCUCGUAAAGUACAACUAUUACACUUGCCCAAAAAAAAAAAAGUACAACUAUUACAAGCGAACCAAAUAUAAACAAACUUUGCGAAAGUUUAAUUGACAAGAAAGCAUGAAUACGCCGAGAUAAAGAUACAUGUUGGAAUUUCAUUGAUAAUGCGAAUCUGAAAAUGAAAAAAAGUUUAGCGUAGUAAAGUAAAGAUAUUAAAAGAUAAUAAAUUUGUUUAAUUUGUACAAUGAGCCUUUAGUAGAUAAACGAUAGCAUUUCUAGUAGUCGUGCCAUAACUGCUUCCGAGCAAUUGCCUAUAUGUUCCCUUACUUCCUAAAGUUUUGUGUCUAUAAUUCUUAUGACACCAUGAUAUAGUGUUUGCACAAUUAUUCCUUAAAAAAUGUAUAUUAGUUGUUUCACGAUCUUGAUUGUGACAAUGCCAAGAUAAUCACUAAUUCUCACUCUCUUACACAUUUUUGAAUCCCUUAGUUUUUCAACCCAUAAGCCGAGUCUACAUUGCGUCCCUUUAAGGCAUUUGAAUUAAUGUAGAAAUUCAUAUGUUUAUAAGCAUCGCUCAAGAAGUACGAGUAAUAAUUCUAUAAGGUUUUUGACUUAUAAACCCAAAUAUGAUUGUACGACAUUUCUUUUAUAAGGAUUGACAUUGAUAGUCCCAUUUGUCAAGCCGUUGACCAAGCCUAUAUUACUGUCCAACAAAGACCUCUUAGAUUGGUAAAAUCGUAUCACUUGCAAGAAUACUCGAACCCUUGUCGACAUGAUGAUAGUGAGAUGAUGUGUUUCUUGUAAAUCAUGCAUUAAUGGUUAGGAUAAAGUAGCAUUUUCCAUGAGAGUGAGUAGAAAGCCCUUUUGAAUUGAUAGUCCCUCAUUUGACAUAAAAAUUGUUAAAUAGAUUUGUAUUGCAUGAAAGUGUUUUAGCGAUAUCAUUUUUUUUCCAAAAUCAUAAGAAAUAAACUUUCCUAGAUUUAGUAAAAUUGAUUGGUUAUGGGUUAGGAAUUUUGCACUAUGAUAAAUGGAUCUUAAAUGGGUUAAAUGGGUUGAUUUGGGUUGGAUUAUUUAUGAUCGAACCCAAAUCCGACCUGACUCACCCAUUUCAAACAAGUCUACUUUGUGGUGGUUGUGCAUCUUUGACUAUUUUUCCUCUGGACAGAACAUUGCUUUGCCCCCUUCUUCCUUUAGAUCUUGCCGUGAAUGGACCAUAUAUGCACAAUACUUCUUUUUGUCUUGUUCCGAUUUUAAAUUCUUGCUUCUCAUGUUAACCCAAACAUGUGGUCAUUCAUUUUUGCUUUAUUUCUUGUUUUAAAGCAAAAAUUAUCCCCAUGUGUGAUGCUUCUUUCUCAAGCAUACGCUUCCAUCAAAAAUCUUUUUUUUUCUUUUUUAAUAAUAGUAGCAAAUAUGCACUGCUGCUACCAAUCCACGGCCACUUAAAAGAUAAUGGGCUGAACUUGAUUUUUUUUUUAUUUAUAGAUUUAGUCCAAUUAACUCAAUUAAGCUUAGAACUAUUCACUAGAAUCCUUCGCCGCCAGUCCAGUGCAAAUGCAUUAACUAAAUUAUAUCAUGAAUGCUCUUAAAAUUAUAUGUUACAUAAUUUAAUUUAAUAUUUUUGUUCAGGGAUUGGGCUCGCUCUCUAAUAUUUAUAUGCAAUAAACAACUAUAUCUAUCAAUACGAAGUAUAAACCACGUUCCAACAAAACUUGAACGUUCAACAAGAGAGAGAACCAGCUUUAAGGAAUAGAGGGCCAUCUCAUAGGCCGUGGGCCAAGGUCAAGCGUUUCAUGGACUUGUGCUGCUGGGCGGAGGAUGAUCGAAUUGGAACUGGUUUUUUGGAUGGGCUGGAGAGUGAUGGGCCGAAUUGAGUUGGCUCUAAUUAGACCAAAUUCAGAUGUUAAUGGAUUCCUUUAGUUAAAUAGAAUGGUUAAAUAAUAAAGUGAAUACGUAGGAGCACUUUACAUGUCAUUGGGUCAAUUGAUCAUGUCCCUUUAUAUAAAGGAGGAAAACAUAGGAUUUUGACAGGUUCUUCAGCCAUUGAAGCCUAUUCUACCGAACUUUCUCAUUAUACAUGUUAGAUAUUUUUAAGAAGUCAUCUUUUGUUACCAAAUUAACACACUUUGGGCUAGUUGUUGAAAUAACAAUAAAUACUUUCAUUGCUAAGACAUUAAAGAAUAAGAGAAGCUAAUACAUGCAUGCAAUGUCCUCUAGAAAAUGCUUUGAGAAGCAUCUAUCUUUCGUUACAUUGUUUGUGAUUAGGCGAUAAGCAGUAGCAAUAGUAGUGCUUACAUGAGAAGAGAAUGAGGGGGAAAUUAUUAUCAUCUAGAAGUACAAAGUUCAACAAGUAAAAAAAUUUAAAGUUUAAUAUCUAAAGUUGUUGAGGCAUGUACCUCUCUAAACUUAGAUUUGUAAGAUCGAUGUUUGUCAAUCGUUGGAGCACCCUUCGUCUACAUGAUUAGAAAGUCCUUGUUCUAUAGACGGCAUGCCUUGCUCAUUGUUUAUAUCAUCAUUGUUUUGGCUGAUAUCUCUUGACAAACUCAGAGGGAAGUUAGUGUUUUCCAAAGUUUCAACGGCUGCAAUCUCAUUGUCGCCAUCAUCCAUAUUUCUAUCUCUAAAUCUGGCUUUCUCAAAAGUAUGGGAGUUGAGGUCUCUUUCGUAAAAUCUUCUUCCCAAUGUAACAAAUUUCUCCCGUAAUGAACCUGAAGGACUUGCAACGACAUGCCAGUUUCUUUUAACAAACAUGACCAUGAAGAUGAGGAGAGCUAAAACUGCAGCAGCUCCAGCAAUCAAGAAUAGGCCCCAAAAACUGUCAAGAUCCAAGCUGUUGGAAGAAUCCGGGUAGUUGGAUUUCGGUGGCAACCAUUUAUUUUCGAUUUCCAUCAUUUUAAGCACUUCAGUAUCAUUAAGGAUUACUCGGGAAAUAUCAGGUACUAGUGGAGACCCUUUGGGGAAAACCUGUAAACAAAAGGCAAGACAUGAGAGUUUUCAAACAAAAAAAUAAAUAAUAAUCCUAGUAAUAGGAAAUUUUGAGGGUUUUCUUUUCGGGGCUGAGAGAUUGAGGACUUACAAAGCCAAAUCCAGCACUUCUUAAUGUUGGGAUCAUGGUAUAUCUUUUGCAAUAUUGAGAAAUGGCAAAUUUAAUGUAGGGGACUUCAUCGAAUGCUGCUGCAAUCCCGCCCUUGUCACUUCCCUUGGAAAGAAGCACGUCGCAUUCUUCAGUGGACUUAUAAGAUAUAAGUCUGGAAUCAUGGAACCUCAUUUACUUUAACAUUCCAUAAACAAAAGAGUUUUCCAAGUAACCCACAUUUGCUCCACUCUUAAGGAGCUCAUCCACAUCAACCACAGUUGGUUGAAGAUUUUGCACCACCAAAAGAGAGCUCAAGCUUGCCGUAUAACAUUGCGUUAGUAUAAGUACCACGAAAACCCACACGAUCACAACAAAUCUGGCUAGGUUGCUUAAUACUCUCUCCCCUGCAAUCCAAAUUAAGGGAAAGCACCUAAAUUAUCCAAGAAUGAUAUGUAGAUUACAAUGUUCAAUUGAUUUUUUAAAGUGAAGGGUGAUUACUUUGUGCAAAGACCAUGAUUGAAAACGAAAACCAAAAGCUCGUGCCAACUUGAUGCCCGGCCGGACCCUGGAAAUCUUCAUUAAUUUGGUGUUCAAGAAUCCACACGACGAAUGCUAUAAACACAAAGAAGCAUCCGAUUGUUAACCAAAGGUCCCAAGUGAGUGGCUUCAAGAAAACCCAAGCAUUCUUGCCCUUGCUGUCCUUGUAUGGCACAAGCAUUGCGACCCCCGGUUCGGUGUAUGGUGCCUUGAAGUCCACGUAUAGUGAUCUGUUUGCAGUGAUUGAUAUAUCACCCACGAUUCCAUCGUAAUUCUAUUCCAACAAAAAAAAAAUGGGAAUGUUUCUUUGUCAACAACGUGCUAGCAUAGUAAGUUUCAACAAGUAUUCCAACAAAAUCAAGAAAUUACUUGAUCGAUCAUGUCAUUGUAACUACCCAUGCUACUUCCAUUGGAAAAGGCAAACGGAAUAAGGUCAUAAGCCACAACAUAAGGCAAUUUUUCUAUAAUGGUCUGAAAGAUGUCAAUACAAUAUCCAGUGACUUUGGAUGUAUUUGUGCUAAGAUCAUUAGUCACUUGCACGAAUGGAUUGAAAUCAUCCCUCACAGGGACUAAAAUUUUCAGCCUCUUCCCAUUUGUGGGAGUGUCCCAUCCCUUAGGAAUGGAGGUGGAAUCUCCUGGCCAUAUUAUCGAUCCGAGAUUACUCUUCGAAGUGGAAUAUUUACUUUUGCUGAAUGAAUACAAAUCUCUUCGCAGCCCAUUUUCUUGCGUCCAAAACCCAAUCCCUCUUGCUGCAUGUCCAUUGAUAUUAACAAUCUGGAAUGUUGACCACUCUAGCUGCCCAUGAACGAUUCUAAAAUUUCCAGUGAGGCCCGUGAAUGUCGUACUGGCUAGUUCUUGGAGAAGUUUCGGACCACUUUUAGAGACCCCAAUAAUGUCGAGAUCUGUUGUAUCUAUUGAAGCAUCAAACAUCUGGAAGGUAAAAUUAGCCACACCCAUUUCCUCGACAGCCAUUGCUAGAGCUUGAGCAGCGUCAUAAGCCCAGUAUCCAAAAAUGUUCAACGUAGGAUUAAGGACGGAUGGAUUGUCUUGUUGGAAUUUCAUCUUCCAUCGGGCCGUGAAGUUGUUCAGGUUUGGUGUGUUCGGGAUGUAAGUGUUGAUGCCCAAUACUCCUUGCAUCGAACUAGUGACCACAGAUGAAUCCACAGAACUCAAUUGGUCAGUGAUUCCAUUAGUCAAGAUCCACACAUAACCUUCGCUCGUCAUUCCCACCUCUUUUGCUUUGACAAAUAGCCGAGAUCCGAGGGUCGGUAACAUGUGCAUUAUGAAGACCCUCGCUUGCAUAAUCAUUAACUUGUAGAGUUCCUGCAGGAUUUGACUGUCCGUGGCUGAAGGAGGAAUGAGGCUCCUAUAAGACACUCGCGUGUCGACCUCUUCCAAAGCAUCCGUAAGAGAAGGUAUGAUGCCUUCUCCGAACUCAUUGUUCACGUAUAUGAGGACCACUUCUCUCCAGCCAAAAGCUUGCACGACUACGCUUAUGGCAUUCACUUGCGAUGAGUCAUUUUGCGCAGCUCGAAUGAAGUAAGGACUCCGAAUGGAACUGAGGGAAGGACCAGUAGCAGAAAAAGAGAUGAUCGGCACAUGAGAUUUUUUUCCAAGGUGAAUGAUGAAAUUUGCUUGCAAUGAACCUUGAGGUCCUAUUAUGGCUUGGACUUGCUUAUUCUUUAUUAGAUCAAGUGCUGCAAGGGUGAGCAAAAGAUGGAGAAACAAUAACAACAUGGCACAUAAUGGAAAUUAUUAUUGAAAAGGCAUGGUAUUGAUCAGAAGCCAAUUAAACUUGAUGUGGUAUUAUAGAAAUAAAACGUUUAAGAAAAAGUAAAAUAGAAGUUUGAAGUUGGAAUAUAAUUAUUUACCAGAUUGCAGGCAUUCGUUGUUGCCUUUGAUAUUCUUUGGCAUAUGAUAUUGCAUACCAAUCAGAAACUAAUCUUUCAUGAAAGUAAAUUUAGAACAAAUAAGAAUGGAUAAAUUGGUGCAGACAAAUAAGUUGAUUUCUUUAUUUCAUGGCAUCAAAUUAUUCCACUCUAGAAUCCAAGCCCCAUAUUGCAAUUGUAUGAAUUUUGUGAGGUCAGACCUAUGUGAAGUUUUAUUAUAUAUCAAGCCUCUCGGCAUCCACUGCUUGCAUGCAUUAACAAUUAUUUGGUGGAACUAGAAAUCUUAGUUGUUUUAUUUCAUCAUUAAUGACACACAACUUCCAUGGAAAUAAAUCACUGGCUCAGCUUGAACAAUCUUGUUAACCAUGAUGUUUGGGUCAAUUGGAAAAAUAAAGGGAUAAUACCCUAAAAAACCCCAAACUGGUACACUUGUGACAAAUUUACCCCAAACUAUUUUUUUGACCACCAAAAACCCCAAAUUGGUAUACUUUUGACAAAUUUAUCCCAAACUGAUACACUUGUGACAAAUUUACCCUAUAUUAGUUUUCGUUAAAUUUUAUUCUCAAAUUAUUAAGUUAAAUGACACGUGACAAUUAACCAGUAUAUCAAUUUAGGAUUUUACGUUCCGUUUGUCACGAUUUACAAUUUUUAUGAUUUUUUUUUGUGGUAUUAAUAUAAUUUAGCAUAGGGUAUAUUUGACACAAAUUUACCAGUUUAGGAUUUUUUGCAGUCGAAUAAAUUAGUUUGAGGGUAAAUUUGUCAUAAAUGUAUCAGUUUAGGGUUUUUUAUAAUCAGUCGGGGUAAAUUUGUCACAAGUUUACCAGUUUGGGGUUUUUUAUGGUCAAAAAAAUAAUUUGGGGUAAAUUUGUCACAAGUGUACCAGUUUGGGGUUUUUUAAGGUAUUAUCCCAAAAAUAAAUCAGUGAAAUUAUGUAGAGAUAUGUACCAUGUACAUAUUUUUCCAAAGAAAGUAAUUUGAAAUUAUCUCCAUCAGCCUUCCCCCUGAAGUGACUAUUUUACUACGUAGUAUGUAUCGUUUGCAAGAUCAUUUCUGAUAGGAUUCACUAUGCAUACAUAAUUUCGUAGAAUAUUACUACAUUUAUAGUGGGAUGAGAGUCAUAAGAGAGCUAUAUAUUCUUCAAAGAAUAGAAUAGAUGAUAGUAGUCCCACUAUACCAUCCAAGACCAUAAACAAAAAUCCUCCAUUCACGUGUUGUUAUCAAGAUCAAAUCUUGUAUCCAUAAAUCUAUGUACAUUUGUAUAUUGGUGAACUACAAGAUAAUAGAGAUGGCAAACUUCUCAAUUCUAAGAUCAAUGAGAUAAGUGCAUUAAAAAUCAUAGAUUUUUUUCACAAAGGUACAAUUGAGUAUUAAAACUUAUUAUGGAAGUACAAUUGAGUUUUAAAAAUUCAAGAAAUAGUGCUUCACUCUUAAACCACAAACCAAAACCACAAGAAGUAUCUCUUUUAAUUUAUUGCUACAAAAAAUAUUUAAAAAUUGCCAUGUCAGCUUUCGUUGGACAGCUGGCGUUCACGUUAGCACCGGCCGGCCAAUUUUGGCCGAAUAAAUUAAACUGACACAAUUGUAAAAUGUUUAGAACUAAAUUAGAUUUAAAAAAAUUUGAAACUGAAUUGAUAUAAUUGUAAUAGGUUUAUGACUUUUUUUCGUAAUUCUCCUUUGAUAAAACACUCCCUCAGGAAAACAACCCAACCACGCCCCUAACAACACACAACCCCACCCUCCGGGGGAAGUUUUAUCUGGCAAUAAAUUAAAAGGUUCCAUGCUCAAAUGUAACUCUCAGUGACCAAUCUUGUUAUGAAGUCGGCGUGGCGUUGAUUGACCAUAACCCACGAAUCCCCUCCACUCUCAAGCUAAGUGUCAAAAUGCCGGUCUCGUGCGACCGAAAGACUUGGGGGCAUUAAAUUGUUACCCUCCUCAUUCCCAGUGUGAAAGAGAUCAAAUUGAAUGUUAAGUACCGACUUUUUGUUGUCUUUGAUUUUAUUAGAAGAUGAUAAAUGCACUAAACGGCUGUUUAGUGCAAAAUUAACGUUGGUCGUUUCUUCUGGGAGCUCUGGAAAUUGGGGCUGUGAGAAUCUCUGCUGUGAGAAUGCAUAUAGCUUUGAAUGGAACACAAAUUAUUUUGUCGUGUCCUUGAAAAUUUGACUGGGAAUUCUUCUCGAAUGAAAAUGAAAAUUUCAUAAGAUUGGCAAACACGUCAUUAUGAACAAUAAUUAGAUUCAUCUUAAAUCGCACAAACAGCUGCAUAAAGUACUUCAUCCUCUAUGACCAGUCAAUACGCCACAGAGAGAGAGAGAGAGAGAGAGAGAGAGAGAGAGAGAGAGAGAGAGAGAUAACCUGCGGCAGCAGCAGCAACCUCAUCUCCUUUGGAAUCUCUUACAUUGAGGACGAGCCUAGUCUUGUAGGAAGGGUUUGAAGUAUAGAAGUCAGAGAGAGAAAUGUUAAUGCAGCUCAAUCCCAUCCGACCCACCCACGUCUCCAGAUCAAGAACCACCCCAACGUUCACCAGGAACGUUUGGGCAUUAUUGUUACCGCUCUGCGCCAUGGUGAUCUGAGGGCCCUCCCUGAAAGUCGUGACGAUUGUGAAAAAGGCGAGAGCCAAAAGGAGGAGCUUUUCAGCGUCGGACGAGACUCUUGGAGGAACCAUUGAAAAGGGUUUCGGGAUAAGGCAAGUGUGCGUUAGAAAUCCCAUUCAAGGGUUGCUCAAGUGGACGGGCCGCACAACUAAUUUGUGAUGGGAAAGCAAUACGAGGAUGAUGAUAAGGGAAGCCAGCACAUAAAUUCAAUUUUUCUCCCCAUCUCAGUCUAAUCUAUGAGAUUUUGCCUUUUUACCCCAGACAAAAUGCCAGAAUAAAUGCUUCUUCGCGCGACCUUGAAAGAGUGCAAGGAACCUUUUCCGUACGCAGAUUUGAAAAAAAAGGAUUGCAAUUGUCCAUUUACGGCCUCUCUAGUGACCUAAGUAACAUUGACAUCAAUACAAGACACGUGAUACAACAUGACACGCUGACACGUUAUUUCUCAAAAAUUAAAAAUUCCGAAACGUUGGGACACAUUUUAUAAGUAUUAUUUUUAUCAAAUUAAUUUGAUUCAAAUUCACAAAUAAAUAAUUAAUAAUAAUAAAAAGCAUAUAAUGAAUUUACAUCAAAAACAUUAAUCUAUAAUUUGUUAAUAUCAUUCAUUGUUUCAAUUUGACGAAUUUAAUUUCAUUUUUAAAAUCCGGAAAAAAAAAAACAAGCAAUCCACAUUGUGGACUUGCAUGUUAGAGCAUGUCGAAAAAGAAAGAAAAAAACAAACUUGGGGGUGAAUUGUGUAUCACAAGAAGUGAGAGUCAGAAGAGAAGAGAAAAUUAUGUUUUUCUUCUUUCCCAUUUUGUUAUUUUUAUUAUUUCUUAUCUUUUUUACAUAUUUACAUUUUGGUCCCUCAUUUAUUAAAAUUUUUUAAAAUUGAUCUGUGCAUGUCGAAAUUCCGAAGUCGAGUGUUGAAGAGUGUUGGCAGAGUUAAUUGAGUAUCGGAUUUUCCAACAUCUGUUGACCUAGUAUUGGAGAGUAUUGAAGAAAGUCAGACAAGUGUCGAAGUGUCCAACAUGAGAGGCUUUUGGAAAGUCUCAGUGCUUCCUAAUCGAUGAUAUUAUGCACGGUUAGCUCUAGUUUCCCUCCUAAGAAAACGAAACUAUGUGGGGUUUUCUCUUUUGUGCGGGCUAAGAAAUCUAUAGAUGUAAAAUUAGUUGCGGGUUUUCUCUUAUGUGGGGUUUUUUUUUUUUUUUAAUACUGGAAAAGUCAAUAAUCAUACUAGUGUAUUUUAUAGUAGACACAAGUCAAUAAGCUUUUAAAAUUCUUUUUUGGGUCUCGUUAUCAAGUUAUCAUAAAAGAUAAAGAAAUAUUUUCAUUCCCAAUCCAAUGAUGCAAGUAACAUGAGAGGGAUUGUAUGAUAUCCCAAAAUUUGAUUCAUAUUUUGAAAUAUAUGAUAUGAUUAUUUCGUCGACGCGCUUAUACUUACUUUACUCUGAUCUGAUCACUUACGAGUUAACUAAUCUAUUGGGCGAUGCCGUAAAUGAGUAAAAUGUGAAAGAUUAAAGAAUUUGAUCAGAAGUUGAUCGCUCGACCAUAAGGAUCAACAAUGGUUAAUACUACACUGUUAUAAAUAAAUUAACAAACAGAUAUAAAUUGAUUUGAAAGAAUUACGUAGUCAGUUCGUAAGUGAUUCUAUACAAUUACGAUAUUCGUGUCGAACGACGAUAAACCGAUUCACGAUUCGAAGAGGCAUAAACAUGAAUCGAAAAUUAUUGACUAGGGUUCAACCGCACGAGAACCUCUAAAAACCACAAGAUAUAUUAGGUCAUACUAAAAUCAUGUUCGAUCGAUUUUUAAUCAUGAAAUUUAAUUCGAUUUUGAAUAUCGAACUUUCGAGGAUUUCGAGAUUAAAUUAUUAGACGUCAUCUCAUUGUCCGUCAAAUUAUUGGCAAGUCCAAAAUUUUCUGGAAAAUGAAUUAUCGGACGAAAAAUUGGAGACGGAAAAAAGAAAGAAAUUAGAAUCAAGAGGCAAAAUUGAAAUUUUUGAACUAAAAAGAUUUUUUUUAUGAAAUUAGAAAUAAGAAGAAAGGUGGGGACAUAACACAAGAGGGUUUUAAGGAAGUGUGGGUGAAGAAUUAUGUUCCCAUACUUCCUAAAGUAUUGUGUCCAUAUUCUCACAGUGCCAUGAUAUAGUGUUUGCACAGUUAUUCCUUAAAAAAUGUAUAUUAGUUGUUUCAUGAUCUUGAUUGUGACAAUGCCGAGAUAAUCACCAACUCUCACUCUUUUACACAUUUUUUAAUCCCUUAGUUUCUCAACCCAUAAGCCGAGUCUACAUUGUGUCUCUUUAAGGCAUUUGAAUUAACGUAGAAAUUCAUAUGUUUAUAAGCAUCGCUCAAGAAGUACGAGUCAGAUUAUUUCUUUUUCAUUUCUAUAGGGUUAUUGACAUAUAAACCUAGAGAUGAUCGCACGACAUUUCUUUUAUAAGCAUUGACCUUGAUAGUCCCCUUUGUCAAGCCGCUAACCAAGCCUGUAUUACUAUCCCAACAAAGACCUCUCAAAUUGGUAAAAUCAUACCACUUGCGAGAAUACUCAAACUCUUAUUGACAUGAUGACAGUGAGAUGAUGUGAUCCUUGUAAAUCCUACAUUAAUGGUUAGGAUAAAAUAGUAUUUUCCAUGAAAGUGAGUAGAAAGCCCUUUCGAAUUGAUAGUCCCUCAUUUGACAUAAAAAUUGUCAACUAGAUUUGUAUUGCAUGAAAGUGUUAUGCGAUAUCAUUUUUUUUUCUAAAAUCAUAAGAAAUAAACUUUCCUGGAUUUAGUAAAAUGGGUUGGAUAUGGGUUAAGAAUGAUAAAUGGGCCAUAAAUGAGUUAAAUGGGUUGAUUUGGUGGGAUCAUUUAUGAUCGGACCAAAAUCCAACCCGACUCACCCGUUUCAAACAAGUCUACUUUGUGGUGAUUGUGCAUCUUUGACUAUUUUUCCUCUGGACAGAACAUUGCUUUGCUCCCUUCUUCCUUUAGAUCUUGCCGUGAAUGGACAAUAUGCACAAUACUUCUUUUUGUCUUGUUCCGAUUUUAAAUUCUUGCUUCUCAUGUUAACCCAAAUAUUCAGUCAUUCAUUUUUGCUUUAUUUCUUGUUUUAAAGCAAAAAUAUCCUAUGAAAAAUUGGAACUGAAAUCCACCUGUUAGUUGCAUGGAUCCAUCCAAGAACCGGACCGCCGGUCCAAUCCGAUUCCCAGAUGGAUCCAUGGAACCAAUCUCACAAUAAUAAUAAUAUUAUUUUCUCAAAAGCUCCGAUUUUGACGGGAAACAACUUUGGUUUUCAACCAAAAUAGUUGGUUCUUCACCGCUUGACCUAUUCUUCUUCUCCUCCUCCUGCAGCCCUGUUUCUUCACGUGCUUGCAUUUUGCCCACCAAUUGCUCGACGUUUUGUCAAGGUGCGGUUUGGACUUUUUAGAUUCAAUGCCUCUCCAUUUGGUUUGACUGGAGAUCAACGCCUCCAUUUGGUGCACUUUGGACUUUUUUUCCCACUUUAAUUAUUUGAUUUGGGUUUGUUAAUUUGUAAUUUUAUUUUUUUUAGUAUUAAAAAUUAAUAUAUUAUUUUCAUAUAAUCGGUCUGGUUCGGAUGGGUGGGUGGACGAAUCUGCCCAUGGAACCAAGAACCGGACCGGUUCCCUCGAGAACCACCGGUUCCGGGCGUUCCGGGUGAGUCAUGAUUCUAUUGCACACCCCUACGGUCUCGUACGACCGAAAGACCUAGGGGAUUAUAUUGUUACCCUCCUCAUUCCCAGUGUGAAAUAGAUCAAUUUGAAUGUCCAGUACCGACUUUUUGUUUGUCUUUGAUUUUAUUAGAAGAUGAUAACGACUUCUUUUUCACAACGAUCAAAGCCCCCUUGGAGAUAAUGCACUAAACAGCUGUUUAGUGCAAAAUUAACGUUGGUCGUUUCUUCUGGGAGCUCUGGAAAUUGGGGUUUGAGAAUCUCUGCUGUGAGAAUGCAUAUAGCUUUGAAUGGAACGCACAUUAUUUUGUCGUGUCCUUGAAAAUUUAACCGGGAAUUCUUCUCAAAUGAAAAUGAAAAUUUCAUAAGAUUGGCAAACACCUCAUUAUGAACAAUAAUUAGAUUCAUCUUAAAUCGCACGAACAGCUGCAUAAAGUACUUCAUCCUCUAUGACCAGUCAACACGCCACAGAGAGAGAGAGAGAGAGAGAGAGAGAGAGAGAGAACCUGCGGCAGCAGCAGCAACCUCAUCUCCUUUGGAAUCUCUAACAUUGAGGACGAGCCUAGUCUUGUAGGAAGGGUUUGAAGUAUAGAAGUCAGAGAGAGAAAUGUUAAUGCAGCUCAAUCCCAUCCGACCCACCCACGUCUCCAGAUCAAGAACCACCCCAACGUUCACCAGGAUCGUUUGGGCAUUAUUGUUACCGCUCUGCGCCAUGGUGAUCUGAGGGCCCUCCCUGAAAGUCGUGACGAUUGUGAAAAAGGCGAGAGCCAAAAGGAGGAGCUUUUCAGCAUCGGACGAGACUCUUGAGAAGGCAAAGCGCGCGUUUUUUGCAUGAGAGAGAGACUUGGAGGAUACGACGACGACGACGACGAUGUAUUUAUAAUGGGGAAAAGCAUGGAAAUCCCAUUCAAGGGUUGCUCACGUGGACGGGCCCCAUAACUAAUUUGUAAUGGGAAAGCAGUACGAAGCCAGACAUAAAUUCAAUUAUUCUCCCCAUCUCAGUCUAAUCUUGGAUGUGAUUUUGCCUUCUAACCCCCGACAAAAUGCCAGAGUAAAUGCUUCUUCACGCGGCUUUGAAAGAAUGCAAGGAACCUUUUCCUUACGCGGAUUUGAAAAAAAAGAUUGCAAUUGUCCUUUAGCAUUAACAUUAAUACACGACAUGCCGACACACUAUUUUCCAAAAAAUAGAAAAUUCCAAAACGUUGGGACACAUUUUAUAAUUAUUAUUUUUAUUAAAUUAAUUUGAUUCAAAUUCACAAAUAAAUAAGUAAUAAUAAAAAAUAUAGAAUGAAUUUACACUAAAAACAUUAAUUCAUAAUGUGUUAAUAUCAUUCAUUGUUUUAAUUUAACAAAUUCAACUUCAUUUCAAUAAUUCGGAAAAAAGAAGAAAAAAGCAAGCAAUCCACAUUAUGGAUUUGCAUGUCAAAGCAUGUCGGAAAAGAAGGGAAAAAACAAACUUGGGGGUGAAUUAUGUGUUACAGGAAGUGAGAGUCAAAAAAGAAAAGAAGACUAGAUUUUUUUUUCUCAUUUUGUUAUUUUUAUUAUUUCUUAUUUUUUAUACAUAUUUACAGUUUGGUCCCUCAUUUAUUGAAUUUUUUUUUUAAAUUGAUCUAUGCAUGUCAGAAUUCCAGAGUCGAGUGUUGAAGAGUGUUGGGAGAGUUAAUCAAGUAUCAAAUUUUCCGAUAUCUAUUGACCUAGUAUUGGAGAGAGUCAGAGAGGAUCAAACACGUGUCGAAGUGUUCAACACGCACAAAGGCUUCCGAAAAGUAUUAGUGCUUCCUAAUCGAUGGCAUCAUGCACUAUUAGCUCUGGUUUCCCUCCUAAGAAAACAAAACUAUGUGGGGUUUUCUCUUUUGUGUGGGCUAAGAAAUCUAUAGACGUAAAAUUGGUAGCGUACUUAGCUAUGAAAUUGGUCGAUUGGUUUUUUCUUAUAUUGGAAAAGCUAGGAAUCACAGUAGUGUAUUUUAUAGUAGACACAAGUCAAUAAGCUUUUAAAAUUUUUUUUUGGGUCUCGUUAUCAAGUUAUCAUAAAAGAUAAAAAAAUAUUUUCAUUCCCAAUCCAAUGAUGCAAGUAACACGAGAGGGAUUGUGUGAUAUCCCUACAUCUGAUCCCUAUUUCGAAAUAUAUGAAAUGAUUAUUUUGUCAAUACGCUUAUACUUACUUUACUCUGACCUAAUCAUUCACGAGUUAACUAAUUUAUUGGGUGAGGCCGUAAAGAGGCAAAAUGAGAAAGAUUAGAGAAUUUGAUUAGAAAUUGAUCGCUCGAUCAUAAGGAUUGAUAAUGGUCAAUACCACACUGUUAUAAGUCAAUUAACGAAUGGAUAUAAAUCGAUUCGACAGAACUAUGUAGUCAGCUUGUGGGUAAUUCCACAUGAUUAUGAUAUUCAUCUCGAACGACGAUAAACCGAUUUUCUAUUGAUUUUAUAUUCAUGGUACAUAAUUGAACUCUCACGAUUACAUGAUAACUGAUGGUCAUCCGUGAUUUGAAGAGGCACAAAUAUGAAUCGAAAAUUAUUGACCAUGGGUCAAUCUCGUGAAAACCCCUAAAAGCUACUAGAUAGAUUAUGUCGUACUAAAGUCGCAUUCGAUCGAUUUUCAAUCACGAAAUUUAAUUCGAUUUCAAGUAUCGAACUUUCGAAAAUUUUGGGAUUAAAUUAUUAGAUGUCGUCUCAUCAUCCGUCAAAUUAUUGGCAAGUCUAAAAUUUUCGGAAAAGGAAUUAUCGGACAAAAAAUUGGAGACCGGAAAAAAGAAAUUAGAAUCAAGAGGCAAAAUUGAAAUUUUUGAACUAAAAAGAUUCUUUUUUAUGAAAUUAGAAAUAAAAAGAAAGGUGGGGACAUAAUACAAGAGGGUUUUAAGGAAGUGGGUUUUAAGGAAGUGUGGGUGAAGAGUAUGAUGAGAUUUUGGGAAGUAUCUCGAGGAAUCUUUUGUAUUUUCUUUCUUUCUUUUUCUUCUCUCUCCUCUCUCUUUCUUCCUCAUUCCACUCGCGCCUCCUCCCUCUGCAGACCGCCCAUCCUCCCUUCUCUCCUUCUUCUUCUCCACCUCCACUUCAUUCCCCCUCCUUCCCUCACGCCUUUCUCCCCCAUCUCUGCCCAUUCUUCCCCCUCCUCCUUUUGUUUUUCAUUUUCCUCAAACUCCCUCAUUUUCUUUCCACCACCAUCACUUACGCCACCCCCAUCACCCCAUCACCACCGCCCACACCACCGUACACCACCGUACACCACCACACAUCACCGCCAUCUCCACCACCGCUCACCGCCGUCAUCUCCACUGUUGUCCGCUCGAGUCACCACUGCAGCCAUCGCCAAUCCGAACCACCUUUUUUUAUACAGAGAUGGAUAGAAAUCCAGGAGAGUUUGAAUGGCCCUCCGUCGUUGUGGUCAGUUCUGUCCAAUCCAAAGGAUCUAUAAAAUUCCAAAAAAUGGUCGAUGGGUUCGAUAAGGCGUCUUGGUAAAUGACGUGACUUUGUUCAUAAGAGAGGACAUCAUAGUUCUAAUUGGCUGCUAAAUGAUUGAUUGGCUGGACGGUAGGUUCCCUCGAUGGAGAAAGCUUACCAAGAAUUAAUAAUUGAGCAGAUUAGUUGAUAAUUAUGGGAGAGGAUUCAACGUUGUUUGAAGAAAGUUACUCGGUAAUUCUUUGAAGUGAUUGCAUUGUGCACUUUCCAAUGCGAGAACAAAUUUCUUUUUCAAGUGGGUCUUCUUUAGUCUCACAAUGGCCGAUGAAGUAAGAUCAAAAGCGACAAAAUUAAUUUGAUGUAACUUGGUAAAAAAUAGUUACCGUUUUCCCAUUUUGACAAGAUUUUCAAGGUUCAAAUUCAAUCGGAAGUCAGAUAGGUCAAAAAAAAAAAAAGUUGAAAGAACAGUCUAUCAAUAUCCCGUCCACAUUGUAAGGUGAUUUAUAAAUUAAUAAUUAGAAGACAAGUUAGAGCAACUAUUUUGCUGGAAUUUCUCCCACAAAUGAAAUAGGUUUUAUUGAAAGUUGUUUUUUUAGUUUUAUUAGAGGAAAACAAGUUCUGUGUUGACUCCGGACAUGAAAUAUCCAAGCAAAUAAGAGAAUCAAGGCUCGGAAAGUACAACUAUUACAAGCGAACCAAAUAUAAACAAACUCUGCCAAAACUUAAUUGAUAAGAAAGCCUGAGUAUGCCGAGAUAAAGAUACAUGUUGGAAUUUCAUUGAUAGCGAAUCUGAAAAAUAAAAGUUUAGCGCAAUAAAGUAAAGAUAUUAAAAGAUAAUAAAUUUGUUUAAUUUGUACAAUGAGCCUUUAGUAGAUGGACGAUAGUAUUUCUAGUAGUUGUGCCAUAACUACUUCCAAGCGAUUGCCUAUAUGUUCCCAUACUUCCUAAAGUUUUGUGUCCAUAUUCUCACGGUGCCAUGAUAUAGUGUUAUUCCUUAAAAAAUGUAUAUUAGUUUUUUCAUGAUCUUGAUUGUGACAAUGCCGAGAUAAUCACCAACUCUCACUCUUUUACACAUUUUCGAAUCCCUUAGUUUCUCAACCCAUAAGCCGAGUCUACAUUGUGUCCCUUUAAGGCAUUUGAAUUAACGUAGAAAUUCAUAUGUUUAUAAGCAUCGCUCAAGAAGUACUAGUAAGAUUAUUUUUUUUUCAUUUCUAUAGGGUUAUUGACUUAUAAACCUAGAGAUGAUCGCACGACAUUUCUUUUAUAAGCAUUGACCUUGAUAGUCCCCUUUGUCAAGCUGCUAACCAAGCCUGUGUUAAUAUCCCAACAAAGACCUCUCAGAUUGGUAAAAUCAUACCACUUGCGAGAAUACUCAAACUCUUAUCGACAUGAUGACAGUGAGAUGAUGUGAUUCUUGUAAAUCCUACAUUAAUGGUUAGGAUAAAAUAGCAUUUUCCAUGAAAGUGAGUAGAAAGCCCUUUCGAAUUGAUAGCCCCUCAUUUGACAUAAAAAUUGUCAACUAAAUUUGUAUUGCAUGAAAGUGUUAUGCGAUAUCAUUUUUUUUUUCUAAAAUCAUAAGAAAUAAACUUUCCUGGAUUUAGUAAAAUGGGUUGGAUAUGGGUUAAGAAUGAUAAAUGGGCCAUAAACGAGUUAAAUGGGUUGAUUUGGUGGGAUCAUUUAUGAUCGGACCAAAAUCCAACCCAACUCACCCGCUUCAAACAAGUCUACUUUGUGGUGAUUGUGCAUCUUUGACUAUUUUUCCUCUGGACAGAACAUUGCUUUGCUCCCUUCUUCCUUUAGAUCUUGCCGUGAAUGGACCAUAUAUGCACAAUACUUCUUUUUGUCUUGUUCCGACUUUAAAUUCUUGCUUCUCAUGUUAACCCAUAUAUUCAGUCAUUCAUUUUUGCUUUAUUUCUUGUUUUAAAGCAAAAAUAUCCCCGUGUGUGAUGCUUCUUUCUCAAGCACACGCUUCCAUCAAAAAUCUUUUUUUUUUAAAUAAUAAUAGCAAAUAUGCACUGCUGCUACCAAUCCGCGGCCACUUAAAAGAUAAUGGGCUGAACUUGAUUUUUUUUAUAGGUUUAGUCCAAUUAACUCAAUUAAGCUUAGAACUAUUCACUAGAAUCCUUCGCCGCCAGUCCAGUGCAAAUGCAUUAACUAAAUUAUAUCAUGAAUGCUCUUAAAAUUAUAUGUUACAUAAUUUAAUUUAAUAUUUUUGUUCAGGGAUUGGGCUCACUCUCUAAUAUUUAUAUGCAAUAAACAACUAUAUCUAUCAAUACGGAGUAUAAACCACGUUCCAACAAAACUUGAACGUUCAACAAGAGAGAGAACCAGCUUUAAGGAAUAGAGGGCCAUCUCAUAGGCCGUGGGCCAAGGUCAAGCGUUUCAUGGACUUGUGCUGCUGGGCGGAGGAUGAUCGAAUUGGAACUGGUUUUUUGGAUGGGUUGGAGAGUGAUGGGCCGAAUUGAGUUGGCUCUAAUUAGACCAAAUUCAGAUGUUAAUGGAUUCCUUUAGUUAAAUAGAAUGGUUAAAUAAUAAAGUGAAUACUUAGGAGCACUUUACAUGUCAUUGGGUCAAUUGAUCAUGUCCCUUUAUAUAAAAGAGGAAAACAUAGGAUUUUGACAGGUUCUUCAGCCAUUGAAGCCUAUUCUACCGAACUUUCUCAUUAUACAUGUUAGAUAUUUUUAAGAAGUCAUCUUUUGUUACUAAAUUAACACACUUUGGGCUAGUUGUUGAAAUAACAAUAAAUACUUUCAUUGCUAAGACAUUAAAGAAUAAGAGAAGCUAAUACAUGCAUGUAAUGUCCUCUAGAAAAUGCUUUGAGAAGCAUCUAUCUUUCGUUACAUUGUCUGUGAUUAGACGAUAAGCAGUAGCAAUAGUAGUGCUUACAUGAGAAGAGAAUGAGGGGGGAAUGAUUAUUGUCUACAAGUACAAAGUUCAACAAGUAAAAAAAUUUAAAGUUUAAUAUCUAAAGUUGUCGAGGCAUGUACUUCUCUACACUUACAUCUGUAAGAUCGAUGUUUGUCACUUUUUAGGGCACCCUUUGUCUACAUGAUUAGAAAGUCCUUGUUCUGCAGACGGCAUGCCUUGCUCAUUGUUUGUAUCAUCAUUGUUUUGGCUGAAAUCUCUUGACAGACUCAGAAGGAAGUUAGUGUUUUCCAAAGUUUCAACAGCUGCAGUCUCAUUGUGGCCAUCAUCCGUAUUUCUAUCUCUAAAUCUGGCUUUCUCAAAAGUAUGGGAGUUGAGGUCUCUUUCAUAAAAUCUUCUUCCCAAUGUAACAAAUUUUUCCCGUAAUGAACCUGAAGGACUUGCAAAGACAUGCCAGUUUCUUUUGACGAACAUGACCAUGAAGAUGAGGAGAGCUAAAACUGCAGAAGCUCCAGCAAUCAAGAAUAGGCCCCAAAAACUGUCAAGACCCAAGCUGUUGGAAGAAUCCAGGCAGUUCGAUUUCGGUGGAAGCCAUGUAUUUUCGAUUUCCAUCAUUUUAAGCACUUCAGUAUCAUUAAGGAUUACUCGGGAAAUAUCAGGUACUAGCGGAGACCCUUUGGGGAAAACCUGUAAACGAAAGGCAAGACAUGAGAGUUUUCAAAUAAAAAAAUAAAUAAUAAUCCUAGUAAUAGGAAAUUUUGAGGGUUUUCUUUUCGGGGCUAAGAGAUUGAGGACUUACAAAGCCAAAUCCAGCAGUUCUUAAUGUCGGGAUCAGAGUAUAUCUUUCGCAAUAUUGAGAAACGACAAGUUUAAUGUAGGGGACUUCAUCGAAUGCUGCUGCAAUCCCGCCCUUUUCACUUCCCUUGGAAAGAAGCACAUCGCAUUCUUCAGCAGACUUAUAAGAUAUAAGUCUAGAAUCAUCGAACUUCAUUUGCUUUAGCAUUCCAUAAACGAUAGGGUUUUCCCGGUAACCCACAUUUUCUCCACUCUUAAGGAGCUUAUCCACAUCAACCACAGUUGGUUGAAGAUUUUGCACCACCAAAAGAGAGCUCAAGCUUGCCGUAUAACAUUGCGUUAGUAUAAGUACCACGAAAACCCACACGAUCACAACAAAUCUGGCUAGGUUGCUUAAUACUCUCUCCCCUGCAAUCCAAAUUAAGGGAAAGCACCUAAAUUAUCCAAGAACGAUAUGUAGAUUACAAUGUUCAAUUGAUUUUUUUAAAGUGAAGGGUGAUUACUUUGUGCAAAGACCAUGAUUGAAAACGAGAACCAAAAGCUCGUGCCAACUUGAUGCCCGGCCGGACCCUGGAAAUCUUCAUUAAUUUGGUGUUCAAGAAUCCACACGACGAAUGCUAUAAACACAAAGAAGCAUCCGGUUGUUAACCAAAGGUCCCAAGUGAGUGGCUUCAAGAAAACCCAAGCAUUCUUGUCCUUGCUGUCCUUGUAUGGCACAAGCAUUGCGACCCCCGAUUCGGUGUAUGGUGCAGUGAAGUCCACGUAUAGUGAUCUGUUUGCAGUGAUUGUUAUAUCACCCACGAUUCCAUCGUAAUUCUACUCCAACAAAAAAAAAAUGGGAAUGUUUCUUUGUCAACAACAUGCUAGCACAGUAAGUUUCAACAAGUAUUCCAACAAAAUCAAGCACUUGCUCACCUGGUAAAUUACUUGAUCGAUCAUGUCGUUGUAACUGCCCAUGCUACUUCCAUUGGAAAAGGGAAACGGAAUAAGGUCAUAAGCCACAACAUAAGGCAAUUUUUCUAUAAUGGUUUGAAAGAUGUCGAUACAGUAUCCAGUGACUUUGGAUGUAUUUGUGCUAAGAUCAUGAAUCACCUGCGCGAAUUGAUUGAAACCGUCCUUCACAGGGACUAAAAUUUUCAGCCUCUUCCCAUUUGUGAGAAUAUCCCAUCCCAUAGGAAUAGAGGUGGAAUCUCCUGGCCAUAUUAUCGAUCCGAGAUUACUCUUCGAAGUGGAAUAUUUACUUUUGCUGGAUGAAUACAAAUCUCUUAGCAGCCCAUUUUCUUGCGUCCAAAACCCAAUCCCUCUUGCUGCAUUUCCAUUGAUAUUCACAAUCUGGAAUGUUGACCGCUCGAGUUGCCCAUGAACGAGUCUAAAAUUUCCAGUGAGGCCCGUGAAUGUCGUAUUGGCUAGUUCUUGGAGAAGUUUCGGACCACUUUUAGAGACCCCAAUAAUGUCGAGAUCUGUUGUAUCUAUUGAAGCAUUAAACAUCUGGAAGGUAAAAUUAGCCACACCCAUUUCCUCGACAGCCAUUGCCAGAGCCUGAGCAGCGUCAUAAGCCCAGUAUCCAAAAAUGUUCAACGUAGGAUUAAGGACGGAUGGAUUUUCUCGGUGGAAUUUCAUCUUCCAUCGGGCCGUGAAGUUGUUCAGGAUUGGUGUGUUCGGGAUGUAAGUGUUGAUGCCCAAUACUCCUUCCAUCGAACUAGCGACAACAGAUGAAUCCACAGAACUCAAUCGGUCAGUAAUUCCAUUAGUCAAGAUCCACACAUAACCUUCGCUCAUCAUUCCCACCUCUUUUGCUUUGACAAAUAGCCGAGAUCCGAGGGUCGGUAACAUGUGCAUUAUGAAGACCCUCGGUUGCAUCGUCAUUAACUUGUAGAGUUCCCGCAGGAUUUGACUGUCCGUGGCCGAAGGAGGAAUAAGGCUCCUAUAAGACACUCGCGUGUCGACCUCUUCCAAAGCAUCCGUAAGAGAAGGUAUGAUGCCUUCUCCGAACUCAUUGUCCACGUGUAUGAGGACCACUUCUCUCCAGCCAAAAGCUUGCACGACUGCGCUUAUGGCAUUCACUUGGGAUGAGUCAUUUUGCGCAGCUCGAAUGAAGUAAGGACUCCGAAUGGAACUGAGGGAAGGAGCAGUAGCAGAAAAAGAGAUGAUCGGCACAUGAGAUUUUUUUCCAAGGUGAAUGAUGAAGUUUGCGUGCAAUGAACCUUGAGGUCCUAUUAUGGCUUGGACUUGCUUAUUCUUUAUUAGAUCAAGUGCUGCAAGGGUGAAAAAAAGAUGGAGAAACAAUAACAAUAUGGCACAUAGUGGAAAUUCUUAUUGGAAAAGGCAUGGUAUUGAUCAGAAGCCAAUUAAAACUUGAUGCGGUAUUAUAGAAAUAAAACGUUUAAGAAAAAGGAAAAUAGAAGUUUGAAGUUGGAUUAUAAUUAUUUACCAGAUUGCAGGCAUUCGUUGUUGGCUUUGAUAUUCUUUGGCAUAUGAUAUUGCAUACCGAUCAGAAACUAAUCUUUCAUGAAAGUAAAUUUAGAACGAAAUAAGAGUGGAUAAAUUGGCCCGGACAGAUAAGUUGAUUUCUUUAUUUCAUGGCAUCAAAAAAUUCCCCUCUAGAAUCCAAGCCCCAUAUUGCAAUUGUAUGAAUUUUGUGAGGUCAGACCUAUGUGAAGUUUUAUUAUAUAUCAAGCCUCUCGGCAUCCGCUGCUUUCAUGCAUUAACAAUUAUUUGGUGGAACUGAAAACCUUAGUUGUUUUAUUUCAUCAUUAAUGACAAACAACUUCCAUGGAAAUAAAUCAUUGGCUCAGCUUGAACAAUCUUGUUAACCAUGAUGUUUGGGUCAACUGGAAAAAUAAAUCAGUAAAAUUAUGUAGAGAUAUGCACCAUGUACAUAUUUUUCGAAAGAAAAUAAUUUGAAAUUAUCUCCAUCAGCCUUCCCCCUGAACUGACUAUCCUACUACGUAGUAUGUAUCGUUUGCAAGAUCAUUUCUAAUAGGCGUCACUAUGCAGACAUAAUUUGGUAGAAUAUUACUACAUUAUAGUGGGACGAGAGUCAUAAGAGAGCUAUAUGUUCUUCAAAGAAUAGAAUAGAUGACAGUAGUCCUACUAUACCAUCCAAGACCAUAAACAAAAAUCCUCCAUUCAGACAUUGUUAUCAAGAUCAAAUUUUGUAUCCAUAGAUCUAUGUACAUUUGUAUAGAGAUGGUGGACUUCUCAAUUCUAAGAUCAAUGAGAUAAGUGCAUUAAAAAUCCUAGAUUUUUCACGAAAGUGCAAAACUUGUUACGAAAAUAUAAGUGAGUCUUAAAACUUCAAAAAGUGUAAUUAAGUCCUAAAAUUUGUUACAAAAGUGUAAUCGAAUCCAACCAACAAAAGGAUUUGAAUGGAUUAAUUUGAUAAGUUUUAAGAUUUGAUAGCACUUUUUAAAAAUUUUAGGAUUUAAUUGUACUUUUUAAAGGUUUUAUAAUUUAAUUAUAAUUUCAUGAUAAGUUCAAAGAUUUACAAUGAUCAAUUAUCGACCGACCGUAAUACAAUACUAUUUCAAUGGUGCUGCACUCCUAAACCACAAAGACCAAAACCACAAGAAGUAUCUCUUUUAAGCUAUUACAAUCGGACAAACCCACCCCCCGGGGGGAAGUUUUAUCUGGCAAUAAAUUAAAAGGUUCCACGGUCAAUUGUUACUCUCAGCGACCAGUCUUCUUAUGAAGUCCGCGUGGCGUUGAUUGACCAAAACCCACGAAUCCCCUCCACUCUCAAGCUAAGCGUCAAAAUACCGGUCUCGUACGACCGAAAGACUUGGGGCAAUUAUAAUGUUACCCUCCUCAUCCCCAGUGUGAAAGAGAACAAAUUGAAUUUUAAGUACCGACUUUUUGUUGUCAUUGAUUUUAUUAGAAGAUGAUAAAUGCACUAAACAGCUGUUUAGUGCAAAAUUAACGUUGGUCGUUUCUUCUGGGAGCUCUGGAAAUUGGGGCUUUGAGAAUCUCUGCUGUGAGAAUGCAUAUAGCUUUGAAUGGAACACACAUUAUUUUGUCGUGUCCUUGAAAAUUUAACCGGGAAUUCUUCUCAAAUGAAAAUGAAAAUUUCAUAAGAUUGGCAAACACGUCAUUAUGAACAAUAAUUAGAUUCAUCUUAAAUCGCACAAACAGCUGCAUAAAGUACUUCAUCCUCUAUGACCAGUGAGUACGCCACCGAGAGAGAGAGAGAGAGAGAGAGAGAGAGAGAGAGAGAGAGAGAGAACCUGCGGCAGCAGCAGCAACCUCAUCUCGUUUGGAAUCUCUUACAUUGAGGACGAGCCUAGUCUUGUAGGAAGGGUUUGAAGUAUAGAAGUCAGAGAGAGAAAUGUUAAUGCAGCUCAAUCCCAUCUGACCCACCCACGUCUCCAGAUCAAGAACCACCCCAACGUUCACCAGGAUCGUUUGGGCAUUAUUGUUACCGCUCUGCGCCAUGGUGAUCUGAGGGCCCUCGCUGAAAGUCGUAACGACUGUGAAAAAGGUGAGAGCCAAAAGGAGGAGCUUUUUAGCAUCGGACGAGACUCUUGGAGGAACCAUUGAAAAGGGUUUCAGGAGAAGGCAAGUGUGCGUUUUUCGCUUGAGAGAGAAACUUGGAAGAUAUGACCUAUGUUGCACAAACACGUUAUACGUGCUUCCGUGUUGUGUCCGACCCAUGUCAGAGGGUGUUGCAGACGUCGACACGCUUGAACACGCGUUGAACAUGUGUCAGGAUUUGUCGACAUGUGGUCAACUUUUAUCAACACAUUUCGACAUGGGUGUUUGAAAGACGAUGGAGGGUGGAGGCAAGGGCGAGGGAGUAGAGAUGAGGCCACAAGCGACGGCGAGAGACGGCGAGAGAAAAAGCAAAGGCGAGGGCUGCCACCCUAUGAUGCUGUGAUGGAUCGGCGACGUGGCUGCAGCUGCAAGGGAGGAAGGGCUGGAGACGAGGCGGUGAACAAUUGUGAUGACUGAUGAGGGCUUAGAACAGGCAGAGAUUGAGAGGAAGAGGAGAGGAAUGAGGGUCGUGCGGCGAGGAGGAGGAGAACUGGAGAAGAAGGAGGGCGAGCUAAGGGUUUUGAGAAAGGAACUAAAAGAAUACAAAAAGGGGCUUGCGUGUGGGAGGGAGAGGGAAGUGACCGCCUGAUGGCUUGUUAGGAAAGAAAAGGGCAAAAAGAUUCCAGGGUGAGGGGAAGAUUUGGAGGUGGGGGAAAGAUACGAUGAGUUUCUUUGGAGGGACCCUCAGGGACAUUUUAUUUUUGAUUUUUUGGGUGGGGGGGCUGUGGGAAAUAAAAUUAAAAAGUAAUUUCGAAAAAUAAAAGUAUUGUAUGUUGAAUAAUUAGUAUAAAUUCAUUUUAGGUUUAUUUAUUUAUUUAUUUAUAAAUUUGAAUCAAAUUAAUUAAAAAUAAAAAUAUUUAUUUAAUAUACAACGUGUCCUAGCAUAUCGAAAUUUUUUAUUUUUGAAAAAUGACGUGUCGACGUGUCGUGUUUUGUCAUGUCGUGUGUCCGUGUCGUGUAUCUGUGCAAUCUAGGAUAUGAUGACAACAACAUAUUUAUAAUGGGAAAAAGCACGGAAAUCCCAUUCAAGGGUUUCUCACGUGGACAAGCCCCAUAACUCAUUUGUAAUGUGAAAGCAAUAUGAGGAUGAUGAAAAGGGAAGCUAGCACAUAAAUUCAACUUUUCUCACCAUCUCAGUCUAAGAUGAGAUUUUACCUUUUUAACCCUGACAAAAUGUGCUUCUUUACGCAGCUUUGAAAGAGUGCAAGGAAUCUUUUCCUUAUGCAGAUAUGACAAAAAAAAUUGCAAUUGUCCUUUCGCAGCCUCUCUGGUGACCUAAGUAGCAUCGAUAUUAAUACACGAUACACGACAUGACACGACACGACACAUCAACACGUUAUUUCCCAAAAAAUAGAUAAUUUCAAAACGUUAGGACAUAUUUUAUAAUUAUUAUUUUUAUCAAAUUAAUUUGAUGCAAAUUCACAAACAAAUAAUAAUAAUAAUAAUAAUAAUAAUAAUAAUAAUAAUAAUAAGCAUAGAAUGAAUUUACACUUAAAACAUUGAUCCAUAAUUUGUUAAUAUCAUUCAUUGUUUUAAUUUGACAAAUCCAACUUCAUUUCAAUAAUCUAGUAAAAAAAAAAAGGCAAGCAAUCCACAUUGUGGAUUUGCAUGUUAGAGCGUGUCGGAAAAGAAGGGAAAAAACAAACUUGGGGGGUGAAUUGUGUGUUAUGGGAAAUGAGAGUCAUAAUAGAAGAAAAGACUAGGUUUUUUUUCUUUCUCAUUUUAUUAUUUUUAUUAUUUCUUUUUUUUACAUAUUUACAUUUUUGUCCCUCAAUUAUUGAAUUUUUUUAAAAAUUGAUCUGUGUGUGUCCAAAUUCUGGAGUUGAGUGUUGAAGAGUGUUGGGUUAACCUGGUAUCGGAUUUUUUUAUAUAUGUUGACCUAGUAUUGGAGAGCAUUGGAGAGAAUCAGACAUAUGUCGAAAUGUUCGAUACGACACAAAAGUUCCGGAAAGUGUUAGUGCUUCUUAAUUGAUGACAUCAUGCACUGUUAGCUCUGGUUUCCCUCCUAAUAAAACGAAACUAUGUGGGGGUUUUCUCUUUUGUGUGGGCUAAGAAAUCUAUAGAUGUAAAUUUAGUUGCAUGCUUAGCUAAGAAAUUGGUUGAUUGGUUUUUUUCUUAUACAGGAAAAGCCAGGAAUCAUACUAGUGUAUUUUAUAGUAGACACAAGUCAAUAAGCUUUUAAAAUUCUUUUUUGGGUCUCAUUAUCAAGUUAUCAUAAAAGAUAAAGAAAUAUUUUCAUUCCCAAUCCAAUGAUGCAAGUAAUAUGAGAGGGAUUGUGUGAUAUCCCGAAAUUUGAUCCAUAUUUUGAAAUAUAUUAAAUGAUUAUUUCAUCAAUGCGCUUAUACUUACUUUACUUUGACCUGAUCACUCAUGAGUUGACUUAUCUAUUGGGUGAGGUUGUAAAGGAGUAAAAUGCAAAAGAUCAAAUAAUUCAAUUAGAAAUCAAUAGCUCAACCAUAAGGAUUGACAAUGUUCAAUACUACACUAUUAUAAGUCAAUUAGGGAACGGAUACAAAUUGUUCGACGGGAGUACGUAGUCAGUUCGUGGGUGAUUCCGCAUAAUUACGAUAUUCGCGUUGAACGAUAAUAAACUAAUUUUCUAUUGAUCUUAUAUUCAAGGUAUGUAAUUGAACCCUCGCGAUUACAUAACAAUAGAGGAUUAUCUGUGAUUUGAAGAGACACAAAUGUGGAUAAAAAAUUAUCGAUCACGGGUCAACUGCUCGAGAACCCUUAAAAGCCACCAAAUAUAUUAGGUCAUACUAAAAUCACGUUUAAUUGAUUUUUAAUCAUGAAAUUUAAUUCAAUUUCCGGGGGGUAAGUACAUUAUCGGUGCCAAAACUUGUGUACAACGCUUACUUUAGUGCCAAAACUUUAUUUUUUAUCACUUAAGUGCCAAAACUUUUGAAAAAUGAUCAUUUUAGUGCCAACGCCGAUCUGGUUGGCCGGAAAUCCGACAUGGUAGUUUUUUUAUUAAUUUUUGAAGCCGACGUGGAUUGCCGGAGGGUACAAUCAGCCAACAAACAACAAAAUGACACCAUUUAGUGUUGUUUUCCCCAAGUAAAAAUCAUAAAUCCCCACGUUGAGAGAGAAUCGGAAGUUCAAAACCCGGCAAAAGAUCUCUUCAAGUAUCAUAACUUGGUACAAAUGGACACUUAAGUGCAAUAACUUAUGAAAUGUACACUUAAGUGCCACAUUUUAAGAAAAGUGGGACACCUGAAUGCCACAUUUGGCGAAGCCAGCCGGAAAUCAUACAUGACAAUUAAAUAUUAAUAUUUCUCGCCGAGGUUGCUCGUCGAAGAGCUAAGUCAGCUCUAAUUUAGCCCAAACGACGUCAUUUCGGGUGUUGGCCAAAAUAGAGCCCUUAAAUCAGCCAAAACAACAUUGUUUUGGCAUAAUUUGAAUUUUAAUAUAAUAUAAAAAUUAAUUAAAUUAAAUUUAAAACAAAAUAAUAAUAUAAUUUAUAUUUAUUAUAAAUAAAUAAAAACUGAGGAGGAGGAAGGUGGUCGGCGGCUGAGGGUUGAGCCCUCACCGUUGCCGCCUUCCUGCCGUCACUAGAAGGUGGGGGAGGGUUGGCCGGGGCCGCUAGCUGCCUCCCUCCUCCUCCUUUGCCCCCCACCCCCUUGAUCUGGGCAAGGGCCGCGAGCCCUCGUUGGCCCUUGCCCAAAUCCGAUGAAGGUCGACAGCCCUCGCCUCGUCGGGCCAAGGGCCGCCGCCUGCUUAGGCGACCCCCAACGGGUGGCGGCCCUUGGCUCGGUCGAGCGAGGGCUGUCGACCCCGGCCAACCCUUCCCCCUCCGUCACCGGUCCUCAGCCGCCACCUUUUUUUUUAUAAAUAUUUUAAAUAUUUAUAUUUUUCAUAAAUGUUUUAAAUAAAUUGAAUUUAAUUAAUUUUUAUAUUUAUUUUUUACCACGUCAGCACCAAAACGACACCGUUGUGGACAUGCUUCGCUAAAAAAUUGACACAUCAGUGUUUUGGCUGGAUUUUCUCCGAUUUGGCACUUAAGUAUACCUUUCAUAAGUUAUGAUACUUUAUGGGUCCACAUCUCUUUAAAACCCUAAAUCAUGAAUUUGAGUGCAUACUUCGAUUUUCUCUCAAAAUUAUCAGCUCAGCUCAUUCUUGCAAAUGGAGGGCGGAAGCUUUAACAACGGCUCACAUUCCUAUAUAUAUAUAUAUAAACGAAUUAGAUUGUGAGCGUUACUGUUAUUGUGGGUCACCGAGUCCGAGAAAAACAUCUAGGACUCGGUUGAAUCCCAGGAGAAGAUUCCAUGGGUGUGGCAGAUAUAGAGAAAGCUCGAAGUGCAAAUAUAAUAAGAAAUUCUUUGAUUAAGCGACAAAGGUACUCUUGGAGUUACUUAAAGGCCAACAUCAAUCUCCACCUACAUUAAUGGACGAGUUGAAAAAUGUGGACUCAAUGCAAGCUCAAAUGAAGGGUUUAACAUCUCUGGUCGAUCAUUUGAAGAGAAAUGUUUCAAGGUUGAAAAUUAAAAGAAACUUUUAUCGCGUAUUGAUUGUGUUAUUAUUCUCUUGCGUAGUUUAUUCAAAUGUGAAGUGAGUAAUAAUAAGAAGUUUGUAUGUCUACCAUAGUUGAAAACGUUGAAUAUGCACUUGUAUUAGAUUAUUUAUAAGUAAAGUGUGUUUUUUGUUUGCUGCAAUUUUUGUAUGAAGUAGAAAAUUUUGUUGUAAUCUAUGGUAGAAAUGGAAUGUUGGAUUUGGAAUGUAUUAGUUGUGAGCACUUAAAAGUUUUUUUCCUUAGUUGUGUAUUAUCAAUGUUUGUUUUGAUUAGUUUUGCUUCAGAUAUAAUGGUUUGCUGUAUUUUUUAUUUGGUAAUGGUUUGCUGGUUUGCUGCAACUUAUUAUUGCAAAUCAUGGCGAAAUUAAGGGAUGGUGGCAAAUUCACGAUUGAUUAUUUCAGUGUCAUAAGUUGUAAAUAGUGAUCACUUGAGUAUCAAGUUUUUAUAAAAAUAAUCAUUUAAGUGCCAGUCGCGAUUACAAAGUGAUCACUUGUGUUGCACAGGUUUUUAAAAAAAGAACAUGUUAGUUUCAAACGUCAUUUGACUUGCAUAAGUUGUGGUGCAUCUUGCAUCUUAUUGCACCAGUUGGGUUGCUGGUGUAUCUUGUUCUUGCACUAGUUGGGUUGUUGGUGCAUUUUGUUCUUGCAACAAGAUGCACAAGCACUCGAAAUUGCUCAUGCAAGAAGAUGCAGCUCUCACAAUUACACCAAGAUGAGUUGGUGCAUUUUGUUCUUGCACCAGCACAUACAACCAACCAGAACCCACAAAUUUAUUAGCAUCCACAACUUCAACCAGCAAUAGUAUGUACACACAUCACUUUUAAAAACAAUAUCAAUCUCACAAGAACAUUGCACCAACAAAAAAAAAUUAUACAAAUAAUUGAUAAUUGUAUUGCCGGCAUUGCUAGCCGAAACCAACACAAGAGAAAAUAACAAAAACAGCUAUUGUCAUUGACAUUGAUUGAUUAUGUAUAAAGUUCAAAACAUGUCUGACUUCACUCCCCAAUCACUGAAAGUUCAGCACUCUCUUAAAAAAAAACAAUGACAAUAUGCACCAUCUUAAAAAAACAAUACUAGCAGCUACGAUCAAUAAAGAUAUAAUAUCCAGCACCCUCCUAAAAAUAAAACAUAAAAAGAGACCAUAUCUAGCACCCUCCUAUCAGUCAGUAUGCACAAUACCCACAUCACCUUUUCUUCUUUGAGCUUUGAAUUGAUUUAUAAUCCGAGCACUCUUUCUAACUGAAUGUGUAUGUUAUUUAAUUGGCCUUUCUGUCACCUCAUUUUCCUUAUUUUUGACAGCAGCUAUUUUUGUUCUAGCACGUGUUAUGUGUUUGGUCCAUAUGAUCACUAUUACUCCCAUGAUCAGUUGGUUGAGAUGAACUGGUGCUAGGUUCUUUUUGGAUGACUGUUUUUCAGCUGUCGCGACCAAAUUUUCGAGUAGACCACCUAGAAUCUGGCUAAUGGAUUACUAAGGCUAGAUUUAGCUUGAGCUCUCCCAAACCCAUACCAAUUCGCGACUUAGGUUUGAGUUAUUAACAUGUGAAUGGUUUUUCAAUUAGGAGUUGCCACUAAUCUAUUUUUGGUGGGUCGAUUAGAAACUCAAGUAAAGUAACGAGAAAUUUACUUUACUCUUACGAACUAAAGAUUAUGAGUUCCGGGACUUGAUUACGUUGGCUAACACCCUUUCGGUACAUUUCUAUUUUAUUUUUGAAAAAUGUUUGGCAAGCAGCUUAAAUUGAUUUUAAUUUAUCUCUCUAACAUGUGAAGUGACCAUGCGGGUGCGCAAACCACAAAUUUAACACCCAGAUAAAACAAUGAAUAAAUUGCAGGACUUACCUCAUGGCAUCGAAAGUAUCUGCAAUGUUAGAUCAGAAUUCACAUCAAUAAUCCUAGAUAUGAUUUUUAAUUAACAUGCAAUUACUUUCUUUUUCACUUAUUUAAUGAGAAUCAUGUAAUGCAUGCUACUAAUUUAACAUGAAAUGAUAUGACAUAGCAAUAUGACCUAAGCUAUAUUACAUAAAUAAGCAUGCAGUCUAUCCUAAAGGAUGAAAUUGAUUUAUUUAGAGACAACUUUUUGGUAUUUUCCAUGAAAUUCAAAAUUAAAGAAAUGCAAUAAUUAAAUGUGCAAUUUAAAUUAACCAAAUGACUUAACUCUAAUGACAAGCAAUUUCUAACUAAGUGAACCUAGCAACAACCACUAGAUGACGGGCAGUUCAUGAACCUAAUCCUACAUGACACGCGCAUGACGAUUUUUUUUUUUAAUGAAAAAUUCGUAAUUAAAAUCACUAAAAAUAAAAAUCUAACUAAAGUGAAAACAAAAGUGAAAUGUUAUCUAUUUUAAAUACCUUCUAGCAUCUUAAAAAAUAACUAACCUAGCAUGGAAUCAAUUCUAAUCUACAUGCAUGCAAAUGCAUGUUUUUUUUUUUUUUUUGUAUUUUUGGGUUAAACAAAACAAUUAAGAGAUAAACACCAAAUCAUCCACGAUCAUCAAAAAUGUUAUCCACCAUUCGAAUUGAAAUUCAAACUUGAUUAUUUCGCUAAUAAAAUCGAUAAAUUGAUCUUAAGCCCUAAAGAUCAAGAUAUCAAUUUUACUUCCGUGUGAUUAAUUAUUCCAUUUAAAGUCUUAUAGAUGGAAUACAAAUUCAUGUGCGGUUACAAAUUGAAGCAGUACAUCGGGAAUUCCAACCAUGCAUCGAGAAAUAUUUCAAACAAAGAGACAAAAUAUCAAAAACUAAAACAAGAUAAAAUAAAUUUACCUAAUAAAUCUACCUAAUAAAACAAAUCUCUACCUAAAUUUGAAUUUUUUUCCAAAAUCUGCACGGCAAAGUGAACCACGAUGGAGGCUCGGCACAGCAUGGCUCGAGGACGGUGUCUGUGGUGGUGACUUGGCGUGGAUCAACAAGGCUGCGGCAAGUUCGAUGGGUCAUCGUAUAGGACACCAGGAAACCUGCAAAACUAUCGAAGGCUUAGGUAAUUCGUUGGGAGGCUUGCCGGGGUCGCCGAGUGAUCGUCGGCAACGAGGACGCCCAAGGUGGAUCACGGUGGACCGCUCAGCUAAGGUUGAAGACAUCGAGGUGACUCCGCAGCGAGGAAGCUUUGACGAUUUUUUCUUUUGUAUUUUCACUUCUGGACAAUACCUGCAGAAGACCAAUUCACCACUUAGACUUAUUUCAUCAAAAUUCUAGCAUCUCCUUUGACUGUGGACUCCAGGCUUGCAAGUAGUGGCCAUGUGGUAUUCACGCUAGUCAGGAGAUGUUGGCCUCUUUGGACUUCGCGAAACCUGCAAAAAAUGAAUACGAAUGAAGCGCAAAAGCCCGUUUGGUGAUUGUCGGUGAGUCAGAAGAAAACACUUCAGGGCAUCGCCAGGCUAGAUGGAACUUGCGAGAGUCCUCCUGACUCCGAACUAGGCUGUAGUGGUUCAAGCGUCCCUGGGGUGUGCUGGGUCGUGGUAUAGCAAAAGCAGCAGAUCGUGGAUCGUCGGGGAUCCGAGGGCUGCUCGAGUGAUUGCAGAUCAGCAGCUUGUCGCGGUGGCAACGAGGUCACAGCAACGAGUCUGUCGUCGACGCAGCAAAGAUGGUGUAGCGACGGCAACUCAGGUGGCUCAGGUGUGGCAUCGCGGCAAAGGGCCUCGCACGAUGUGGGGCUCCUUGGUUCGGCAGAGGGAGGUCCCUCUCUUUUCUUUCUCCCGUGUACGUCUCUCAAAUUGCCUUUGGAAUAGAAGUGCCGACCCUCAAAUAGUGAUGGUCAGAUCAUGGGAUAAUCCAUGUGACCCAUCCAUGAUCAUGAGGGAUUGUAAAAAUAAUAAAGUGGAGUAUGUGACUUGCUCGAAAAAAAAAACAACAGAGGCGUGAAUGUGAUGAGGGGAGGAGAGAAAUAUUGUAAAAGAAUCUGAAUUGACGCAGUCGCUUCUCUCUCUACCUCUUACACUUUCUUCUCUUUUUUCGUGAAUGAACGUGCUCUCUCCGAAUUUGUGGCCGUGUAUUUCUAUUGUGUGCCCCCCGAAAACCCUACACAAAUAAUCCAUUUAUAAGCCUCAAAUUAGGAUUUUAAUUUUUCCAAAUUGAUAUUCAUGAAGAUUCUUUUUUCCAAAUGCAAUAUUCACUUUUCACAUUUGCCAUAUCCAAAAAAUUCAUCAUAUCCUGGAAAAAUUUUGAAUUCCUAUUUUCUCAUGAGAUAAUUUCCGAUCAUUAAAAAAGGGCCUUGGGCCAAUUUGUUUGCUUCGCAGGCUUAGUCCGGCCUGUCAAUUUAUACCUCAGAAUCACCAAUUCGAACCCAUUCGCCACCAGUUCAAUAAAUAAAUACAAAAAAUGUAAAUUAAAAAUAAAUACACCCAAAUCUAUAUGCUAUGUAAUUAAAUUUUUUUCAGGGAUAGACUUAACUCCUAAUUUUUAAUGCGAUAAAUGACUAAAUGGAUUGUCAAAAUUUAGGUGUCAACAGCAAUUAUAUCCACUAUCUUCUUCUUUUAAGUACUCUUCUUUUGCUGUGCCAUUUGAUUCUUGAGUUGGCCCACCUUGAGAGAUAAGUACUUCUGAAGUUCUCCUAGGCUACAAGAACAUAGCCAUAUUGUCAACCAAAUGAAAUGAAUUGAAGUACAUCAAAUUAAAUACAUGAGGCUUACAAAUCUUACAUUCAAAAUAGUCAUUCCACUAUGUUCAUCUGUGUAAAUUCCAUAACCAUAUUAUCUUAAUUUUUUUUCAAAAGUGCAUUUUGUUCACUGUGGUGUAUCAUUUUUAGCAGCAACAAUGAAUGGGGGAGCAACCUGUGCAACUUGUGCAGUUGCUCAUCUUCUCACUUGAUAAACAAAUAGCAAAUUUAAUUUUAGCCCAUAAAAGACAAACACAACGAUGUACAACUUACAUGAUAUUUUUUUGUCGUUUGCUCAACAGUGGACUCAAUUGUUAUUAUUGUUGUCAUGCUCGUUCUAGUCCAUAUCCCUGCAUUUAAGCGUACAACAUGGCCUUUUUUGGCCUUUUAGUAGGCUUUACAACAAUGUAUUGUAUUAGGAUUAUGACGAACUAAAAUAAAUAAUUAGACAUCUACUCAUUUUCAUGGUAGAAACAAAUGGAUAAAACUUCUCAAAUUAUAAAUACAUGACAGAGGAAAAGCACAAGAGAAGACAAUACACAUGAUCAACCAUCAAACUCUAUCAAAUAUGAACUGAAAAGUUACUGAGGCAAAGAUGAUACUUACCUUACAAUAGGACUUUCUAUCCGCCCUUUACUAGGCAAUACAUCGGGGCCUUCUAUCCUCCCUUCAGUAGGCCCAAUAAGAAGCUCUUCAAUAGGUCUUGUUCUUGGCAUUAAAUCAGCCAUUAUAUCUUGCUGUUAAUGUUGCUUUUUUCAACUCACAAUCUUUCUUAUUGUGUCAUUCCUUGCGGCAAUAGGAGCAUGUCGUCUUUACCCCAGUCCUACUCAUCCUCUAACUUGAUGCCUCUUCCCCUUGCAUUCAUCAUCUCCUUUUUGGUCAUCCUAUUUGCUUCUUUAGUGGCAAAUGUAAAGGGCUUUCAUGAUUUGUUGGCUCUCAAAAUUUGCUGCUUCUGAUAGGUUAUAUCAUGAAUUGGUACGAAGCAAGGUAUGAGCUUUUUUUGUACUAAUUAUCUAGGUAAUCAUUUGGGUUUUCUUGCUUCAUCUGAAUAGCACAAAUGGCAUAGGCACAGGAAAUUCCAUUUAGUUGCUAAGCUUUGCAUGAAUACUUUCUUCUAUCUAGGUUGAUAACAUACUUAUCAUAAUUUUGAAUGAUCUCAUAUCCAUUAUCUCCAUUCGAAACUAGAUGGCAGAACCUACUAGCAUCAAUGUUUACAUCCAAUUUCUUCACAAUCCUAGGAUCAUAGUCUCUAGUCCACUUCGUAGCCUCAUCUCUUUGCCUAUGCAGUUUAGUCAUGACCAUAACUCGAAUAUUAUCAAGCAUGCUAAUGAUUGGUUUGCACCUAAUCUCUAAAAUUUUUCCAUUGAAAGCUUCACUGAGAUUGUUAUCAAUGAUAUCGUAUUUGAAUUCUUUCCUGAAGAAGGCCCGACACCAGUGCUUAGCUUUUGUCUGAAAGAGUGUAUCAAAACCUUCAUUUAUCAGCUACAACAAUACAUGUUUGGCUAAUCUGAAAUCACCCAUGUUGGUACUCUUCGCUAUCUGCUAGAACUGCUUUUGCAACUUAUUUCCUUUGAAGUUCCUUGACUAGUUUGCGUAUAUGUAUCUCGCACACAUUCUAUGCUCAGCAUGUGGCAUCAACUUAGCUAAUGCAGGAAUAGACCCCUACAAAAAUUCAAACAAAUAAAUACAAAUUAGGAAAAAUAUGUAAGUGAUUAAUAGUAAAAGGGAAUAAAUUAAUUGACAAUGGUAUUACCUUUUGUUGGUCGCUUAUGAAUACUCAUCUUCCCCCAUCGGUUAUCUCAAGGUCAAUCAUUAAAUUUUUGAGGAACCAGGACCAAGUAUCAUUGUUCUCUAUCUCACCAUCGCCUAAGCUACCAGAAACAUUUGAUUAUUGGCAUAUCUCUCCACAGCAGUUAACAACUCCCUCUUGCGUAAAUCCUUUAGGAAGCAUCCAUCCAAUCAUAUAACUCUUAUACAGCCAGCCAAAAAGCCCCAUUUGCAUACAUCAAAAUAGACAUAAAAUUUAUUAAAUCUAGGCUCAAGAUUAGGAAGUGGCCUCUCCAUAACCUCUACAUAUACCCUAUUAGAUGAGUUUUGAAACAUGCAUUCGCUAGCAUAAUCUCAUACCUGCGCAUAUUCUUCCUUAUACCCACCUAUCAAUAUUUUCAUCACCUUAGCUUAGCUCUCUUACACUGAUUCCUUGACACAUUAACCCCUAAUUGCUCAUUCACUAACAGUUGAAACUAAAGACUCUUGAUCUCGGGCAUUACUUUGAUAAUAUUGAAAAAAUGCUUCGAUAACUACACAUCUGUUACCCUUUUACUGUUAAAUAUAAUUUGACAAUUAUGCUCCUUUUGAAAUGACCUAGUCUGAAAUGACCUCUUCAUACUCAGCGUGCUAUAGAGCUUCCAUGAAUAAUUGGGUUGUGAGCAUUUAGCUCUCACAAAUUCCUUCGUAUUUCUAAUGAAUUCAAUGCUCCUCUAUUUGGCAAUGGAGUUCUUCACAAUAACUUCCUUUAACUGUUUGACAUCGUCAAAUUUCAUGCCCCCAAGCAAAACAAGCUCAUCAACAGUUGGAUCAUAGCAAGGGUACUUACUUUUUCUUUCACAAACAAGUUUUUCAUUAUCAUUGCCAAACUUAUUCUCUGAACCAGUAAUUUCAUCAUCGCAACUUUCUUCAUCUUCACUUCUAUUACCUUCAGCUGGAGCUUCAUCCCUAUUUACUGGCUCGAGUCUCUUUCCUGAAGCUACAAAAAAAAAAAUUUCUGAGAAAUUCCCUUUGUUUUUGUCUUAAUUGUGGGAGUUCAUCAUUAUCUUCGUCACUUGGGAAAUUUAUGGAAGCAAAAUAUUUAUCUUCCGAUUCAUUGGAUAGAGCAAUUUCUCAUUCUAAUCUAAUGAAGUCUUCAUCGCCCACAUCUUCACCCAAGAUUUCAUGACAUCUCAUUGUUUGUUCAACUCGAUCAAUAUGACUUCUUUCCCUCUCAUUUUGCCUUUCAUCUAACCUAAACUCAUCCCUAACCUGAUUACUCGCUUGAGUAGGAUCCCUCACUUCUCCUCUUUCGAUAGUGAUCUGCUCAUCUCCAUCCUCAUCCUCAUCCUCAUCCUCACCAUGCUCAUCAUCACUAUAAUACUCAACAUAUACCCUAGCUUUGUCGUUGUGAAUAUAAUGGUAAUUAAUUUUGUUAAUAUCAUUAUCAUCAUUAAAAAAAUCUCAAGUUGUCAUUCAAUUCAUUCCUAUGAACAUAGUAAUGUAGUUUUUGCAUUUUGUAUCGUAAAAAAAUAUAUAAAAUCCCUCACAAAAUCAAUAUAUGAUGGCUUCCGAACAUUGAUAUAGAUAGUACAUUUAUUUCCACCAGUAUAUUUCCAGUCCUCGGUGCCAAUAAAAAACUCUCCACUAUAGCAAACAAUGACGUCUACUUGAUUCUCGUCCAUGUCAAUACUGCAUGUAAGGAAAAAAAAAGUCAUUGGUUUUUGGGACCACAUAACAGAAUUAGCAACUUCACAUGCAUGUCCUUGUCAUUUUGUCGAAAGAAACAAAUGCAACCAAUUUAUUCAAUUCGGUCCCUUUACAGAAACAAAGGAAGCCGAAUUGAAUAAAUAAAGUAAGAUCCCUACCACCAAUUUUUUUAUUCAAUCACAUUCGAUCUCCCACAGAAGCAGUCCAACUAAUUAAACAAAGUAAGGUCCCACCACUGUUUUCCUUCAAGUCGAGCACCCAUUUUCCCCUACGUGUCCUAUUUUUCUAUUCGGUCCUCAUAAAAGUGAGAUCCCCACCACUUUCCCAUGAGCCGAAUCCUCAAUUUGCCCUCCACACCCUAACUUCCUUAUGGGAAUCCUAAAUUUUUUACUAAAUUGACCCACGUAGAGAACAUGACAAACUUGAGUGACCGACAGUUGGGGACACAGCCUGCAAAUGACCGUGAACGACGGCAGGCAAGCGAACAAUGGUGGGUGCACAAGCUACGGCCAGCGUCGAGUGAGAAUCGUAGUUCGUAUGGUACGAACCCUGAUUUACUCCCUCUUUAGCGAUGUCAUUUUGGCCAUAAAGCAAUGUGGCGUUGUUUUGUAAGUGAGUCCACGUGGAAUGGCAUAAAACAACGUCGUUUCUUAUGAAGAAAGAAAAAUGGCAUCGUUUUAUGCCAUUCUGCAUGGACAGUCUUCUUCAAUUUUUGCCACGUCGAUUUUUUUUUUAAUUAUAAAAUCACAUAAUCAUUUCAGUCGGAAUCUCUCGCUGGUGGCACUAAAGUGAUCAUUUUUCAAAAGUUUUGGCACUUAAAUGAUCUAAAAUAAACUUUUUGCACCAAAAUAAGUGUCGUAUAUAAGUUUUGGCACUGAUAGUGUAUUUACCCCUUAUUUCGGGUAUUAAACUUUCAAGGAUUUCUAGAUUAAAUUAUUAGACGUCGUCUCAUCGUUAGUCAAAUAUCGUGACUCCAAAAUUUUCAGAAAAGGAAUUAUCGGACGAAAAAUUGGAGACCGAAAAAAACAAGAAAAAGAAAUUCGGAUCAAGAGGCAAAAUUGAAAUUUUUGGAUUAAAAAGAUUGUUUUUAUGAAAUUAGAAAUAAAAAGAAAAGUGGGGACAUAAUACAAGAGGGUUUCAAGGAAAGGUGGGUGAAGAGUAUGAUGAGAUUUUGGGAAGUAUCUUGAGAAAUCUUUUUAUUCUUUUUCUUUCUUUCUUUCUUUCUUUUUCUUCUAUUCUCUCUCUUUCUUCCCCCUUCCACUCGCGCCUCGUCCCCUGCAGACCGCCCAUCCUCCCUUCUCUCCAUCUUCUCCACCUCCACUUCAUUCCCCCUCCUUCCCUCACGCCUUUCUCCCCCAUCUCUGCCCAUUCUUCCCCUUCCUUCUUUAGUUUUUCUUUUUCCUCAAACUCCCUCAUUUUCUUUCCACCACCAACUCCAUCCCCACCACCAUCACCUACGCCACCCCCAUCACCCCAUCACCACCGCCCACACCGCCGUACACCACCACCAUUCACCACCACACAUCACCGCCAUCUCCACCACCGCUCACCACUGCCAUCUCCACCAUCGUCCGCUCGAGUCACCACUGCGGCCAUCACCAAUCCGAACCACCUUUAUUCAUAGAGAGAUGGAUAGAAAUCCGGGAAAGUUUGAAUGGCCCUCCGUCGUCGUAGUUGGUUCUUUCCAAUCCGAAGGAUCAGUAAAAUUCCAAAAAUGGUCGAUGGGUUCGAUAAAGCGUCUUGGUAAAUGACGUGACUUUGUUCAUAAGAGAAGACAUUCUAAUCGGCUGUUGAAUGAUUGAUUGGCUGGACGGUAGGUUCCCUUGAUGGAGAAAGCUUACCAAGAAUUAAUAAUUGAGCGAAUUAGUUGAUAAUUAUGGGAGAGGAUUCAACGCCGUUUGAGGAUCCAAUCCCUUGAUGGACGCGUUUGGUAAUAAUUCUGUUCCCGGGAACUGAUUCUGACAAGAAAUGAUUAUUUUUUAUUCUGUUCCCGGGAACUGAUUCUGAGUAAAAACAUAUUUUUGGUAACUGUCUAAAAUUUCUGAUUCUGGAAUAGAAUUGCGUUUGAUAACAUGUUUAUUGAUUAUGUUCCAAAUUAUUUUUUUCUACUUUUUUACUUUUUUUCUUUUCUCUUUUUUUUUUUCAUUUUUUCUUUUCUUUUUUUUUUUUCAUUUUUCUCCUAUUUUUCUUCUUCUUCUUAUGGCCGGUCGCCGGACCGGCGAUCGGCUGGAUGAGGGCCGGUGACCUCACCAGAGUGUCGCCGGCUCUCGGCGAGGCUGUCCCUCGUCGGCCAAGCCUUGUCGGCAGCUGGGCGAGGCUCGCCCAGCCCCGCCGAGCCUAGCCGGUGGACAGGCGGGCCUCGCCGGGGCUGGGCGAGGCCCACCUAGCCACCGGUCAGGCUAGGCCAGCUCAGCCUCGCCAGAUCUGGCGAGGCCGAGCCUCGCCGGUGGAUAGGCGGGCCUCGCCGAGGCUGGGUGAGGCCCACCUGGCCACCGGUCAAGCUAGGUGAGCCCGGCCAGUGGCCAGGCGGGCCUCGCCCAGCCCCGGCGAGGCUCGCUGGUGGCUGGGCGAGCCUCCGGCGAGCUUGUCGGACCUCGCCUUGGCCAGGCGAGCCUCCGGCGAGCUUGCCGGACCGGCGGACGGUGGCCGGCGGCGGCGGGUGGUGGCGGACGGCGGCGGGCGGCGACGGGCGACGGUCGCGGGAUGGCGGAAGGAAAGAAUAAGGGUUUUAUUGUGUUGAUUCUUUUUCUGAUUCUCGGACGCAGAAUCAAUUUUUUUUUUAUUCUCAAAUCUUCUCCAAAACUGAUUCUGGGAACAAAAUUGUUCCCGGGAACAAAAAUUUUACCAAACGCGAUUCUCGUCCCAAACUGAUUCUGGGAACAAAAAAUCAGAAUUAGUCACUGUUUGGCAUGUUGCCAAACAGGGCCUUACUCAAUAAUUCGUUGAAGUGAUUGCAGUGUGCACUUUCCAAUGCGAAAUCAAAUUUCUUUUUCAAGUAGGUCUUCUUUAGUCUCACAAUGGCCGAUGAAGUAAGAUCAAAAGCGACAAAAUUAAUUUGAUGUAACUUAGAAAAAAAUAGUUACCAUUUUCCCAUUUUGACAAGAUUUUCAAGGUUCAAAUUCAAUUGGAAGUCGGACUUCGAAUCCACAGAAAAAGGUCCAAAAAAAAAAAGAAGAAGUAGAAAUAACAGUCUAUCACCAUCCCAUCCACAUUGUAAGGUGAUUUACAAAUUAAUUAUUAGAAGACACGUUAGAGCAACUGUUUUGCCAGAAUUUCUCCCGCAAUGAAAUAGGCUUUACCGAAAGUCUUUUUUUUUUUUUUAAUUUUAUGAGAGGAAAACAGGUUCUACAUUGACUCUGGAUAGGGAAUUUUUAGGCAAAUAAGAAAAUCAAUAACAAGGCUAGGAAUGUACAAAUAUUACAAGCGAACUGACUAUAAAGAAACUUUGCCAAAAUUUAAUCAACAAAAAAGCUUGAGUGCGUUGAGAUAAAGAUAUAUGUUAGAAUUUAAUUGAUGACACGAAUUUAGAAACUGCAGCUAAGAAACAUGUUAAAAUUUAAUUGGCAAUCCGAAUAUGGAAAAUAAAAAUAUAGAGUAGGAAAGUAAAGAUACCGAAAGACAACAAAUUUAUUUGAUUUUUGCAAGGGAUAAGUACACUAAUGGUGCCAAAAGUUGUGUACGGCGCUCACUUUGGUGCCAAAAGUAACUGUCGGAUCACUUAAGCUGCCAAAUCGGAGGAAAAACGCUCACUUUGGUGCCACCGGCGAAAGAUUCUGGCCUCCGGCGAAAGAUUCCGGCCAAAAUGAUUUUUUUUUUAAAAAAAAAAUUGAUAAGCCUUUAAAUGACGUCGUUUUCGGUCCUCCUUAAGAAAACAACGUCGUUUUGCCGUCCUACGUGGAUGGCUUCAUGGAAACGACGCCGUUUAGCUCACAUGGGGAAGAAAUUAGGGUUCCGGCGAGGUUGAAGCCGUGGCCGUCGUCGGGGUUGAAGUUGCAGCCGCCGAGUGGCCAUCAUCGAGGUCGGGGUCGAGGUCGGGGUCGAAGCUACGGCCGUCGAGUGGCCAUCGUCGGGGUCGGGGUCAGGGUUUGAGCCGUGGCCAUCGAGUGGCCAUCGUCGCGGUCGGGGUCGAGGUCGAGGUCAGAGCUACGGCCGCCGAGUGGCCAUCGUCGGGGUCGGGGUCGGGGUCGAGGUCGGAGUCGCUGCCGUUGAGUGGCCAUCGUCGCGGUUGGGGUCGAGGUCGGGGUCGAAGCCAUGGCCGCCGAGCGCGAGGACCGUCGAGGACGGCGACGGCCGGAGAUUAGGGUUUUGAAUUGGGGGAGACACCAAACGGCGUCGUUUUGGUGUUUGGAUGCUGACUUAGCUCUCCGACGAGCCACGUCGGUGUCAAAAAUUAAUAAAAAAAGGCCACGUCGGAUUUCCGGCUAAUUUCGUCGGAGUUGGCACCAAAGUGAGCGUUUUUCAAAUUUUUUGGCACUUAAGUGAUCCGACAGAAACUUUUGGCACCAAAGUGAGCGCCGUACACAACUUAUGGCACCAUUAGUGUACUUAUCCCAUUUUUGCAAGGAGCCUUUAGUAGAUGGACGAUGGUAUUUAUAGUAAUCACGCCAUAAUCACUUAUGAGCCGUUGCCUCCAUGUUCCCUUUACUUCCUAAAGUUUUGUGUCCAUGUUCUCACAACGCCAUGAUAUUGUGUUUGCAUAGUUAUUCUUUACAAAAGGUAUAUUAGUUGUUUCACAAUCUCAAUUGCUUUACUUUCCAGUAACUUUAUAUUGGUGACCAUAUCUUGAUGCUUCUCGUGUGUUAAACCUUUUAACACUUUGGUCACUCAUCAAUCCUUAUUUAUCAACACUCUUGUUGAGUUGUAAAUCAACAAGCCACCAGUGACAAUUGUUGAUGUGUGUCGACACAUUGAUACCUAUUCUAGUCACUAACAAUGGGUCACGUUUUCCUUGAUUUUUCAUGUUUUGAUCACGUGUCUAUCCAUAUUGAUGGUCAUGUCACUUUUUGGUGUAGAUAAUGACACAAAAAAGAAAGAAAGAAAGAAAACACACACACAAACAUGAGAGAGCUAUAUCUCACGAGUAGGAGGUUUAUUUAUUUAGGUUUAAUUAAGUGAAAAAUGAAAUCUAAUCUUACACUCUUGCUUUUAAUUAUUGUGAUUCGCGAAAACCGAUAUUUUAAAUCCAACUAGAGCUUAUGCUUAGAGUUCUAUAGUAUAUAUGGGCCUCAAAUAUAAGUUCUUGGAUCUUUCUUGCUUGGGCCUCAGGCAUAGAACUUCAUCAUCAUGGAUUAAUGGUGGAUGCAUAACAUGUUUGGCAAAGAAAUGGAACCGCUAGAUGAAAAGGGAAAGUGAGACGACAAAUGAGAUUGAAAGAUGAAUUCAUAUAAUUUAAAUGAGCAUUUCAAUUCUUAUAUUAGGCUGGACAGAAGAAUGCAUCGGAAGAGGGUGUGUUCGACUGUACAAGAAGAACAUGAAUAGAGGGUUCGAGUGAACUAGAGCUCUUUUAGUUUGAAAUGACAGUUCUUUGAUUGCUCUCAAAAUGCCUGUUGAAUAAGGAAAAAAAGGAAUGGAGGUCGGAAUAACGGCUUCCUUAUGGCCUUCUUACUCGGAUUACAUCAAAUUCUUUCGGAAAGUAUAGAUGAGAUCGAGUAACGUAACUUAGACAUAAAUCUCUUUAAUGUAAUGAAUUUUACCUACAUCAAAUCCUAACCCCAUACUGAAAAAGAAAUGAAAUGGAUGGUUGAGAGACAAAAGUAUUCCAACGACUAUCACCAUUAAAUCCUUUUUUAUUGGGAAUCAUGCUUGCAAAUUAAUCAAUCAAUCAGAAUUCACUGAUUCGCCUCGAAAGGAUUCCCCCGCAAUUAUCAGCACAUGCAGCAGUUGGGGAAGGCUGCGUUAUCAUUCCUUGGCCGGUCACGUGCCGCAGGAAGCGGCGCACUUGACGAGAGACCCCAUGACACAUGGUGAACCAUUUGACAUGUUGGGCACGCCAAAGACAAUCCACCGCAAGACUUCCAAGAAAAUAGGGUCGUUCUUUUUUUGGGUUAAUUGCGAUGAUCCGCUAAUCUUUCUCCGGUCUACUCAAACUCCCACUGAUGUUGCUUUUACCUGCAUCAACCUUUAUGAGAUUAUAACUGAUUAAUGUGUUCAAAAGUUCAACUCAAAAGGGUAAAUCGCAUAUACUGACCUAGGAGUAACGUGUAGAAUUCGAUUAACAAAGUGGAUGCGCGCGAAAAAGGGGAAAGAUCACAUGUACAUAGAGCACUUAUAAACUAAUCGCCAGGCAAUGUGUAUAAUAGUUUGACGUGCCAUGAGAUGAAUUUUCAUAAAACGAGGUUAUGAAAUAUUGAAAAAAAAUGGAUAUAUUAUGACAGUUUUUAGAGGCUAUUCAUUAUGUUUGUCCUAGGGUGAGCAUAUCGGACCCAUCAAAUUGGGAAAUGUCUGGACUGGACCAGUCAGUUUGGUUCGCUUUUUGGGGACAUCAUUUCAAUUCCCAAGUCAGGAGGAAUUCGACCAACUCUUUUUUUUAAUAUAUUUUUUUUAACAUUUUAAAAAUAGCAAGAAACCUUAAAAUAGUAACAAUUCUUUUUUUUUUUUUUUGCUAAUUGAUUGGUUCCAUUAGACCGAAUCAAAUCGGUCAGUCUGACCCCUAAUCACUGGAAUCAAUCCUCCUGAUCUAGUUCAUCAUUCUUAGGUUGGGAACUAGAUCAGAUCAGGAAUCGAUCAUUCCUACUUUGUUCUUCCAUGGACCUUGGUCAAAAGAAAGCAUAGUCUCACCAUUAGGCAAGGGACCGUAGAGCUAAGAUGGUGGGCAUUAAAUGAAAUUAAAUAGUCGCCAAUGGAGUUCGGCAGGGUUUUUUGGUGAGGUUGUGACCUGCCUAACAAAAGGCCAAGGCUACCGACCAAAAAAAGAAAAAGAAAAAAAAAGGGCCAAGCCUUGCUAAUUUAUCAAUGGUUGAGAGACAGUCAUGACGACAUCGACGAGCACCGACCAAGAAAUAUCUCAUUCUCUUCAUUAUGUGUACCUUAGAACCGAAAAUUUCGAUAUCAUUAAAUAGGGGAGUGCUAAAAAUGACAUGACCGUUUACUAAAAAAGAUCUUCAAAUGAUCUUUAAAUUUCAUUGGUAUAGCUUCUUGUGAGCACGAGAUAAGAAAAUUUUUUUAUACUUGAGUUCAAUGGAUGAUCAUAUGAUAUUUUAACAUUAGAUAUAUGUAAAACAGAUCACCCAAAUUAGAAACUGCUUGAAUUGAACCGAACUGUUCGGUUUGGUUCAUUCCCAAUAUCAAAGGGGAAUCAGACCGGAUCAAUUAUAUACACUUUUUUUUUUAAUUUCUUAACAAAAAUUAGUGGGUUUAGUUUAUUGUUUAUGAGAAAAUAGAAGCCUGUAAUUGAAUAAAAAUAUAUCUAGAUAAAAACAUAGAAUUUGUCUUGAGAUAUAUCUUAAUGGAAUAUGAAAAAAAUAAUAACUAGUUUUAUUGGAUCGAAUCGGAUUGGGAACAAGUUAUUUCGAAAUCACCUAAAAUUCUAAAGAAAAGAUUGGUGCCGCCGUCCCUUGGGUCCUUCUAAGCGUGAAUAAUUUCCAAAACUUGAUAACAUUUAAGUAGAAUGACUCGAGCUAAACUAGCUAAGAAAAUGCAUGGGGAGAUCCAUUAUUCAGAAAAUAAUUAUGAAAACGAUAUUACUAAUUGGUAUAACUUUUUUGUUUUCCUUUUAUUUAUAGAGAGAAUUAGAUUUGAAAAUCUCAUGAAUGGAAAAAAUUCAAAAUAAAUUAUAUUACCAACAUGUUAUGUUGUCAUAAGGAGCGCUAAUAUCAAUAGAGUAAAUCAAAUCCGAAAUUUUCACAUUGACACAAAUCAAUAACGAUCUAUCACUUUAAUUCGAAAUGGAAACAUUGUCUCCCGUUUCAAAAAAUCGAUUAGCGUGACAUCAUAUAAAUUUUAUUGAAAAAAAUCCAACUUUACCCCACCUCCAUCCACGAAAUUCUCGUACAAAACUUCAAGAGGAGGGCGACAACGCACUAUCUUUUCGUGACGCGCAAAGGCCCCCCCAGCAAUGCGCAUCACACACGGCUCGCACGUCCCCCUUUCGCCGCCACUUGUACAGCUCUCGCGCGCAUCUAAUUCGUCCUCGCUCCAACCCCACCUCGGCUUCCCUCUAUUUAUACUCCGCCCUUUCCCCAUUUUCUAUCGAAUCUUUCCCCGCUUUCAACGCCCCCACAGCAACAGAGAAAGAUCCGAGAUCAGAGAUCCGGCCCACCGCUCCCGGCGGCGCUGGUGGCACGGCCUCUCUUUUUUAUCCCUUCCUUCUCCGACGAGGAGCUCCGUCCGCGAAGAAGGGCAACGCCAUGGCCACCGGCGCUGCGGAAUGCCUCCUCCGGUGCGUCUACGAGGGCUGCAUCUCCGGGUGCGACUCCGGGAUCGAGAGGCGGCCGUACCACCGGAACUGCGGCUGCGCGCUCCACAAGAAGUCGGGCAGCAACUGCCCCCGUCCCCCGACGGGGAAGGGCAAGAGCGUGUCGUAUCCGAUCAGGCGGGCGUGGAGCGAGGGGUCCCUCGUCCUGAUGGCCUCCGCGAGUUCGUCGCCGUCGUCGUCCCCGGUCGUGGGGAGGCCGCUGGCGGCGGGUCCUUGCGAUCUAGACAGGGCGAUGGAUGAUGGGUUUUGUCUCAAGAUGUGAAAGUUUUGAUCUUUUUUUAUGGGUUCUUCUCUUCGGUCGUUUUUCUUUUGGUUCUUGGUAGAUGAGAUGGGGGGUCGUUGUUGUUGAUGAUCUCGAUGUUUGCUUCAUUCGUUUUGAUCUCUUCGUGACCAGCUUAGGAAUUUUAGAAGAGCCCCCUCAUUGAAUUAGAGAAAUCUGACAUGAUCUAUAGACAUGGUGGUGUCCUCUGGUGUUGUCUGGGUUGAAAUCGGUGCGAUUGCAAUGUUCAUCUGUUGAUAUGGUGGGAGUCAGUUUCAUCUGACGAUGAAUGUACAAAGUGAUCUUAAUGGAGCCAUACUUUUUCUCCCAAAUUCCUGUUCCCGUUCUUCCAUCUUCUUCUGCUUGAAAAGGAGUUAAGAUUGUUCUGGAUGCAAAUCUGAUCGCAAGAAAAGGCUGAGAUUUUUCUUGGCAUGGAUUCAAUUCCAGUCCUUUUUGCUCACACAGAUUCAGAGCAUGUCUCACACCUUUCACAUCGUCUUGAUUCAUCUCCUUUUGCUUGAUCGAUGAUGACCCAUCACGCCAAAUUCCUUUUUCUAUGGGGGGGUCGAUCUAGACAGAAAAAAAUCAGAGGAGGGGGAAGAAAAUACGUGCCAUGUUUGGCGGGGUCAAUUGAUCUGAGCAAGUGCAGGUCAACGGACUCGAGAUGGAGACAAGAAAGACAAAUGGCGUGGCAUGCAUAAACGAGAGUCAAGAGGGGCGGGCAGGCAGGCCAUGUGGGUCGCUCUUUGCUGGCGGAUGCAGCCGAACAGUAUUCAAUUCAAAUUGCAUUUGCCCUGAAAUAUGAAGCUGGACUUCCCCGGUCUUCUUUAAACAAAAAGACGUCUCUCUCAGUGGGUUCCAAGCCAAUUUUCUUUUCUUUUCCUUCGAAAAAGGAUGGACCGUCCACGACUUUUCCGAGCCUUUUUUUUUUUUUUUAAAUUGAGAACUCUUGAGUUGUCUUCUCUUCUCUCAACUGUAUGAAUCACAUGCUGGCGCAAGCCCGAAAAGCAGAUCAAGUCCAAGCUGUCUCUACAUGAGCGCACUACCAAACGAAGAAGAGAGUCAGGUGACCACCCAAAAAGACAAAUUUAAAGUAGCUCUCUUGGAGCCGUUGGGUGCGUACAGAUGUUUGACCAUUGCUCUAUAUUGCGUUAUCGUUUCUGUAACUGAUGAACCUUCACAAAUUACUGCCUUUUCAAUGUUUCUAAGAUGGCAUGACUCACAUCACCGACGGGAGGAAAUUUGCUUUUGAAAUAGACAGUUGCUAACUAAGGUGAAAAACUGAUAUUUUGUAGCAUAAUUCAGAUUUGCUUUUCUAUAUGAAUUAUUGACCAUAAUUUGAGUUAUCAAACAUGUGGAAGAAUAAGUAUUGUGAAAUUUAGUUUUAUUUAUAAAGAAAGUUAUGAGUCAUUGUGAAAAAAUUUACUUCUUGUGAUGUAUUGCUGUUUAUUUUUCUCGUGAAAUGUCGCUGACCGUUCUUAAAAGUUUAAUUGUCAACGGCAACCACGAGCAGGAAAUAGAGCUAAUCCUCGUAAAUAAGAAGUUCAAUGACAGGCAGAGUUUAAUUUACCAGAAGUAAAGACAAGGUCAAUCUUGAUGUUUUGGAUCCUAAUAAUUUGCAGAUUAUUUGCUAAUCUUUGUCUCAAUAUGGAUCAGAAUAACCUUUUCUGCUCUCAACAGGUCAGAAUAACUUCCAAGUGUUUGUCGCCACAAAUUCAAUGAAAGAAGAUAUACUCGAAUUAUGUACAAACUACAAGAAAACUAGUGGGGCAACAUUGUCAAAAACAUGAACCUUCAUGCGAGAAAUCUCCUCCCUUCACAUUGUUUACGCAACAAGAACCGAGUGCUUCAAAGCAAGGUCGUGAGAACUCAACUUGCGGAUAAACCUAUGCUUAGAACUCCUCCAACUAUCAGUGAAAUUUUCAAAGCCGAGCUAAGUGGGGCCGAGCUCGCUUUCUAGGGCCUUCUUCAAUCUUUCUAUGGAGACAGUUUCGACUAGCCGCCAGGCGUUAGGCCUGGAAUCGUCUCAGAGGAAAAGAGACAACUUUCAUGUCCUAACUAAUAUGGCAGUGCCAAUGGCUACGAACUUUUCUAGACAUUCUCAAAAAAGAGUUUGUUUUUCUAGAGAACUCCCUAGGCUUCACUGACAUGCACAGCUCUGUUAGUCCUAUAUAAAUCAGUGAAUAAUGCGGACAUUCGAGAUCACCAAAGGAAGCUGCACUGAUGGAAAACAAAACCAAAACAAUCAAAGAGACAGAAAAGAAGGGAAGGACGAAGAAUAGACUUAUAGCAGCUGAAACGACUCUCCGGUGUGUCCUCGAUGGAAGCUUGUCGUUGAAUGACAUGGAAAUUGAACGAAGGCCUUAUCACUGAAACUGCAGUUGCACUCUGCAUAAAGCAAUGGGCGGUCAUUCCGGUUGCUCUCGACAUAGCAAGAUGUCUUUCGCCAAGAGAGAGUCACGGGUGGAUUCAUCUUUGUCAACGGCAACUCGCAAGGUCCCUCCAUCCUUUCCAGUCAAAAGUAGAGAAAACUCUAACAAAGCAGCUUCAUCAUGAUCCAUAGUAGAGCCACCAUGACUGCUGGAUGUAAUUAGAUGGAGGAAAAUAACUAGCAGAAACAUAGGAAAUCAGAGGCGACAGGCUAUCCUUCAUUUGUUCCCUCGAGACAACAAAAGCAUCGGAGGAUAGAUAACACUCGCUUCUUCUAAAUUCAACCUGCACGUUUAACUGAUCUCUCCAGGCAAGAUCAGGAAAAUCAGUCAAAUUUGUGCAUCUCAUGCCUUCACUCCGUGUAAGUCCUGCCAGGGACAUCAGCAGAGAUGACAACACUAUAAUUUAUUAAAAGUCUCAAGCUUCAUGCAUCUUUGCCAGUAAUAAUGAUGGGAGUUAUUUUUUUAAAAUAUUGCUAAGAAUAUAAAUAUCGGACCAGUAGAAAACUACUUGUCUAGACUCCUCAUAGCGCUUUAGGCAUGCUACUAGACUUGCAAUCGGAUCAAGUUGUUGGUAUGUAAUAUAUUAUUUUUGUACCUAGCAUCAACAUGUCCUCAAAAUAUCAGGAAAAAAACAGUUAACAAAAAAGUUUAGGAGGUUAUAUUGGACAUUCAACAGGUCAGGAAACCUGUUUCAAGUGAUUGGCGAGAAAAAAAGGGAUGAUUGCAAAUGAGUGUACUCAAAUUAGUAAUUUUCAUUUGACAGAAAAGAGUUAGCAAUUUUCCUCCUUCCGUAUUUGUGGUCCACACCACAAUUAUGUGAUUAAUUUAGAGCGCUAUUUGGGAGAAAACUUCAUGAUAAAGAAAUUCCAAGAAAUGGUUUUUCAAGAGAAUGGAUAGUUUCCUUUGUUUGGUGAUAUGUGAUUGAAAACAUUUAUUAUGUUACAAUUAAUUGCAUUUACAUUUGUUUGCAACUUUGUAGGCCUUCUUUCCUUAUGAUCUUUUUGUCAAGCGUCAUUCUUGGAAAGAAGUGAAAAUUGCUCCCAUACGGUUGUACGAAUUCUGGGAACAGGUUAUUUGGAAAGAUUUGUAAUUCUAGGAAGGAAAGUAAUAAAUCAAUAACAUAUUUCGAAUAAGGCGCCAGAUCUGAUAUCGUAUGUUGAUGUAGCAAAUAUUAAUCACUUGGGCAUGGUUUAAAUUAAUGCCUUGCUGUUUUUUUAUUAAUGAAAAGAUCAUUAAGCACCAAACAUGUCCUUGAUUGACUUCUUUUAGGAGGUUAAUCUCUUCUCUGCACGUGCAUAGUCGAUAUAUGUCUUACUUCUAGGUCCACGUUUUGGUCUUAUCCAUCUUCUGAUGAGUCUGGAUUUAGGUGAUUUCGAAUUGAUAUUCUCAUUUUGCGGAACCUAAGGUUUAAUUAUUUUUAUUUUUGUGUCUUGAGAUCCGCUAAGGAAGAGAUACGACUUGAAUUUGCUUAUCCAGAUAAUUGUGGUAUGUUCUUAAACUCAUUCCGCAAAGAAAUUAGAAGACAUUAUGAUGAUGUGGGAGUAGAGAGGCUCGUGAGGAUGCCCAAGUUCUUCGGGCUUUGGUUAAAAUGGGUCAUGACAUGUUUUUCAGGUUUUAAUUAUUUUCUCAACUCAGUUUAGCCCAUUUUACAAAAAAAGAGUUACCUACACCGAAUUUGGCCCAUUAAAUCUAAUUCAUAAAAUGAGUAGCCGCCUCUAUUCCAAUCAGGUAGAAAUUCAUUUUGAUGACUUUAGCCGAGCACUAGAAAAUACUGUCAUCUUCCUUCUUAAUUUUUUUUUUUCUAAAAGAAUCACAUUUUCUGCGAAACAAAUGGAGGCUAAGUAUAAAACCAAAGUAGUCAAUACAAUACAAAUAUGUCUUGCAAUUUGUGAACAGGAAGAUCUAGUUAUAAUCAAGAACAGAGUAAAGUAAUGAAGGGCUUCAUAUACGUGGGACUACGGCUCUCUGCCAAGUCCAGUGCAACUUUGCCACACAUGAUGCAUGCCAGAGAAUGCAAUUGUUCGACGAGUAGGAAAACAAGAAAAAGCAACUCACAAACGAAAAGGAGAAAAAGGAUCGGUUACCCACAAAUUAUACAGUUUCCUCAAUUCAAGUUGUGUCUGGGAAACCGAAUGGGAGAGAGGUUUUCUUCAGGUGCUGAUUGAAGAUGGUAGACCAAAUUCCUAAGUCUCUCUCUCUCUCUCUCUCUCUCUCUCUCUCUCUCUCUAGAAGUUCCAUGUCUAGGAAUGAAGAAGUUCCUUGACAAACUUGGUUUUGUUUAACUAACUGCACAAGAACACUUCGAAGCAAAAUUUUCGAAGAAGUUCCUACAAAUGCUUCCCAGAGAGUGCGAAAAAUAUUUCGCAACAUUUAGCAGUCUUUUAUAUGUUUUCGAGGGAAUACUUUUACAGGAAUUUUGGCAGCAUAUGCGAUCAAAUCGUUGAAGGAUAUACUUUACCUUACUUCUCGUUUCCACCUGCUUCUUUUAUAAAUCGCAGCUCCUCUUUUGUUUGCCUGGGAAGUGAUGCCGUUGCUCUUGUCCCUCUUAACUUCAGAAAUGCAUCACCUUUGGUCUCUUAAUAAGUGAUCAGCGAGUGCAACACAAAUAUUCGGUAUGAGGUCAUCUUUACUUGAGCGUGUUGUUGCUCAAUGCUGAACCCCGCAUUUUGCCUGCAACUAUGAUGCGCAAAUGCAUUUGGAAUCUGUAGAGAAGAUUGGAUUCCUAUACCCUAAUGUUCAUGAUUAGACUAUAUUUUUCCGUGUACUAGUAUGCCAUUGCUAAUGUCAAGUAUUUGCUGAUGAAGAACUUAACAACCAAUGUACUUGACUGUUGGUGCCUUUUACGACACCAUUUGGUUCGGCUUUCCUAAGGAGCUUUAGGCCCUCAAAGCCCAUUGGGGAAAAUAUUUUGCAUUUAACAAAUAUUUUUGAAAGCUCAUUGGCCAAAUAUUAACAUUCCCAAUGCUGAAAGCCCAAUGCAAGUAUGGACCUACUUUAAGCAUUUGACAUUUUGGAAAUGCAAACUGUUUAUCCGUGUCACCGUUCAUCUUCUUCCCCAUUUGUCUUCAUCUUCCCCACCUGUGAGUUGGGCUUCUCUGGUAGUCGCUACCGCUGCCUGGGGGUCACGCGUCCCCAGUGACCACCACCUAGGGUGGCGCGACCCGCAACCCAGGUGGUGUUGCUCGGGUCGUGUGAGCCAAGUGACGCCAACUGAGGUCACGCAACCCAGGCAACAUCUCUUGGCAUGCGCAAGCCAAGCGAUGCUGCUUGCGUUAGCGCGAUCGGCCAAAUCUAGCCUCUACGACCUUAGAUGACGGCGUUGCCUGAGGUCACGACCUUAGGCGGUCAGAUCUGGUCGUCUGGCAAUUGGCCGGCGGUUAGCGGGCCACCGGAUUUGAUAUUCAAAUUAUAUAUAUAUAUAUAGCGAAAGCCCAUUAUAAAUGUAAGGUUUGCCCGACAGUAUUUACAUAUCCGAACAACCACAUACUAUUACUAUGGAACGGAGAAAAGUUCAGUCUCAUGGAUCAUAAUCAGAAGGGAGUGUUGAAAAUGCUGUGAUCACCCUCAAGAUAAUCUUCCCGUUCAUUGAGAUAUAGCUCUUAUGAGCUGCUUCUCACUAGGAUAUUCCGGUGAACUUCCAUUAACAAUGUAAUAUAAAGAUGCGAUGAAGUUUUGUACAGUUAUGAGUAUAUUUCAUGAAUAAAAGCAUGGUAUGCAUCGUCAUUGAACUAAGAUCUAAUUCAAAUCAAAUAAAAAUACCAUUUCACAAAGACCAACACAAUAGAUAACGAUGGACUCUGACAUCACAAGUCUUUGGUAGAUGUGGCUGGUGAGGCCCCUUCGAGAAUUUGAACCUCUAAAACUCAAGAAAACGUCGUAAUUGCAUCCUAGUGAAGAAGCAGGAUCAUUUGAUUAAAGUGGUUAUUGGUUCCUCAGCAGAAUUGUUUGGUUUUGGUCUUCAUUUACCCACGAACACAAAAAGCAAGACUUAUGCAAAAGGCACCAAGAUAGGAAGAAGCCACGUUGUCCAUUCCUCCAUUUUCUCUAGCCUACUCACCUCCUCCAGAUGAUCAAGAAAAGAUUCGAUGCAAAAAGCUAACUCUUUCUGCUCUAAUCUAAAUCUUAAGUCCCCUGCUUCGGAUUUAAAACACGAAUCCUUCAUUUCGUCUGUUCAAUGGCAGAAAAGAGUCAAAAGUCCGGGGUGGAGGUACUGAUAGUUCAUUGGUUUCUUCCCUCUUUCCAGCUCAAGAUAUUCUUUUCCAGAGUCUUUAAAGUCACAUGCUCGUUGGUCAGUUAAGUAAUAAAUCAUUGACUAUACACAAUUUUAUCGGAUGUUUUCUGUCAAUCUCGUCCUUAAAACACGGAAUUAGCGGGGUAAGUAAAGUCAAACAUCUAGAGUUGCAACAGCACGAGGAAUUGUCCAAGCAAACACUGUAAAAUUGGUGCUGCUAUAUCUUUCGAUCUUAUUAGUGAUCACCAUAGAUGGAUUUCUUUUUCUUUUUCGUAACAUGGGGGGUAGGAUCUUAUAGCUCGAGUAAUCUAUGUAUGUACGCAAACCUCUCAGUCAUGCAUCAAUUAAGGAUCUGCCUCAUCCAAAAUGCUUGACCACAGAACCAGCCCGGGGGCUAGAUUCAGAGAUAUUCACUUUCACAUAAUACAAACGCCUCCCAAAAAGAAUAACUCCUGUCCAUCCCUAAUUUGAUGAAUGAUUUAUGAGGGGAUUUUUCCACAGUGCACUGAUGGUUAUCUAGAAGAUCUACAGUCAACUAAUCGAGGCACACCAUCAUCCCUAGAUUAAUGUACUACAUGAUAAUGCAUAAAAUUAGCAAUAUGCAAGUUGUUGCUGGCAACGGAAAAACACUCUGAUGUUUAGAAUACAAAAGCAAUCCCAAGAGACAAGUGCAGUAAAACAAAAUUCAAUGCAAUAGUUGCUGAUGCAUGGGUUACUGAUCAAUGAAGCGGACUUGGGAGUUGGUUUUUGGAACUGACUGUUGCAAGUCAUACAGACAAGAUAGAAAACAAGUAACUGCAGCUGGUCAUUUUACCUGGCCAAUUAUAGGGAACAAAAAACUACAGCUAGUCAAAAUCACAUGGCAAAGAAGAUAGAACAUCACAAUGUUCGUGAUGGGAAAAGACAAAGGAGUAUUUGGGGGUGGCCAAGAACAUAGGGACUGUGAAUGGUAACUCAAAAUACAAUUCAGUUCUUAACGUUGAACAGGGGAAAAGUGUCAGAUCAUGGCUCAGAAGCAAAAAGACAGUUGCAACUUCCAAAUCACCUCAAAACAAUCUGACCUGGAUUCUCAUAGUCAAAUAUAUUGAACAAUGAGCAUACUUGGCAUGUUCUGCUAGGUAAUUCCGGGGGUUUCAGCGACUUGCAUCCAGAGAAAUCCACAAUGCUUAAGAAUCUCAAGCCUCCAAGGCCCUGGAGCUCCGUUAGGUUCUCACAAUGUCUUACCUUUAGAUCUCCCAAGAGUUCUAAACCUGACAAAUCUGGUAAAUUCUCAAGCAUCUCACACCAUGAAAUGUCAACAAAUUUCAAGGAUCUCGCUCUGUCAAGCCCUGGAAGCUCCAAAAGUUGCGGACAUUUCUUCACUGUCAAGUAUUCUAAAUCUUCAAAUUCCGAAAUAUCUGGAAAGUUUACAAUCGACAUGCAUCGUUCAAUGUAUAAUGUUUUGCUUGAAGAGAAUUCCUCAAGCGCUUGGAUAUCACGGAUUUUCUCACAGCCAUUGAUGCACAGAUAUUUCAAGGUCCCUGAGCAUGGCGGAUCUGGUAAUCUUUCCACAGAACUACAGUCGGAGAGAUUCAAUUCUUCCACGUGUUCAGCAUUAUAAAGACCUGUGAUUUCAACUAACUUCAGGCAACUUCCAGCAACUAAUUUCUUCAAACCCUUUAAGUUAGAAAAAUCCGGUAAACUCUCAAUGGAAUAACACACGGAGAUGUCUAGUUCUUCCAAGUAUUCCCAUCUGUCAAGGCCUUGAAUUCCAACCAGAUUCUCACAAGCAGCGGCAUCAAAAUUCUUCAGAAAUUUCAAAUCCGAAAGAUACGGUAAUGUUUCUAAUGCUUUACAACCCUUUAUGAUGAUCGAUCUUAAUGAGACUAAACGUUCAAGGCCCUCCAGCUUAUAUAGCUUUUCACAAAAUGAUGCUGUCAAAGCAGUUAGGCAAACAAGUUCUUCAAGCCCUUUGAUUUCAGUUAACUCAGAGCAACCGUGGAGAUGCAAUUCUGAUAAGCGUUUAAAAUUUGACAAAUCUGGAAAUCUCUCCAAAUCUGGACCUUGGCUGACUUCAAGCUUCAAUAGACUGGAGGGAAGAUCUGGGAGCCAUUUUAUGUCAUCAUGAAGUUCAAUGUGGAGAUCAACAAGUUGAGAGAGGGUCUUCAUCGUAGUUAAGGCACUCAAAUCCUUGACUUUCAUUGAUAAUUGUGGUACAUUGAUUAGGUUGGCAAUAUCUGGGAUUGUCUCACAGACGAGAUGUAGAAUUGUUAGGCUCGAGGGAAGCUCUGGCAGAGAUUGUAGCUCUUCGCAUUUCCCUAAAUCAAGCUCUUGGAGACAUGAUAACUUGUGAAUGCUUUUUGGCAAACAGGAAAUGCGCGUCUUUUCUAACCGAAGGACUCGCAGUGAAGAUAAAUCCCCUAUCUCACUAGGGAUUUCUCCUUGCAGAUGUUUACACCCUGAGGCAUCUAACUCUUCAAGCUUCUCCAACCUUCCCACGGUUCUAGGUAAACUUUCUAAGAAUAUAUGAGUCAUGAGCAAAACUUUCAGAUUGUGUAGAUCCCCGAUGGAGUGGGGCAGUUCCUUGACACCUGAUCUUGAUAGACACAGUCGGGUUAAAGAUGUCAACUUUCCAAUGGAGUCAGGAAGUGUUCUCAGCGAGUGACACCCGUCUAGCGACAAGCUAUGCAAUUUCCGGAGGGAUUCUAUGGAGCUGUCAAUUCUGACCAAUGAUCUACAAUUACGAGCAGAAACAAUGUCAAGCUUCCUCAUGCGGCCUAUGGACAUGGGAAUCUCUUUUAUGGAACUACCAUCAAUAAAAAGCUCCCCCAAGUUUGUUAGUCUCCCCAUUUCUUGUGGUACCUCCUUGAGUUUCUCACAUCCCCUCAAACUUAAGGAUAAGAGAUUCCUGAUAUUCUUGAUAGAAGGGUGAAUUUUGACCAGAUUAACACAAUAUUCAAUAUUCAAGAUCUCGAGAUUCUGGAGAGCUGAGCAGUCAGGAGUUUCGGUCAACUUAUCGCAGUGCAGAAGCCUCAGAACUUUGAGCUGGUUCACAAUCCACCGCAAACAAAAUAUAGCAACGUUAGCUCUCGAAUUUAUCAUAUACCUUGCAAAAGAAAAAAAGAAGAUGGAGAUUUACCUUCUUUAAUCCAUUGACAUGGUGCCAUGCGUCCCAGUGUUCUGUGAGACUGCUGACUCUUACAUUAAGAAUAACCAAGUUCUCUGGAUGAAAGUUUGUUGGGAAAAAAGACGUUGAACAGGCCAUCCAAUCAAGCCAUCUUAAUUUAGGAAGAAGGUCCUUGAAAUCUCCCGUGACUUCUGCCUGCUGGAUACGAAGGUACCUUAACAUUGGCAGUUUUCUGAAGUGCCCAUUUGUUAAGCAGUAUGGUUCAGAAAGGGAAGGAGAAUACUUAAGAUGGAGGGCCUUGAUCUGAUCCGUUCCCUGCAAGUUCCCAGAAACUGAGAAAUAAGGGUGUCGCACAAGACCCGAAAGUAGGCUAAUGAAAAGUGUGACACAUUGUUCCACUUGUUCCAUAAGUAAUAUUUGGCUUAAUUGUACAUCCAUCCAAUUUAUGACAGAACUCUAAGGAUCAUAAAAGCCUAGAUCCCAGGCAUGCUCCAUUACCAUGUAUGGGAGCUCUUCUAAUUAAUCCAGUUGACCGCUUUCUAGUUUGACUGGCCUUUCAGGUUUUGAUCAUUUUUCUUACAGGGCGUCAAACAGGAUAGAGCACAUAACCAAUAACAAGAGCCGAUUGUCUGUGAUUGUGUCAUGUAGCAACCUGAGAUAUUAUCCUGCUGAAUCAGACAAUGUCUAAUAAUGAAUAUACAAGUUAGUCUGGAUUUCCACAUUUUCAUUUAUGGGGUAUAAUAUGACAGAUAUGAUUUGAUAUAAAUAGCUUGACCCCAUAUCAGCGGAACUAUGCCUAAGCUGAUGGUGUCACAAAUUUGCUAAUUCUACCCACGACCCUUUUUUUAAACAAGAAAUAUGAGAAUCCACACUUUUAAGUAAAAAGUAGAGAGCAGAAAACAUUGUACCUCAUUUCUCUCAAGCACUUUCAAAGCUUCCUCAUGAAUCCAUAAUCUACUGCGCUCACUUGGCUUGUCAGAGUUUUCUUUAUAAACAAUACUUCUACCAAGAUCUCUUAAUUGAUCAUGCAUCCAUAGCCGAUUUCCCCUAUUGCCGUGGACAAUUUUGACUAGGGACAUGAGACUCAGCACUUCUAGUCCCAACUCUGGAGAGAAGCCACAGUCAUCCCACAUGUAAGUUGGAAGUCUUGGAUCCGUUCUAUUGAAAAAACAUGCAACGUCAAGGAAUAUUUGCUUCACAUCAUCAGUUAGGGUAUUGUAACUUAUCUUCAGCUUCUCUUCAACCUUCUCAUGAGGCACUUUUCUCAACUUCUUUAAUGUGUCUCUCCACGCUGCCUCGCUUUUGUCGCACAAGAGUGACCCAAUAACCUCAAGAGCCAACGGGAGCUGCUCAGUAGUUGAGACAAUAUCACGACAAAGGUCGUUGAAGGCAGGAGGAGGGAAGUCACGUUGAAACGCAUGUCUACAAAAUAGAACCAUAGAAUUUUCUUCGUCCAAUCCCAUAAGUUCAUAUUCCCAGUAUGACGUCCCAAACUGAUUAAGAAUGUGCUUAUCUCUAGUUGUAAUAAUGAUCCUACUUCCAGAACCAAACAACCCAUGCCCUCCCACAAGUGCAUCUAACUGAUCUUUGUCACUCACAUCAUCAAGAAAAAUGAGAACUUUUCUGCCUCCAAAUCUAGAACUGAUGAUAUUGAUUCCGUCGUCUCUAUUAGAAACUUCGUGGGGGCUUCCUUUGAGAACUUCAGAGAUCAAUUCCUUCUGCAAGUGCACAAUUCCCUCACGCGAUUCCGUUUCUCGGAUAUCAGCUAAGAAGCCAUGGCGCUCAAAUUGACUUGACAGUUCAUUGUAGAUGACUUUGGCAAGAGUUGUUUUACCAGCACCACCCAUUCCAUGAAUUCCAAGUAUCCGUGUAUCUCCAAAUUUAGUAUCUACCAUAGUCAUAAUUUCUUUUACAUGAAUGUCCACUCCCACCAAGUGUUUAGGGGUCACUAACUUAAAAGCGUUCUUUAACUCGCUCAAAACCUUUACAACAACCACUUUUAUGAGCUCUGCCUCAUUCCUGUCAAAAUCGUGCUAUGAUUGAGAUCACGAACAAAUAUCAAGAGUAAAACUUACUAGAACAAACUCAGAUAAUAAGCAACAAGAUGAAUUGGCAAAUUGAUGAUGGUCGAUUGUCUAAAAAAGUAAUGUACUUUGCCAUAAAAUAAUCAGCUUAUAUGAAAAGUGGAUUUGGAAGUACCCAUUAGCAAUAUUUUCGGAUACCAGUCCUUUCAAGGAUCCAACUUCUUUGAGUGCUUGUCUCCAUUUCUGGACAUCGCUAUCCCCAAAACGCUGCUUGUAUGAAUUGAAGACAUCUCCAAAGGUUCCUUUGAGCCAUUUCACAUCUGCGGGCUCUACUUUAUAGAAUAUGGGCAAGAUCACUUGUUUCAUCUCUUUCUUGCACUUGAGCAUCCAAACGAGCUCAAAAAGGCAUCAUUUGCUGGACGCAUAGCAUUCCGAGAGAACUGAGAUCGAGAUCUUGCUGUUGUCGAUGGCCCGAAAAAGCUGUGGGCCAAUCUCCUCUCCUAGAGGGAGCUCGUUGUCGUCUCUGAACACGCGAACUCUCGCUUCUUGGAGUUGCUGGUAGAGGUGGCUCGUGAAGCCCUUGCGAGAGUCUGGACCUCUGAAGCUUAAGAACACAUCAUAAUCACAUCCACUGGGGACUCGGAAACCGGCUUCUCCACGAAGGUAAUUGCUGUUCUGUUCAUCUUUAGAAAUUCUAAGAGAACGAAAACUGAAAGCAAGAUUAAUCGGAUGCUAAACCACUGCACAAUAAUGACAGAUCUGAUGAUACUGAUUUCCUCUCUUUCUAUAAUGUACUGACGUUCUAAAUUUGAUGGAGGGAAACAAGUCAAGGUCCACCCUCGAGGUGUCCCAUCAGAGAUGGGAAAAACGUCUCAUUUGACUCCUGCUAGGGACAUCAGCAGAGAUGACAACACUGUAAUUUAUUAAUAGUUGCAAGCUUGACGCAUCUUUGCCAGUAAUAAUGAUGGGAAUUAUUUUUGAAAAUAUUGCUAAGAAUAUAAAUAUCGGACCGGUAGAAAACUACUUGUCUAGACUCCUCAUAGCGCUUUGGGCAUGCUACUAGACUUGCAGUCGGAUCAAGUUUAUGGUAUAUAAUAUAUUAUUUUUGUAUCUAGCAUCCAGAUGUCCUGAAAAUACCAGGAAAAAAAAAAGGUUAACAAAAAAUUUUAGGAGGUUAUAUUGGACAUUCAACACGUCAGGAAACCUGUUUUAAGUGAUUGGUGAGAAGAAAAUGAAUGAUCGCAAGUGAAUGUACUCAAAUUAGUAAUUUUCAUUUGACAAGAAAAAAGUCAGCAAUUUUCCUCCUUCUGUAUUUGUGGUCCACAACCACAAUUAUGUAAUUAAUUUAGAGUGCCAUUUGGGAGAAAACUUAAUGAUAAAGAAGAAUACUUUUCGAUGAAUCAUGUUUUAAGAGAAUGAAUAAUUUUCUUUUUUUGGUGAUAUGUGAUCAAAAAUAUUUAUUAUGAUACAAUUAAUUGCAUUUACAUUUCUUUGUAACUUUGGAGGCCCUCUUUCCUUAUGAUCUUUUUUGUCAAGCUUUAUUUUUGGAAAGAAGUGAAAAUUUCUCCCAUGUGGUUUUACGAAUUCUGGAAGAGGUUAUUUGGAAAUAUUUGUAAUUCUAGGAAGUAAAGCAAUGCAUCAAUAAUAAUUUUCGAAAUAGGACGCUAGAUCUGAUACUGUAUGUUGAUAUAGCAACUAUCAAUCACUUUAGCAUGGUUCAAAUUAAUGUCUUGCUGUUUUUUUUUUUAUUAAUGAAAUAAUCAUUAAGCACCAAACGAUGUCCUUGAUCGACUCUUUUUAGGAUGUUAAUCCUUCUCUGCAGGUGUAUAGUUGUUAUAUGUCUUACUUCUAGGUUCACGUUUUGGUCUUAUCCAUCUUCUGAUGAGUUUGGAUUUAGGUGAUUUCGAAUUGAUUACUCAUUUUGCAGAGCUUAAGGCUUAAUUAUUUUUAUUUUUGUGUCUUGAGAUCAGCUAAGGAAGAGAUAUGAUUCGAAUUUGCUUAUCCAAAUAAUUGUGGUAUGUUCUUAAACUCAUUCUACUAAGAUAUUAAAAGACAUUUUGAUAAUGUGCAAGUGGAGAGACUCGUGAUGAUGCCCAAGUUAUUUGGGCUUUGGUCAAAAUGGGUAAUGACAUGUUUUUUGGGUUUCAACUCAGUUUAGCUUGUUUUACGAAAAAAGAGAAUUUGGCCCAUUAAAUUUGAGUCGCAAAUUGGUUACUCGGCUCUGUUCCAAACAGGUGAAAAUUCAUUUUCAUGUGUCUAGCCGAACACUAGAAAUCACUAUCAUUUUCCUUCUUAUAAAAUAUUUUCUGGAAAGAUCAUAUUUUCCAUAAAAGAAACGGAGCCUAAAUAUAGGACCAAAGUACCCAAUACGAUACAAAUUUGCAAUUUGUGAACAGGAAGAUCUAUUUAUAAUCUAGAAAAGCAAUGAAGAGCUUCACAUAUAUGGGACUACGGCUAUGUGCUAAGUCCAGUGCAACUUUGCUGCACAUGAUGCAUGCCAGAGUACGCAAUUGUUCGACGAACAGGAAAACAAGAAAAAUCAACUAACAAAAAGGAAGCAGGAUAAGGAUUGGUACGCCCAAAUCGUAGAGUAUCCUCAAUUCAACUUGUGUCUGGGAAAGCGACUAGAAGAAAAUUUUUCUUCAGGUGCUGAUUGAAGUUAGCAGACCCCAAAUUCCCAAGUCUCUCUCUCUCUAGACGUUCCAUGUCUAGGAAUGAAGAAAGUUCCUUGACAAACUCGGUUGUAGUUAACUAACUGCACAAGAACACUUCGAAGCGAAAUUUUCGAAGAAGUUCCUACAUAUGCUUCCCAGAGAGUGAGAAAAAGAUUUCGCAACAAUUAGCAGUCUUUUAUAUGUUCUCCAGGGAAUACUUUUACACGAAUUUUGGCAGCAUAUGACAUUGGAUCGGUGAAGGAUUUACUUUACUUUACUUCUCAUUUCUACUUGCAUCUUUUACCAAAUUACAACUCCUCUUUUGUUAGCCUGUGAAGUGAUGCCGUCCCUCUUGUCCCUCUUAAGUUCAGAAAUGCAUCACCUGUGGUCUCUUAGUAAGUGAUCGGCAAGUGUAAUGCAUACAUUCGGUAUGAGAUCACCUGGACUUGAGUGUGUUGCUGAAUGCUGCUGAAUGCUGAACUCUGCAUUUGCCAGAAACUAUGAUGCGCAAAAUGCAUCUGGAAUCUGUAGAGAAGAUUGGAUUCCUAUAUGCUGAUGUUCACGGUUACAAUACAUCGUUUUUCCGUGUACUAAUAUGCCAUUGCUGAUAUCAAGUCAAAGUAUUUGCUGAUGGAGAACUUAAUAAUCAAUGGACUUCUCAACUGUUGAAGCCUUCCACAUAUCCAAACAGCCACAGACUAUGGCUAUGGAAUGGGCAAAGGUUCAGUAUCGUGGAUCAUAAACUGAAAGGAGUGUCUAAAAUUCUGUAAUCACCUCAAGAUAAUGUUCCUGUUCAUUGAGAUAUAGCUCUUAUGAGCUGCUUCCCACUAGGACAUUCUGGUAGGAAGUUGUGGAACUUUAACAAUGUAAUAUAAAGAUGGUACGUAGUUUUGUACGGUUGAGUAUAUUUCAUGAAUAAAUGCAUGGUAUGCAUGGUCAUUGAACUGAAGUCUAAUUCUAAUCAAAUUAGAAAACCAUUUAGCAAAAACCAACAGAACAGAUGACAUGCUGAAGCUUGUUGUGGAUGACAGACUCUGGCAUCACAAGACUCUGGUACAGGUGACUGGUGGAACUAGAGACUCGUGAAGCCCUUCUGUUAAUCUGGACCUCUGAAGCUCAAGAAAGCGUUGUAAUUGCAUCCUAGUGAAGAAGCAGGAUCAUUUGAUGAAGUGGUUAUUGGUUCCUCAGCAAAACUGUUUGGUUUUGGUCUUCUUUUCUUACACAUGAACACAAAAAGAAAGGUUAAUGCAAAAGGCACCACGAUAGAAAGAAGUCACGCUGUCUAUUCCACCCUUUUCUCUAACCUAUUAGCUCCUCCAGAUGAUCAAAAAAAUAUUUGAUGAAAAAAAAAGCCAACUAAUUCCUCUCUAUUCUAAAUUUUCAGUCCCCUGGCUCAGAUUUAGAACAGGGAUCCUCCAUUUCGUCUGUUCAAUGGACGGAAAAGAGUCAAACCCCAGGGCAGAGGUACAAAUAGUUCAUUGGUUUCUUCUCCCUUUCCAGCUCAAGACAUUCUUUUUUCAGAGUCUUUGAGUUCACAUGCUCAUUGGUCUGUUAACUAAUAAAUCAUUGAGUAUACACAAUUUUGUUGGAUGUUUUUCUGUCAAUCUCGUCCUUAAAACAAGGAAUUAUCAGGGUAAGUAAAGUCAAACAUCUAGAGUUGCAACAGCACGAGGAAUUGUCCAAGUAAACAGUAAAGUUGAUGCUGCCAUAUCUUUAGAUCUCAAUAGUGACGACCAUAGAUUUCUUUUUCUUUUCUGUAACAUUGGGGGGAGGGGGGGGGGGGGGGGGGUGGUCAAACAUUGACGAGUAAUCCAUGUAUGUAUGUGAACCUCUCUGUCAGGCAUCGAUUAAAGAUCUGCCUCAUCCAAAAUGCUUGACCAUAGAACCAGUUAGAUUCAGAGAUAUUCACUUUCACAUAAUGCAAAGGAUAAUUUUUUUUUUUUUUUGGUGACCCAAGAAAUCCCGAAAGCCGACAGCCGGCGGGAAGAACCUGGGGGCAACAUAGGAAAACCACCACCCCAUGUCACUGGGUAAGUCACCAAGUAACUCCACCAGCCCCCUUGCGUUGCAAAGACUUCGAACCUCUCACAUCUCCCUCAAAGGAUCACUGAAGCCUACCCAGCGGAGCCACCACGGCCGGUGGUAAUACAAAGGAUAAUUCAAUCCCACGUAUCCCAAGAAUUGUAACUCUUGUCCAUUCCUAAUUAGAUGAAUGAUUUAUGAGGGGAUUUUUCCAAAUUGCACUGAUGGUUAUCUAGAAGAUCUACAAUCGACUACUUGAGUCACACCGUUAUUUCAGCAAUAUGCAAGUUGUUGCUGGCGACAGAAAAACACUUCGUAGGGCCAGUUUAGAAUACAAAAGCAAUCCCAAGAGACAAGUGCAGAAAAACAAAAUUCAAUGCAAUAGUUGCUGAUGCAUGGAUUACUGAUCAAUGAAGCAGACUUGGGAGUUGGUCUUUCAAACUGAUUGUUGCGAGUCACGCAGACAUAAUAGAAAACAAGUAAACUGCAGCUGGUCACUAUGCCUGGCCAAAUGAAGGGAACAAAAAACUACAGCUAGUCAAAUCACAUGGCAAAGAAGAUAGAACAUCACCAUGCUCGUGAUGGGAAAAGACAAAGGAAUAUAUUAGGGUGGCCAAGAACAAAUCGAUGGUGAAUGGUAACUCAAAAUAGAAUUCAGUUCAUAACAUUGAACAGGGGAAAAAGGUCAGCUCAUGGUUCAGAAGCAAAAAGACAGUUGCAACUUCCAAAUCACCUCAAAACAAUCUGGCCUGGAUUAUCAUAGUCAAAUAGAUUGAACAAUGAACAUACUUGGCGUGUUCUGCUAGGUAAUUCCGGGGAUUUCAGCAAGUUGCAUCCAGAGAAAUCCACAAUGCUUAAGCAUCUCAACCCUCCAAGCCCCUGGAGCUGCUAGUUUCCCACAAUGUCGUACUUUUAGAUCUUCCAAGAGUUCUAAACCUGACAAAUCCGGUAAGUUCUCAAGCAUCUCACACCUUGAAAUGUUAAUAAAUUUUAACGAUCUCGCUCGAUCAAGCCCUGGAACAUCCACAAGUUGUGGACAUUCAUUCAGAGUCAAGUAUUCUAAAUCUUCAAAUUCCGAAAGAUCCGGAAGGUUUACAAUCAACUUGCAUUGUUCAAUGCAUAGUCUCUUGCACAAAGAGAAUUCCUCAAGCGCUUGGAUAUCAUGGAUCUUCUCACAGCCAUUGAUGUUCAGAUCUUUCAAGGCCCCGGGGCAUGGUAGUUCUGGUAAUCUUUCCAAGGAACUACAGUCAGAGAGGUCCAAUACUUCCAAGUGUUCAGCAUUAUAAAGGCCUGUUAUUUCAACUAGCUUCCUGCAAUUCCCAGCUUCUAUUCUCUUCAGACCCUUUAAGUUAGAAAAUUCCGGUAAACUCUCAAUGGAAUAACACACUGAGAUGUCUAGUUCGUCCAAGUAUUCCCAUCUGUCAAGGCCUUGGAUUCCAACCAGAUUCUCACAAGCUGCAGCAUCAAAAUUCUUCAGAAAUUUCAAAUCCGAAAGAUCCGGUAAUGUUUCUAAUGCUUUACAACCCUUUAUGAUGAUCGAUCUUAAUGAGACUAAACGUUCAAGGCCCUCCAGCUUAUAUAGCUUUUCACAAAAUGAUGCUGUCAAAGCAGUUAGGCAAACAAGUUCUUCAAGCCCUUUGAUUUCAGUUAACUCAGAGCAACUGUGGAGAUGCAAUUCUGAUAAGCGUUUAAAAUUUGACAAAUCUGGAAAUCUCUCCAAAUCUGGACCUUGGCUGACUUUAAGCUUCAAUAGACUCGAGGGAAGAUCUGGGAGCCAUUUUAUGUCAUCAUGAAGUUCAAUAUGGAGAUCAACAAGUUGAGAGAGGGUCUUCAUCGUAGUUAAGGCACUCAAAUUCCUGACUUUCAUUGAUAAUUGUAUUAGAUUGAUUAGGUUGGCAAUAUCUGGGAUUCUCUCACAGACGAGAUGUAGACUUGUUAGGCUCGAGGGAAGCUCUGGCAGAGAUUGUAGCUCUUCGCAUUUCCCUAAAUCAAGCUCUUGGAGACAUGAUAACUUGUGAAUGCCUUUUGGCAAACCGGAAAUGCGUGUCUUUUCCAACCGAAGGACUUGCAGUGAAGAUAAAUCCCCUAUCUCACUUGGGAUUUCUCCUUGUAGAUAUUUACACCCUGAGGCAUCUAACUCUUCAAGCUUCUCCAACCUUCCCACGGUUCUAGGUAAACUUUCUAAGAAAAUAUGAGUCAUGAGCAAAACUUUCAGAUUGUGUAGAUCCCCGAUGGAGUGGGGCAGUUCCUUGACACCCGAUCUUGAUAGACAGUCGGGUUAAAGAUGUCAACUUUCCAAUGGAGUCAGGAAGUGUUCUCAGCGAGUGACACCCGUCUAGCGACAAGCUAUGCAAUUUCCGGAGGGAUUCUAUGGAGCUGUCAAUUCCGACCAACGAUCUACAAUUACGAGCAGAAACAAUCUCCAGCUUCCUCAUGCGACCUAUGGACAUGGGAAUCUUUUUUAUGGAACUACCAUCAAUAAGAAGCUCCCUCAAGUUUGUUAGUCCCCCCAUUUCUUUUGGUAGCUCCUUGAGUUUCUCACAUCCCCUCAAACUUAAGGAUAAGAGAUUCCUGAUAUUCUUGAUGGAAGGGUGAAUUUUGGCCAGAUUAACACAAUAUUCAAGAUUCAAGAUCUCAAGAUUCUGGAGAGCUGAGAUGUCGGGAGUUUCAGUCAACUUAUCGCAGUGCAGAAGCCUCAGAACUUUGAGCUGGUUUGCGAUUCACCACAAACAAUAUAUAGCAACGUCAGCUCUUGAAUUAAUCAUAUAAAUUGCAAAAGAAAAAAAGAUGGAGAUUUACCUUCUGUAAUCCAUUGACAUGGUGCCAUGCGUCCCAGUGCUCUGUGAGACCGCUGACUCUUAUAUUAAGAAUAACCAAGUUCUCUGGAUGAAAGUUUGUUGGGAAAAAAGACGUUGAACAGGCCAUCCAAUCAAGCCAUCUUAAUUUAGGAAGAAGGUCCUUAAAAUCUCCCGUGACUUCUGCCUGCUGGAUACGAAGGUACCUUAACAUUGGCAGUUUUCUGAAGUGCCCAUUUGUUAAGCAGUAUGGUUCAGAAAGGGAAGGAGAAUACUUAAGAUGGAGGGCCUUGAUCUGAUCCGUUCCCUGCAAGUUCCCAGAAACUGAGAAAUAAGGGUGUCGCACAAGACCCGAAAGUAGGCUAAUGAAAAGUGUGACACAUUGUUCCACUUGUUCCAUACGUAAUAUUUGGCUUAAUUGUACAUCCAUCCAAUUUAUGACAGAACUCUAAGGAUCACAAAAGCCUUGAUGCCAGGCAUGCUCCAUUACCAUGUAUGGGAACUCUUCUAAUUAAUCCAGUUUGACCGCUUUCUAGUUUGACUGGCUUUUCAGGUUUUGAUCAGUUUUCUUACAGGGGGUCAAACAGGAUAGAGCGCAUAACCAAUAACAAGAGCCGAUUGUCUGUGAUUGUGUCAUGUAGCAACCUGAGAUAUUAUCCUGCUGAAUCAGACAAUGUCUAAUAAUGAAUAUACAAGUUAGUCUGGAUUUCUACAUUUUCAUUUAUGGGGUAUAUUAUGACAGACAUGAUUUGAUAUAAUUAGCUUGACCCCAUAUCAGCGGAACUAUGCCUAAGCUGAUGGUGUCACAAAUUUGCUAAUUCUACCCACGACCCUUUUUUUUAACCAGAAAUAUGGGAAUCCACACUUUUAAGUAAAAAGUAGAGAGCAGAAAACAUUGUACCUCAUUUCUCUCAAGCACUUUCAAAGCUUCCUCAUGAAUCCAUAAUCUACUGCGUUCACUUGGCUUGUCAGAGUUUUCUUUAUAAACAAUACUUCUACCAAGAUCUCUUAACUGAUCAUGCAUCCAUAGCCGAUUUCCCCUAUUGCCGUGGACAAUUUUGACUAGGGACAUGAGACUCAGCACUUCUAGUCCCAAGUUCGGAGAGAAGCCACAGUCAUCCCACAUGUAAGUUGGAAGUCUUGGAUCCGUUCCAUUGAAAAAACAUGCAACGUCAAGGAAUAUUUGCUUCACAUCAUCAGUUAGGGUUAUCAUAACUUAUCUUCAGCUUCUCUUCAACCUUCUCAUGCGGCACUUUUCUCAACUUCUCUAAUGUGUCUCUCCACGCUGCCUCGCUUUUGUCGCACAAGAGUGACCCAACAACCUCAAGAGCCAAUGGGAGCUGCCCAGUAGUUGAGACAAUAUCAUGACAAAGGUCGUUGAAGGCAGGAGGAGGGAAGUCACGUUGAAACGCAUGUCUACAAAAUAGAACCAUAGAAUUUUCUUCGUCCAAUCCCGUAAGUUCAUAUUCCCAGUAUGGCGUCCCAAACUGAUUAAGAAUAUGCUUAUCUCUAGUUGUAAUAAUGAUCCUACUUCCAGAGCCAAACAACCCAUGCCCUCCCACAAGUGCAUCUAACUGAUCUUUGUGACUCACAUCAUCAAGAAAAAUGAGAACUCUUUUGCCUCCAAAUCUAGAACUGAUGAUAUUGAUUCCGUCGUCUCUGUUAGAAACUUCGUGGGGGCUUCCUUUAAGAACAUCAGAGAUCAAUUCCUUCUGCAAGUGCACAAUUCCCUCUUGCGAUUCCGUUUCUCGGAUAUCAGCUAAGAAGCCACGGUGCUCAAAUUGGCUUGACAGUUUAUUGUAGAUGACUUUGGCAAGAGUUGUUUUACCGGCACCACCCAUUCCAUGAAUUCCAAGUAUCCGUGUAUCUCCAAAUUUAGUAUCUACCAUAGUCAUAAUUUCUUUUACAUGAAUGUCCACUCCCACCAAGUGUUUAGGGGUCACUAACUUAAAAGCAUUCUUUAACUCGCUCAAAACCUUUACAACAACCGCUUUUAUGAGCUCUGCCUCAUUCCUGUCAAAAUCGUGCUAUGAUCGAGAUCAUGAACAAAUAUCAAGAGUAAAACUUACUAGAACAAACUCAGAUAAUAAGCAACGAGAUGAAUUGGCAAAUUAAUAAUGGUCGAUAGUCUAAAAAAGUAAUGUACUUUGCCAUAUAUUAAUCAACUUAUAUGAAUAAGGGAUUUGGAAGUACCCAUUAGCAAUAUUUUCGGAUACCAGUCCUUUCAAGGAUCCAACUUCUUUGAGUGCUUGUCUCCAUUCCUGAACAACGCUAUCCUCAAAACGCUGCUUGUAUGAAUUGAAGACAUCUCCAAAGGUUCCUUUGAGCCACUUCACAUCUGCGGGCUCUACUUUAUAGAAUAUGGGCAAGAUCACUUGUUUCAUCUCUUUAUUGCACUUGAGCAUCCGAACGAGCUCAAAAAGGCACCAUUUGCUGGAAGCAUAGCAUUCCGAGAGAACUGGGAUUGAGAUCUUGCUGUUGUCAAUGGCCUGGAAAAGCUGUGGGCCAAUCUCCUCUCCUAGAGGGAGCUCGUCGUCGUCUCUGAACACGCGAACUCUCGCUUCUCGGAGUUGCUCGUAGAGGUGGCUCGUAAAGCCCUUGCGAGAGUCUGGACCUCUGAAGCUUAAAAACACAUCAUAAUCACAUCCUGGCGAAGCAUCUGAUGAAACUGGGGACUCGGAAACCGGCUUCUCCACGAAGGUAAUUGCUGUUCUCUUCACCUUUAGAAAUUCUGAGGGAAUGAAAACUGAAAGCAAGAUUAAUCGGAUGCUAAACCACUGCAAAAGAAUGAAAGAUCUGAGGAUACAGAUUUCCUCUCUUUCUAUAAUGUACUCGCGUAUUAAAUUUAAUGGAGGGAAACAAGUCAAGGUCCAUCCUGGAGGUGUCCUACCAGACAUAGUAAAUAAAUCUCUUCCAGUCAGGAGUAGGUGGUUUAACGUGGACCAGUCAUUUAUUGAGAUGCACGUGAAAAACACAUUGAGUCCAUCACCUCCGCAUAUAUCAACGAAUUUAUCAAGGUACUAAUGUGAACUAAUUUUAAAAAAUAUCAUAUUUGAAAGUUGAUGUAGUAUAUAAUAAUUAAUAAUUAUAUUUGUCUCAUAAUUCAUCGGCUUUCGUGUCCAACUGUUGACGGGCUAAGACUUAAUCUUUCUCUUGGUGAUUUUCUUAUUGGAAGGGAUUAAAAGUAAACAAUAUCAGAGUAAAAAAUUAAUUGGUGCGAGAAGGAAGAAACAGAUGUAGAGAUAUAAACGACUUUCGAAAUGAAAGGGACUAAACAAGAAAAAAAAGGAACCACCAAAGAAAAUCCUUCUCCUUCCCUUUUUCUGGAAGAAUGGAGGUUCUAGACAAAAUUGCUGAAAAGUUUGGCCCCUAUUUGUUUCAAUUGUUGUUGUAGUCCACAGACACAACAAAGUGGAGAUUUAAGUUGGGACAUUUUGAUAUAGAAUAUAUCUAAAUUGAAGGGGAGCAAACUAACACUAAGGUCACUUGUAGGGCAAAAAUUAUUAAGAUGUACGUGUGAAUUAUGCUAGGAAAAUCCAAAAUUAGAGAAUUUGUAUGUUGUAAAACAAUUAUAAUCACAAUCAGCCCACAAUUUAUUUACAUAAUUUUUUAAGGGAAAGUGUAUCUAAUUGGAUAUAUUGAUACAUUUAGACAUUUCUUCUCAAUUUAACGAAAAAUACUAAAGUUGGAUUAAGUGGGGAAAUUCAACUUAAGAAUGGACAGCUGCAACAACCGCUAGCAUUUGAAAUAGUGAAUGUUUUUGGAAGAGUCAAGAGAAUUAGAUUUUGGAACAAUUUAGGGUGCGUUUGGGAGAAGCUUUCGAAGGAGUUUUGGGCAUCAAAAGCUCCUUGGACCAAAAUAAGAGUGUUUGGGCUUUCAGCUUUCUUGGCAUGUCCACGCGAUACUGUUCAUUCUUUUUUUUUUUCCGAAAUUGUCCUCACCAAUUUUUUAUUUUUCCAUUUUUUGCCCUUGUAUGAGAUUGCUCAUCUUCUCCGGGCCGGUUUGGUUCUACCUGACUGCGAGGGGCCGGCGACUGCUAGAGGGACAUCCUAGGCAAUCGUCGUCAAAGAGUCGGGCAACCUCCGCGAGUCGCGGCGUUGCAUGACCAUUCGUGAGUCGCGGCGACUCAACGACCAUGGCGAGGGGCCGCCCCGACGAUUGCCUGACCCCCAGCAAGUCGGCAGCCCAGAUCUGGGCCGCGGCGGCUCAAAUUUGAGUUGCCGCGACCCAAAUCCUCACCGAUCUGGGUGGGAUUUCCCUAGGAAUUUGGUUAGUCCUCAUAGGAUAUUCGAUCUGGGGAGCUUUCGCUCCGAGAUAUCCACCAAAAAGAGUAAGCGGAACUGACAUGCAGAACCAGAGCAACAGCAGGAUAACGAAAGAGAAAACGGGAUAGCUCCAGUGCUGUGACUACCCCACAAGCGAAAAUUCAGAACAGUCAGGAUCAAAAACGCUAUACCGGGGAAGAAGCACGACACCCAUCCCUUGUGAUCACCAGAGCUGAUGGUCCUCCAAAGUCGGACAGCAACAUAACCAGCAACAACACCAAGAAUCAUGUAGAAGAACAGCAUAUCUCUCGAUCCGCGUCAAAUCUGGACGAACCCAGUUGCGAAAGCAAGCUAAUCAGGCAAUGCAAAGAGCAAACCCCCAUCUGGGUUCGACGAUAUCACUCAUGAACGGCGUCAACACGCACAAAAAACGACUAAAAACACACAGCAAAAGAUCCCGACUCGCACUAGCAGCUGCUCGAACACCUAGAAAGAUCAAGAAACGACAACAGAACAAGCGCGCACGAAUGUCGCGAAGGGCACUGCAGAUCUGACUGACCUUCUAUAAAGGAACGCGCAUAGAGAGGGAGGGAGAGAGCAGGGGAGACUCGGGGGCAACCACAACGCCAGAAAGUUUAAAAUUUUGGCCUUUAUUUAUUGCUGGGGAAGGAGGAAGUCGAGAAGAUGCGAGACGCGAUGAUAUUUCUAGGAUCCGUCCGAUGGCGGUUUGACGUCUUUGCGUGAGCACGCUGAAAUGGGGAAUACGUACCGCGGGGGGCACACUCCUACUGCCGAUUCUUUCCCCCUUCCCCUUUCUUUCUCUCUCUCUCUUUCUUUUCUCCCCUUUUUCCUCCACACGUCACUUCCAAAUCCCCCCUCCCGCCCCGCAACCAAAUCUAGAACUGAUGAUAUUGAUUCCAUCGUCUCUGUUAGAGACUUCAUGGGAGCUUCCUUUAAGAACUUCAGAGAUCAUUUCCUUCUGCAAGUGCACAAUGCCCUCAUGCGAUUCCGUUUCUCGGAUAUCAGCUAAGAAGCCAUGGCGCUCAAAUUGGCUUGACAGUUUAUUGUAGAUGACUUUGGCAAGAGUAUCUCCGAAUAUCUCCGAAUGUAGUAUCUACCAUAGUCAUAAUUUUUUUUCACAUGAAUGCCCACUCCCACCAAGUGUUUAGGGGUCACUAACUUAAAAACUUUCUUUAACUCGCUCAAAACCUUCACAACAACCGCUUUUAUGAGUUCUGCCUCAUUCCUGUCAAAAUGGUGUUAUGAUUGAGAUCAUGAACAAAUAUAAUGAGUAAAACUUACUAGAACAAACUCAGACAAUAAGCAACAAGAUGAAUUGGCAAAUUAAUAAUGGUCGAUAGUCUAAACAACUAUUGUACUUUGCCAUAUAUUAAUCAACUUAUAUGAAAAGGGAUUUGGAAGUACCCAAUAGCAAUAUUUACGGAUACCAGUCCUUUCAAGGAUCCAACUUCUAUGAGUGCUUGUCUCCAUUCCUGAACGACGCUAUCCUCAAAACGCUGCUUGUAUGAGUUGAAGACAUCUCCAAAGGUUCCUUUGAGCCACUUCUCAUCUGCGGGCUCUACUUUAUAGAAUAUGGGCAAGAUCACUUGUUUCAUCUCUUUCUUGCACUUGAGCAUCCGAACGAGCUCAAAAAGGCAUCAUUUGCUGGAAGCAUAGCAUUCCGAGAGAAUUGGGGUCGAGAUCUUGCUGUUGUCGAUGGCCUGGAAAAGCUGUGGGCCAAUCUCCUCUCCUAGAGGGAGCUCGUCGUCGUCUCUGAAUACGCGAACUCUCGCUUCUUGGAGUCGCUGGUAGAGGUGGCUCGUGAAGCCCUUGCGAGAGUCUGGACCUCUGAAGCUUAAGAACACAUCAUAAUCACAUCCUGUUGAAGCAUCCGAUGAAACUGGGGACUCGGAAACCGGCUUCUCCACGAAGGUAAUUGCUGUUCUGUUCAUCUUUAGAAAUUCUAAGAGAACGAAAACUGAAAGCAAGAUUAAUCGGAUGCUAAACCACUGCACAAUAAUGACAAAGCUGAUGAUACUGAUUUCCUCUCUUUCUAUAAUGUACUGACGUUCUAAAUUUAAUGGAGGGAAACAAGUCAUGGUCCACCCUCGAGGUGUCCCAUCAGAGAUGGGAAAAACUAGGGGUGAGCAUGGUCUGAGUUGGUCCGGGCCACUCCCUAACCUUAAGACCAACCCGUACAGUGUCGGUCCUCAAUUUUUAGGAUCGAGGACUGACCCUACUAAGUCUGGGACCAAGGACCGACCCAAUGGGUUCGGUCCGGUUCCAGGGUCAACCCGGGACGGAUCGAUAAUUUAUUUCGUCUUGUUUUUUAUACUCCCUAAAAAAGUAAACCUACAAAUUCAAAUUACACAUCCAUCGACAAUGCGGCAUUGUGCAACUAAACUAUAAAUACCAAUACAAGAUCUCAAAUGAAGCACAAAGUAGAUAUCACUAGUCAAGUUGUGUUUGGAAAGCAAGGGCAAGCUGAGCAUUAGGGUUUCUAAUUAGGGCUUCUUCUUUUUUCCUUUUGAUUUACUCGGCGAUAAGUGAGGUGACUGGCGUGAGUGGCGAGCGCAAGUGUCAAGUGUUGAGUGGGGUGAGUGUCAACUGGCAAGCGGUAAGCGUUUAGUGAGGCCAGCGGCAAGCGGCAAGUGUUGAGCAAGACUAGCGGCGAGUGGUAAGUGGCGAGCGUUUAGUGAGGCCGGCGACGACAGCAAAGGGCGAGUGGUGAGUGGCGAGCGGCAUGAGCAGCGUGCACGGUCAAAGGUGAGCAGCGCGGGCAACCAGAGGUGAGCGGGAUGUUGCUACUUUUGAUUUUGACAAAUUGAAGAACAAAGAAUACAAAAUGGAAGAGAACGUACUUUAGGGAAGAAAGCCGUGAGGAGAUUUACGGCAUAAACUUUGCACCAUUUUGGACGUCGUGAGUCCAUGACUAUGAGGAGUCCUUGAUCCUCACGGUGAAGAAUGUACUAUGGAGUCUAGACUGUGGAGGAAGAGGCCGUGAAGACCUUACGGCGUAAACUUCACGCCUUUUGGAAUUGGAUGCCGUCUGUCCAUGACUGUGAGCAUGAGGAGUCAACAACUUUAACAUCAUUUUACUUAGGUUUGAAUAUAUAAAAGAAUUAUAUAUAAUAUAAUAUAACAUAAAUUUUACUUAGGUUUGAAUAUAUAAAAGAAUUAUAAAUAAUAUAAUAUACAGGAUUGGUCCAGGGUUGGACCGACCCAAAACUCUCAGGACCGAGGACCAACCCGCACAGUGUUGGUCCUGGAAUUUCAGGACCAAGGACCGACCCAGUCCCCUUGGGAACCGGACCAGGACCAGCAGGGUUGGGCCGGUCCAGGGUCGGUCCAGGGUCGAUCCUAAACCGUUGCUCACCCCUAGGAAAAGCAUCUUAUUUCAGGUGUAGCUGGUUUAACGUGACAGGUCAUUUAUUAAGAUACACGUGAACGACAAAUUUAGUCUUCACCUCCACAUAUGUCAAUCUAAUUUAUUGAUAUACACGAAUGACUUAGUUAAGAAAAAUCUCGCGUUUGGAAAUUGGGGUAGGAUAAAGCUGUUAAUAAUUUUCUUUGAAUUAUAAUUCAUUGACUUAAAUUUUUUUGAAAAUGUGGAUUCAAUUAUUGACGGACUCGAACUUGACCUCUCCUUUAGUGAUUUCUUUCGAUGAAGGUACCGAAAGCAAUGCUGUUAAAGCCAAUAAUUAAUUGGUCCAAGGAAGAAGAAAUAGAUCUAGACAUAGAAACAACUUUCGAAACAAAGCAAAAUAAAUAGGAACAGGAGUAAUCCAUCGAAAAAUAUCCUUCUCCUUCCCUCUUUUUCAAAGACAGGAGGAUUUGGACAAAAUCGAUGAAAGGUUUGAACUGCAAUUUGUUUUAUGUAUUGCCGUUGCGGUCCUCACAUGCAACAAAGUGGAAUUUUAAGUUGAGACAUUUUGAUGGAGAAUAUAUCUGAAUUGAGGGGGGAGCAAACAAACAUUGAUGUCACACGUAAGGGAAAUAUUAUUGAGAUGCGCCUGUAAGUUGUGUAAGACAAGUCCCACAUUAGAGAACUUUUGUGUGGUAAAAUAGUUGAUAAUCACACUCAGCCCACAACUUAUUCAUUUAGUAAUUUAAGUGAAGGUAAAUUCAAUUGGAUAAGUUGAUAAACUUGGACAUUUCUUCUCAAUUUAAUGAAGAAUGCCAGGUUUGAUGGGAACCUAUCAUUCAAAAACGACACAAAUAGUUCCUUUACUCUAAUAAAAUGUGUAAUUCAUCUUUAGAUUUUUAAUUCAUUCAAUGUAGCCAUUAAACUAUUUUUUUAGUACUAUCAUAAGUUUUCAUAAUUACACUACUACUUAGAUUUUAGGAUGUCUUUUUCAUUUCAAUCCACUUCCUAAAUUUAAAAAAAAAAAUUCAAUAUUUUCAUCGCCUUUUUACUUUUUAUGUCUUUAUAAAUAUUACUAUAAUUUGAUUUAAGUAUAUUUUAACUUCAGGUCUCUAUAAUAGUAAAAAUAUACCCCCAUUUAUAGUUAUAUUGGUUCCAUAUUCCUUUUGUUUCAAAAUAAGUGUUUCAUAAGAAUAUUUAACAACAACAACAACAACAACAACAACAACAACAACAACAACAACAACAACAACAACAACAAAAACUAUAAUUUAUGUAUACAUUUCUUGUACUUAUAUUAAUCUAAAUUGUGUUAUUAAUUUUUCAUAUAAAUACAAUUUUCAAGUUUUGGGGUUUUGUGUUUCCUUAAUUAAAUUUAGCUUUAUGUAAAUUAGGAAAUUAAAACAACAUGAAUAUCAACCCAAUACAACUCUAAAUGAGGUUCUACUUUCAUUAUUAAAUAUAUUAUAAGCUAAAAUAUACUAAAAUGGAACUAUCGUAAUAUUUAUAAAGACAAAAAAUGUGAAAAAGUAACAAAAAUAUAGCCAUAUAUUGUGUUAAUUUAAGAAAUGGAUCAGAAAUGAAAAGUUAUUUUAAAAUGAGGGCAAUAGUAUAAUAAUGAAAAAAAAUUGAAUUUUUUAAUGUAAAGUUGAAAUAUUAUAUUGAACAAAUUAAAAGUUUAUGAACUAAUCAAAGUCCAUAUAAGAGGUAUUCGUUUAUCAUCUACUUCUCCUAUCUUUGGAACUCCCACUCACUGCAAGGAUUCUUCUUCAGACUUCUUAAGGGUGGGCUUUGCCCGGAGCUUGGGAGCCUUGAGUCAACGUGCUAAUUCUUAGCCAUAGCAGAUCGAGAGCUCAUUCGGGAACUUAAAGUGAUAUGUACAGAGAAUACUUUUAUUGAUUGGCCCCCGUCAAACGUCUGUUUCUGGUCUUCUUGUUCACGCACUCGCAUGUAUCAACCCUUCAUCGACAAUGGACAUGCUUGAUUUCUGCCUUCUCGUGGGUCCCGUCCUCAAUUCCAGUCACAGAUAAUCAGGCCUAGUCUAGCCUUCCAAUCUACAGUGCGUAGCUGGAAUCUGGAGUUUCACUGCAUGCCUUAAGGAUCGAAAUAUUUCUUUUUUAUGAAUGGAUGAUCAAGACACUAGUAUAAUUUACAUUAACUAGCUGUGUAAGUUUGCUCUAGGCCUAUCAGAAUGGGUCAUAACCCCAUGAUGUAACUCAAUUUUACUUGAGUGGAUCAUAGAUGUGUCAACUGAAAUGUGAAAUAUAGAUUUAAAUGGGUUUUAAAAUGAAAAAAGGGGGGGGGGGGGGGGGUUUAAUGUUCGGAUAGAAACCUACCUCCAACCAUAGCAAACUAACUUUGCUCCCUCUUGAGUCUUGAAGAGUUCUUGUUGAGUCGCUCCCACUUCGCUCCUCUCUUCUUGCCCUCUCUCCAUGUUCGAUUCCAGUGAUCGCCAGACAUCAUUCUCCAUCUUUGGUGAGCUCUCUUUAUCCUCUUUGAUCCCAACUGAUCGGCGUCACCACUGGCCCCCGCUGCCUAUUUCUGGCGUCUUCUCCGAAGAUUUCUGAUCAUUGAAGUUAAUUACUUAUAAAAUUUCGGAUGGUUGUUUUGGCUUGGUCAAAUUUGAGGAGGUUGCUCUUUCAUUUCCAGAGCCUUUUCAAUUUUACGUUGGUCUUUUGUUGAAGUUGACACAAGGAAGGAGGUCAAGGGACUAGACAGAGCGAGGUAAGAGAGGAAAGUCUUCCCUAUACAAGUUUAUUAUUAUAAUCACGGAGAGUUGAAACCACGCCUCGUCCCAACCUCUUGAAAAAAUAAUGAUUCGAACCCCCAACCGUGGUCAUUGGGCAAGCCCCAAUUCAGCGCUGCUGCUUAGGGCGACUUAAUCGUGAGCUUUUACUCACAAUUCAGCGCUGCUGCUUAGGGUGACUUGCUCUUUAUGGUACGCCUAACUCAAGCCGAACCAACAUAUCCAUGAUCUUAAUUUCUUGAGAUUGAGGAAUGAUCAUAAUGCUCUAACUUGUGAUCAAUGAAGAUUGAUCAUCCUUUGCCUCACCUAUGCCCUUAUCCAUAACUCGACCCCCAAGCUCCCUCAAAUCAUGGGGUUGACCAUUCAAUUGAAGAACUUAAAGUGAGUUAAAAGAGUGAGUACGUGCUCUUUCUAUGUUAAAUUAAAUAUGGAUGUGUACUAGUAAUAUGAGUCAAGUCGGGUUUGAGUUAGAUUUGGAUUAGGUUAAGUAUGGGCUACUAAAAUUGCAUUAUACAUAAAUGGGUUGAUAUGAGUUAAAUGGGUCAAUUUAGAUCUCAACCAAAACCUAACCUAACUUGCCAAUUUGACGGCUCUACUUUGCCCACAUCUUUUUGCACAAGACCAAUUUUCAGCAAUAUAUUUCUCCAGCGAGCGUAUUUCUUAAAUGGAAAUACUUCAAGUUUCCAUGUAAAAGGUCAACGACUCACGUUUUCCUGCAGAAUACUCACUAAGCAAACUGUGAGUUCUGUUUAGAGGUCUCGGUCAACUCUAGUAGUAGAUUUAACGUUUGAUCCAGUAAAGCAACGCCGAAUAGAAUCAAUGUCAAGGUCCGUGAUGGUAGCUUACUUCUAGGUCCACAUUUUGGUAUUAUCCAUCUUUUGAUAAGUUUGAAUUUAGGUGAUUUCGAAUUGAUCACUCAUUUUGCAGAACCUAAGGCUUAAUUCUUUUAUUUUUAUGUAAUGAGAUUAGUUAAGGGAGAGAUAUGAUUUAAAUUUGCUUAUCCAGAUAAUCACGGUAUGUUCUUAAACUCAUUCCGCGAAGAUACUAAAGACAUUAUGACGAUAUGAGGGUAGAGAGACUCGUGAUGACGUGCAAGGAUAAGCCAAUGAGGGAGGUCUACACCCUGGGAACAAGUUUAUUUGGGCUUUGGCUGAAGGAGGUCAUGACAUGUGUUUUGGGUUUUAAUUCUUUUCUCAGCUCAGUUUAGCUUGUUUUACAGAAAAACGAGUUGUCCACACCGAAUUGGACCCAUUAAAUUCGAGUGACAAAAGAUCCAUUUUUUUGGUUUUAUUCCAAACGGGCGAAAAUUCAUUUCAUGAGCUUAACCGAACACUAGAAAAUACUAUCAUUUUUCUCUUUGAAGAAUAUUUUUCCAAAAGCAUCAUAUUUUUGCAAAGCAAAUGGAUCCUAAGUGCAAGACCAAGAUACCCAAUACAAUACAGUUUUGUUGAACCACAUCCUAGCAACUUAUGAACAGGAAGAUCUAUAUUUUAUCCAGAACAGAGUAAAGCAAUGAAGAGCCUCAUAUAUAUGGGACUACGGCUAUGUGCAAAGUCCAGUGCAACUUUGCUACAUGAUGCAUGCCAGAGAAGGCAAUUGUUCGAAGAAUAAGAAAACAAGAAAAAAAAAAACUGACAAAAAGAAAGAGAAUAACGAUUAAUUACACUAAUCAUACAGUUUCCUCAAUUCGUGUCUGGGAAAGCGAUUUGAAGAAAACUUUUUUCAGGUGCUGAUUGAAGUCAGUAGAGCCCAAAUUCCCGAGUCUCUAUCUGUAGAAGUUCCAUGGCUAGGAGUGAAGAAGUUCCUUGAAAAGCUCGGUUUUUGUUAACCAACUGCACAAGAACGCUAAGAAGCAAAAUUUUCGAAGGAGUUCUUACAAAUGCUUCCCAGAGAGUACAAAAUUUUCGAAGGAGUUCUUACAAAUUUUCGAAGGAGUUCUCCAGGGUGUACUUCUGCAGGAAUUUUGACAGCAUAUGAAUCAGAUCGUUGAAGGAUUUACUUUAACUUCUCAUUUCUGCUUGCAUCUUUUACAAAUAACAGCUCCUCUUUUGUUUGCCUGGGAAGUGACGCCAUCACUUUUGUCCCCUCUUAAGUUCAGAAAUGCAUCACCUUCAGUCUCUUAAUAAGUGAUCAGUGAGUGCAACGCAAAUAUUUGGUAUGAGGUCACCUUUACUUGAGUGUGUUGUUGCUCCUGAACUCUGCAUUUGCCUGCAACUAUGAUGCACAAAUGCAUCUGGAAUCUGUUGAGAAUAUUGGAUUCCUAUACCCUGAUGUUCACAGUUAUACUACUUCGUUUUUCCGUGUACUAGUAUGCCAUUGCUAAUAUCAAGUUAAGUAUUUGCUGAUGAAGAGCUUAAUAACCAAUGGACUUCUCGACUGUUGAAGCUUUCCACAAAUCCAAACAAUUACCAUGGGAUGGAGAAAAGUUCAGUGUCAUGGAUCAUAAACGGAAAGGAGUGUUGAAAAUUCUGUAAUCACCUCAAGGCGGUCUUCCUGUUCAUUGAGUUUUAGACCCUAUGAAGUUUUGUGUGGUUAUAAUUAUGUUUCAUGAGAUGCACGGUAUGCAUUGUCAUUGGACCAAAAUCUAAUUUUAAUCAAAUUAAAAAAAAAAAAAAAACACAUUUAGGGAAAACCAACACAAUAGAUAACAUGCUCAAGCUUCUUGUGGACGACAGACUCUGGCUUCACGAGUCUCUGGUACAGGGGACUGGUGAAGCCCUUCCAUGAAUUUGGACCUCUGAAGCUCAAGAAAAUAUUGUAAUUGCAUCAAGCAGGAUCAUUUGAUGAAGUGGUUAUUAAUUCCUCAGCGAAACUGCUUGGCUUUGGUCUUCUUUUCUUACACACGAACACAAAAGGCAAGACUAAUGCAAAAGGCACCACGAUAGGAAGAAGCCACAUUGUCUAUUCCUCAAUAUUCUCUAACCUACUCACCUCCUCCAGAUGAUCAAGAAAAGAUUCGAUGCCAAAAAUUGCUAACUCUUUCCUCUCUAUUCUAAAUCUUCAGUCCCCUGCUUCGGAUUUAAAACAGGAAUCCUCCAUUUCGUCUGUUGAUUGGGCAGAAAAGAGUCAAAGUCGGGGCAGAGGUACUAAUAUUUCAUCGGUUGCUUCUCUCUUUCCAGCUCAAGACAAUCUUUUUCAGAGUCUUCGAGUUCACAUGCUCACUGGUCAGUUAACUAAUGAAGCAUUAAGUAUCCACAAUUUUGUUGGAUGUCUUUCCUGUUAAUCUCGUCCUUAAAACAAGGAAUUAUCAGGGUAAGUAAAGCCAAACAUCUAGAGUUGCAACAGCGCGAGGAAUUGUCCAAGUAAACACUAUAAAAUUGGUGCUGCUAUAUCUUUAGAUCUCAUUAGUGAUGAUCAUAGAUUUCUUUUUUCUUUUUUGUAAUUUGGGGGGGGGGGGGGGAUGGGGAAGGGGGGUGGGGGCGGGGGAGGGGAGUUGAAUAUUUUGGCUCGAGUAAUCCAUGUAUGUACGUGAACCUCUCAGUCAUGCAUCGAUUAAGGAUCUGCCUCAUCCAAAAUGCUUGACCACAGAACCAGCCCCCCACGGUUAGAUUCAGAGAUAUUCACUUUCACAUAAUACGAAGGAUAAUUCAAUCCCACGUAUCCCAGAAAGAGGAACUCCUGUCUAUUCCUAAUUUGACGAAUGAUUGAUGAGGGGAUUUUUCCGAAGUGCACUGAUGGUUAUCUAGAAGAUCUAUAGUCGACUAAUCGAGUCACACCGUCAUUCCUAGAUGAAUGUACUCCAUGAUAAUGCAUAAAUUGGCAAUAUGCAAGUUGUUGCUGGCAACGGAAAAAAACACUUUGAUGUAGGGCCAGUUUAGAAUACAAAAGCAACCCAAGAGACAAGUGCAGACAAACAAAAUUUAAUGCAAUAGUUGCUAAUGCAUGGGUUACUGAUCAAUGAAGCAGACUUGGGAGUUGGUCUUUGGAACUGAUUGUUGCAAGCCACACAGACAUAAUAGAAAACAAGUAAACUGCAGCUGGUCACUAUACCCGGCCAAAAGGAAACAAAAAACUACAGCUAGUCAAAUCACAUGGCAAAGAAGAUAGAACAUCACCAUGUCUGUGAUGGGAAAAGACAUAGGAAUUUAUUGGGGUGGCCAAGAACAAAUCGACGGUGAAUGGUAACUCAAAACAGAAUUCAGUUCUUAAUGUUGAACGGGGGAAAAAGGUCAGGUAAUGGUUCAGAGGCAAAAAGACAGUUGCAACUUCCAAAUCACCUCAAAACGAUCUGGCCUGGAUCCUCGUAGUCAGAUGAUGAACAUACUUGGCGUGUUCUGUUAGGUAAUUCUGGGGGUUUCAGGAAGUUGCAUCCAGAGAAAUCCACAAUGCUUAAGCAUCUCAACCCUCCAAGCCCCUGGAGCUCUGUUAGUUUCCCACAAUGUCGUACUUUUAGAUCUUCCAAAAGUUGUAAACCUGACAAAUCUGGUAAGUUCUCAAGCAUCUCGCACCAUGAAAUGUUAAUAAAUUUUAAUGAUCUUGCUCGAUUAAGCCCUGGAACAUCCACAAGCUGUGGACAUUUAUUCAGGGUCAAGUAUUCUAAAUCUUCAAAUUCCGAAAGAUCUGGAAUGUUUACAAUUGACUUGCAUUUUUCAAUACAUAGUCUUUUGCAUGAAGAGAAUGCCUCAAGCGUUUGGAUAUCAUGGAUCUUCUCACAGCCACUGAUGUUCAGAUAUUGCAAGGCUCCAGGGCACGGUAGUUCUGGUAAACUUUCCAAAGAGCUACAGUCAGAGAGGUCCAACAUUUCCAAGCGUUCAGCUUUAUAAAGGUCCGUUAUUUCAACUAACUUCUUGCAACCCCCAGCUUCUAUUCUCUUCAGACCAUUUAAGUUAGAAAAGUCCGGUAACCUCUCAAUGGAAUAACACUCGGAGAUAUCCAGUUCUUCCAAGUAUUCCCAUCUAUCAAGGCCUUGAAUUCCAACCAGAUUCUCACAAGCCGCAGCAUCAAAUUUCUUCAGAAAUUUCAAAUCCGAAAGAUCCGGUAAUGUUUCUAAUGCUUUACAACCCCGUAUGAUGAUCGAUCUUAAUGAGACUAAACGUUCAAGGCCCUCCAGCUUAUAUAGCUUUUCACAAAAUGAUGCUGUCAAAGCAGUUAGGCAAACAAGUUCUUCAAGCCCUUUGAUUUCAGUUAACUCAGAGCAACUGUGGAGAUGCAAUUCUGAUAAGCGUUUAAAAUUUGACAAAUCUGGAAAUCUCUCCAAAUCUGGACCUUGGCUGACUUCAAGCUUCAACAGACUUGAGGGAAGAUCUGGGAGCCAUUUUAUGUCAUCAUGAAGUUCAAUGUGGAGAUCAACAAGUUGAGAGAGGGUCUUCAUCGUAGUUAAGGCACUCAAAUCCUUGACUUUCAUUGAUAAUUGUGUUAGAUUGAUUAGGUUGGCAAUAUCUGAGAUUAUCUGACAAGCGAAAUGUAGACUUGUUAAGCUUGAGGGAAGCUCUGGCAGAUAUUGUAGCUCUUCGCAUUUCCAUAAAUCAAGCUCUUGGAGACAUGAUAACUUGUGAAUGCUUUUUGGCAAACUGGAAAUGCGGGUCUUUUUUAACCGAAGGACUCGCAGUGAAGAUAAAUCCCCUAUCUCACUAGGGAUUUCUCCUUGCAGAUAUUUACACCCUGAGGCAUCUAACUCUUCAAGCUUCUUCAACCUUCCCAUGGUUCUUGGUAAACUUUCUAAGAAUAUAUUAGUCAUGAGCAGAACUUUCAAAUUGUGCAGAUUCCCAAUGGAGUAGGGCAGCUCCUUAAUAGCCGAAUGUGAUAAAUGCAGUUGGGUUAAUGAUGUCAAUUGUCCAAUGGAGUCGGGCAGUGUUUCCAAUGAGUUGCAUUCCUGUAGCAGCAAGCUAUACAAGUUCCAGAGGGAUUUUAUGGAGCUGUCAAUUCGAACCAAUGAUCUACAAUUACGAGCAGAAACAAUCUCAAGCUUCCUCAUGCGACCUAUGGACAUGGGAAUCUCUUUUAUGGAACUGUCAUCAAUAAGAAGCUCCGUCAAGUUUGUUAGUCUCCCCAUUUCUUCAGGUAGCUCCUUGAGUUUGUCACAUCCCUUCAGACUCAAGGAUACGAGUUUCGUGAUACUCCUGAUAGAAGGAUGAACUUUGACUAGAUUAACACAAUAUUCAAGAUUCAAGAUCUCAAGAUUCCGGAGAGCUGAGAAGUCAGGAGUUUCAGUCAAAUUCUCGCAGUGCAGAAGCCUCAGAACUUUGAGCUGGUUCGCAAUCCACCACAAACAAAAUAUAGCAACGUUAGCUCUUGGAUUUAUCAUAUACCUCGCAAAAUUCAAAAGAAGAUGGAGAUUUACCUUCGGUAAUCCAUUCACAUGGUGCCAUGCGUCCCAGUGCUCUGUGAGACUACUGGCUCUUACGUUGAGAAUAACCAAGUUCUCCGGAUGAAAGUCUGGUGGAAAAAAAGACGUUGGGCAGGCAAUCCAAUCAAGCCAUCUUAAAUUAGGAAGAAGGCCCUUGAAAUGGCCCGUGACUUCCGCCUGCUUGAUACGAAGGUACCUUAAGUUCGGCAGUUUUCUAAACUGCUCAUUUGUUAAGCAGUAUAGUUUAGAAAGGGAAGGGGAAUACUCAAGACGGAGGGCCUCGAUCUGACUCGUUCCCUGCAAGUGCCCAGAAACUGAGGAAUAAGUGCGCCGCGCAAGACCGAAUGGAGGCUAAUUAAAAGCGUGAAAAAUUGUUCCGUUUGUUCCAUACGUAAUAUUUGGUAUAACUGUACAUCCAUCCAAUUUAUAACAGAACUCUAAGGAUCAUACAUCCAUCCAAUUUAUAACAGAACUCUAAGGAUCGUAAAAGCAUUGACUCCAGGCAUGCUCCAUUACCAUAUAUGGGAACUCUUUGAAUUAUUUCAGUUCGACUGCUUUCUAGAUUGACUGGCUUUUCUGGUUUUGAUCGAUUUUCUUGCAGGGGUCAAACAGGAUAGAGAACAUAACCGGUACCCGGUUGAACCGAUUGUGUGUGAUUGUGCCAUGUAGCAACCUAAGAUAUUAUCCCGCUGAAUCAGACAAUGUCUGACAAUGUCUAAACAUGAAUAUACAAGUUAGGUUGGAUGUCUACGUUUUCAUUUUGGGGUCUAUUAUGAGAGAGACACGAUUUGACAUGAAUAGCUUGACCUCACAUCAGCGGUAUUGUGCCUAAGCUGAUGUUGUCACAAAUUUGCUGAUUCUACCCACAACCUUCGUUUUUUUAAAACUAGACUCCACACUUUUAGGCCACUUUUAUAGCCUAAAAGAGGCAGGUAAAAAGUAGAGAGUUGAAAACAUUGUACCUCAUUUCUCUCGAGCACUUUCAAAGCUUCCUCGUGAAUCCAUAAUCUACUGCGUUCACUUGGCUUGACAGAGUUUCCCUUAGAAACAAUACUUCUACCAAGAUCUCUUAACUGAUCAUGCAUCCAUAGCCGAUUUCCCCCAUUGCCAGGGACAAUUUUGACUAGGGACAUGAGACUCAGCACUUCUAGUCCCAAGUUCGGAGAGAAGCCACAGUCAUCCCACAUGUAAGUUGGAAGUCUUGGAUCUGUUCCAUUGAAAAAACAUGCAACGUCAAGGAAUAUCUGCUUCACAUCAUCAGUUAGGGUAUCAUAACUUAUCUUCAGCUUCUCUUCAACCUUCUCAUGCGGCACUUUUCUCAACUUCUCUAAUGUGUCUCUCCACGCUGCCCCGCUUUUGUCGCACAAGAGUGACCCAAUAACCUCAAGAGCCAACGGGAGCUGCCCAGUAGUUGAGACAAUAUCAUGACAAAGGUCGUUGAAGGCAGGAGGAGGGAAGUCACGUUGAAACGCAUGUCUACAAAAUAGAACCAUAGAAUUUUCUUUGUCCAAUCCCAUAAGUUCAUAUUCCCAGUCUGACGUCCCAAACUGAUUAAGAAUAUGCUUAUCUCUAGUUGUAAUAAUGAUCCUACUUCCAGAGCCAAACAACCCAUGCCCUCCUACAAGUGCAUCUAACUGAUCUUUGUGACUCACAUCAUCAAGAAAAAUGAGAACUCUCUUGCCUUCAAAUCUAGAACUGAUGAUAUUGAUUCCGUCGUCUCUGUUAGAAACUUCGUGGGGGCUUCCUUUAAGAACUUCAGAGAUCAAUUCCUUCUGCAAGUGCACAAUUCCCUCAUGCGAUUCCGUUUCUCGGAUAUCAGCUAAGAAGCCACGGCGCUCAAAUUGGCUUGACAGUUUAUUGUAGAUGACUUUGGCAAGAGUUGUUUUACCGGCACCACCCAUUCCAUGAAUUCCAAGUAUCCGUGUAUCUCCAAAUUUAGUAUCUACCAUCGUCAUAAUUUCUUUUACAUGAAUGUCCACUCCCACCAAGUGUUUAGGGGUCACUAACUUAAAAGCAUUCUUUAACUCGCUCAAAACCUUUAUAACAACCGCUUUUAUGAGCUCUGCCUCAUUCCUGUCAAAAUCGUGCUAUGAUCGAGAUCAUGAACAAAUAUCAAGAGUAAUACUUACUAGAACAAACUCAGAUAAUAAGCAACGAGAUGAAUUGGCAAAUUAAUAAUGGUCAAUAGUCUAAAAAAGUAAUGUACUUUGCCAUAUAUUAAUCAGCUUAUAUGAAUAAGGGAUUUGGAAGUACCCAUUAGCAAUAUUUUCGGAUACCAGUCCUUUCAAGGAUCCAACUUCUUUGAGUGCUUGUCUCCAUUCCUGAACGACGCUAUCCUCAAAACGCUGCUUGUAUGAAUUGAAGACAUCUCCAAAGGUUCCCUUGAGCCACUUCACAUCUGCGGGCUCUACUUUAUAGAAUAUGGGCAAGAUCACUUGUUUCAUCUCUUUCUUGCACUUGAGCAUCCGAACGAGCUCAAAAAGGCACCAUUUGCUGGAAGCAUAGCAUUCUGAGAGAACUGGGAUUGAGAUCUUGCUGUUGUCAAUGGCCCGGAAAAGCUGUGGGCCAAUCUCCUCUCCUAGAGGGAGCUCGUCGUCAUCUCUGAACACGCGAACUCUCAGUUCUCGGAGUCGCUCGUAGAGGUGGCUGGUAAAGCCCUUGCGAGAGUCUGGACCUCUGAAGCUUAAGAACACAUCAUAAUCACAUCCUGGCGAAGCAUCCGAUGAAACUGGGGACACGGAAACCGGCUUCUCCACGAAGGUAAUUGCUGUUCUCUUCACCUUUAGAAAUUCUGAGGGAAUGAAAACUGAAAGCAAGAUUAAUCGGAUGCUAAACCACUGCAAAAGAAUGAAAGAUCUGAGGAUACAGAUUUCCUCUCUUUCUAUAAUGUACUCGCGUAUUAAAUUUAAUGAAGGGAAACAAGUCAAGGUCCAUCCUGGAGGUGUCUUACCAGACAUAGUAAAUAAUAGGGGUGCGCAGCAGUCUAGGGUCGACCAUGGACCGACCCUCGACCGGCCCAACCCUGCCGGUCUUUCCAAGGGGAUUGGGUCGGUCCUUGGUCCUGAAAUUCCAGGACCGACACUAUGCCGAUUGGUCAUCGGUUCUGAGAGUUUUGAGUCGGUCAAAUCCUAGAUUAACCCUGUAUAUUAUAUUAUAUUAUUUAUAAUUCUUUUAUAUAUUCAAAUCUAAGUAAAAUUUCUAUUAUAUUAUAUUAUAUUAUUUAUAAUUCUUCUAUAUAUUCAAACCUAAGUAAAAUGAUGUUAAAGCUAUUGACUCCUCAGACUUACAGUCACAGACAGACAGCAUCCAAUUUCAAAAGGCGUGAAGUUUAUGCCGUAAAGGUCUUCACGGCCUCCUCCUCCACAGUCCAGAGUACGUUGACCAAGGACUCCUCACAAUCACGGACUCGUGACGUCCAAAAUGGCGUGAAGUUUACGUCGUAAAUCUCCUCACGGCUUCCUUCCCCAAAGUUCGUUCUCUUCCAUUCUGUGUUCUUUGUUCUUCAAUUUACCAAAAUCAAAAGUAGCAACAUUCCGCUAGCCACAUUGUGGACCCUAUCUUGUCCCAUAUCUUGAUGAGCAGUUAGUAGAUACGAAAUUUCUAUUAUUGUGUCAUCUUAAAUUUGCUGAAUAUGUAUUGAUAUUUAUAGUUUAGUUACACAAUGCCGCAUUGUGGAUGGAUGUAUAAUUUGAAUUUGUAGGUUUACUUUUUUAGGGAGUAUAAAAAACAAGACGAAAAAAAUUAUCGAUCGGUCUCGGGUCCCUGGAACUGGACCGAACCCAUUGGGUCAGUCCGGUCCUUGGUCCCAGGCUCAAUAGGGUCGGUCCUCGAUCCUAAAAAUUGAGGACCGACACUGUACGGGUUGGUCCUAGAGUUAGGGGGUGGCCCGGACCAACCCAGCCCAUGCUCACCCCUAGUAAAUAAAUCUCUUCCAGUCAAGAGUAGGUGGUUUAACGUGGACCAGUCAUUUAUUGAGAUGCACGUGAAAAACACAUUGAGUCCAUCACCUCCGCAUAUAUCAACGAAUUUAUCAAGGUACUAAUGUAAAUUAAUUUUAAAAAAUAUCAUAUUUGGAAGUUGAUGUAGUAUAUAAUAAUUAAUAAUUAUAUUUGUAUCAUAAUUCAUUGGCUUUCGUGUCCAACUGUUGACGGGCUAAGACUUAACCUUUCUCUUGGCGAUUUUCUUAUUGGAAGGUAUUAAAAGUAAACAAUAUCAGAGUAAAAAAUUAAUUGGUGCGAGAAGGAAGAAACAGAUGUAGAGAUAUAAACGACUUUGGAAAUGAAAUGGACUAAACAAGAACAAAAAGGAACCACCAAAGAAAAUCCUUCUCCUUCCCUUUUUCUGGAAGAAUGGAGGUUCUAGACAAAAUUGCUGAAAAGUUUGGCCCCUAUUUGUUUCAAUUGUUGUUGUAGUGCACAGACACAACAAAGUGGAGAUUUAAGUUGGGACAUUUUGAUAUAGAAUAUAUCUAAAUUGACGGGGAGCAAACUAACACUAAGGUCACUUGUAGGGCAAAAAUUAUUAAGAUGUACGUGUGAAUUAUGCUAGGAAAAUCCAACAUUAGAGAAUUUGUAUGUUGUAAAACAACUAUAAUCACAAUCAGUCCACAAUUUAUUUACAUAAUCUUUUAAGGGAAAGUGUAUCUAAUUGGAUAUAUUGAUACAUUUAAACAUUUCUUCUCAGUUUAACAAAAAAUACUAAUGUUGGAUUAAGUGGGGAAAUUCAACUUAAGAAUGGACAGCUGCAACAACAGCUAGCAUUUGAAAUAGUGAAUCUUUUUGGAAGAGUCAAGAGAAUAAGAUUUUGGACCCAAUUUAGGGUGCGUUUGGGAGAAGCUUUCGAAGGGGCUUUGGGCAUCAAAAGCCCCUUGGGCCAAAAUAAGAGUGUUUGGGAGAAACUUUGGAAGUCUCUUAAUGGCAAAGCUGGUAUUUGUAAGGCUGAUCAGCUUUCUUGGCAUGUCCAUGCGGUACUGUUCAUUUUUUUUUUUUUUUCAGAAAUUGUCCUCAUAAAUUUUUUAUUUUUCCAUUUUUUCCCCUCCGUCGUGAUCCCGACAACCUAGGCAAUCGUCGUCAGAGAGUCGGGCAACCUCCGCGAGUUGCGGCAUUGUGUGACCCUUCGUGAGUUGCGGCAACUCAACGACCAUGGUGAGGGGCCACCUGGCGAGUCGCGACUCAAAUUUGGGUUGCCCCGACCCAGAUCCUCGCAGAUCUGAGUCGCCCAACCCCAGCGAGCCGCAGUGGCCCAAAUUUGGGUCGCGGCAACUCAGAUUUGAGUCACCACGACCCAAAUCCUUACCGAUCUGGGUCGCGCGACCCUCAACGAGCCAUCUAGUCGCAAAUCUGGUUGCGACCAGAUGCAGUCGCCAACAACCGUCACGUGCCGCAUUGCGACCUCUGCACAAAGGUCGCCGAGGCCCCUCAACCCAUCUAGUCGCAGGUCUAGUCAUGACCAGAUCUGGUGUCGGAGACUCGAGCGGCGACCAGAUCUACAACUAGAUGGGUUGCGACCUUAGAUCCGAUCGCCUGUGACCCUCUAGCAAGCGUCACGCAAUCCUCGCAGGAUUGCCUAUCUCUGCCGGACGGCUUGCAUCGGACUAUUCGCCCUUCACUAGACCGUCUGCUCCUUGCUGGCGACUACUUAUUCUUGGCCGGCCAAUUCUCAUUUUCAUUUUUCUGUUUUUUAAUAACAAAAGUCUUUUGCAAACAUAAUUUUUCUAAACCCCAUUUUACUCAAAGGCGACUUUCAAAGUAUAAUUUACCAAAUACAGUUUGCAUUUUGAAAAAUUCAUUUAAUUUAAAGGCCUUUGCAUUUUCCCAAAGUUUUCCCUAAAGCCUUUUCAAACGCACCCAUGAUGAAGAAUAGCUCGAUGGAAAGGGUGCCGAACGGGAGAGUGCCAACACCAAGGACUAACAACCGAGAUGGGUAUUUCUGAGGUGGGAUUUCCCUAGGAAUUUGGUUAGUCCUCACAGGUAUUCGAUCUGGGGAGCUUUCGCUCCGAGAUAUCCACCAAAA